rnacentral:lncRNA from 1 species
UAAGACUCAAUAUUAUGGAUAUAAUCAUAUAAAAGAAACUUGAGAGUUUGGUUGAUUGAGAAUUGCGUCCACGUUUCUUUGUUUUGACCAAAAUAGAACCUUUCCCCUCUGAGCACAAGUCAAUACAUGUGGACAGCUAAAGGCCAAAGCCAUGAGUUGAAGAUUGUCCAAGUGAAUGAUGUUAGCAGAGUUAAGACCCAGCUUGAAAUCAAACUACCGAACUCACCGCCUAAAUGUGGGUACCCACCCAUAACCUGCCACUGACCACACCAUUGUAAUCUUCCUCCAAAAUGAAAGGAAAAUUAUUAGAUACUCUCAGAAAAUAGCACUGGUUUGUGUUUGAAACAAACAAGCAUUUCACAUGCUUGUGAAUUGCAUCAUGUCUUUGAACUUUAGACCCAACUAACAACGCCUUCAACAUAUGCUCAAAUAUCUCAUAUCCCUCUGCAAGAGGGAUAUGCCCACAUCCAUAUUUACCUUCUAGCUUUAGUUUUCAAGCCACUGUCUUUCUUCUCAGCCAGGUUAACCAUGGAGGGGGACAAGAAAAGAAAAGCAUCAUCAGAAAAAUCAAAACACAAUUUACCUGAGGCUUAACAUUUCACUGCAGCAAACCUCCAUAUACAGAAGAAAAAAAUUAAUUAAAAUGAAAGAACGCUUGCUUCAAAGCUUUAUUUUUUUAUACUAAAUGUGCAGAAGAGGGCAUGUGAACACAGUCUAUACAAUCUAUACAAGAACUCAAUAAAAUGGGGUGAAGACAGAAAAACGAAUAAAACUCAAUAUGACAAAAAAUGAGAGUGUCGCGAGGCUUUUAAGAUGUAGUAGUCAUAGGCACAAACCAACUGCUUCCGAAAUCUUCUGAGGUCCAAUGUCACAGUUUGGUGAUCCAGAUAUACCCUCUUAGUGAAUUCCCAUCCCUUUUUGGCUAGACUGUCUGGGUCUCUCAGAACAGGAUCAUCUUUAGCAUACUCAUUGUACAAUGAGCUCUCUCUUGGAAGAAUCUUAUAGCCCAUGUAUUUUAAACCAAGCUUCUCUGCAGGUUCCCCAUAGUAAGUUUCUGCCGGCCAUUCUGUUCCCAGAGGAAUUACUUGGAUAAAUACAGAGCCAGGCUGCAGAAACAGAAUAUGGGUCAUAGCAGCACCAUGGACUCCAACCAUGGCAUCACUUGAAUUUAGCACCCUAUAGAUCUUGGCCAGUUCAGUGGCUCUAUUGGGCCUCAGAACUUUGACUUGAAACCCUAUUUCCUUAGCCAUUUGCACCAUCAAAUCCUCAUUAGUUAUGGCUCUGGCGCCAGUUCGGGACAGUACAACCAAUUUCGGUUUCUUCAACUGAUGUACUUGCUCUUCUUUCCCUGUUUCUAAUGGGGGCUUUAGUGAUGGUGGUAAAGAUGGAUCCUCUUUCAUUUUUGACUGCACUUUCUGUUCCUUGGCUUGAAUUAAACUUCUGAUUCUAGGCAAAUAAGCCUGGUCUAGAAGGUUACGGAAAUCUCUGAUGCUCUCAUUUCCCUCCACCAAUGAAGAAUCCACAGUGAGCUCAUCAUGGAUCCUCAAACCAACAAUCGCUUCUGGAAAACAAUGGGUUCUGUUAUCUCCACUAAAAUCAAUUGGUGGGUAAUCUGAUAACUGCGAAAUCACGUCUCCAUACUUAGUAAUCCACCAAUCAUGGUACUCAAGAAUAACAAACACAACCCUCUUGUUCAGAUGCUGGGAAGUUAUAUACAAAGGAAGAAUCCCAUCAUUGAAUUCAUGGUAUAUGUUACCUGUAUAGCCUCCGGUGGAGAAGAACACAGCUGGAACAUCAUGGUGGACAUCACAGUGAUGGUGAGUGCCGUAACCCUCUUUUUUCGAGAUAAGGUGUAAUUCAUCAAUGGUGUCCAUGACACUGGCUUCCCAUUUUCGGGUAUAAGGUUUGAUCUUUUCGUGUUGGAGUUGCUCUUCUUCAAACUCCUUGCCUUCUCCAGAUAUGCUUGAAACAUGAUCAGUAAAGGCGUUGGGGUUUCUUGAACCAUACAGGAAGAUUGAUGAUGAAGAAGAGUGCGUUCUUACAUCCCCUUUCAUGAAACAUGUAUCUGUACGAAAGGCGCUUCUAUCACAGCAAAUAGUUCCUGCAUUUACACAAAAAAAAAAACCCUUAAAAUCUACAAAAUUUCAAAAAUCAAAUGGAACCCCAUUUUCCAACUGCUUAUAUCAUCUAAUAAAAAAUUCAUUCCACGAAGAAUGCACUGUUUGGAUGCAGAGGAUACAGAGGAAUUUGAGCUGAUUAUUCAUCUUUGGCGAAAAAAUCAAUAUGAAGCAAAAAAAUAGAAAAUCUUCGUCUUUCCCCUCUUUUCAUGAACAAAACUGAGGGGAAAAGGCAAUCAACAGUCAAACGACAAUCUCUUUCCGUGGGUCCAGCUAUUACGUUGAAGGAAAAAAAAGUUCAAAUAAACCACCCAAGAAAGCAAAAUAAGAGACUAACCAUUUGCGAUUGAAGAACAAAGGGUUUUCGCAUCCAUUUCAGCAACAGGGCCAUCAUAUUCUCCAAAUGAAUCUGCAAAACCCAGAACAUAAACCUCGAGAUAAGACAAAAAAAGCAAACAAAAAACAGAGAAAACAGCGGAAACCCGUGAAAAAAAAAAAAAAAAAAGAAAGAAAGAAAGGCUCACAUAUGGGAAAGCUGAAAAGGCAAGGGGCCAGGACAAAGCAGCAAGAGAGCAGAGACAGAAAAAGUAAGGCAAGAAGCUUGGGCCUUGUUCUCUUGUAAUAACCAGCGCUUCCACACUCAUCAACAAGGCUCUGUGCCUCUUCAUCAUCUUCGCCUUUCCUCAACUGAUGAUACCGCUGAUGGUGCACCAUUUCUCCUGUUGAAACACAGAAAAAAGCAAAGCUUUUGUUGUGGGUUAUGGAGUCUGAACCCAACACAGACAAAGAAACAGAGAAAAAGAGAGAGAUUUAUAUACAGAAAGGGAGAGCUGGUGAUGGGUGGUUCUGGGUUCGUUCCUGUUGGUAUGAACUAUGAAGCAUAAACUUGAAAUGGGUGUACAGAGGGAGAGAGCUGGAAAGAGAAGGUGUCAACGAAAGAAGGCUGGUUCAGGGGAGGGGGCUUUCAAGGUGAUAUUCCUGAUUCCAGUCAAAUACGUGUGCUGGUGCCCAAGCCCAUCAAAAUACACUUGGCCGUUUUAGUGGUUUUCCUUAUUGGCUACGGACCCUUGUAUUUUCAUCUCACGCGCCCCAUUACUGCCUUAAAUCCCUUCUUGGAAAGUCUUCAUUAUUGGAUGUUUUUUCAAAUAAGACUUUAAUAUGAUAAAAUAAAAUGAGGCUAAAUAAUUUUUAUGAAGAUAAUUGUGAAAGGUCCGAUGCUUAUGAGUUGUCAUACUGGGGUAAUAAUAUUUUCAAAAAUUAGUUUUUUAAAAUGAUUUUUAAAACCGUUUCUUAAAUAUUUUAAAAUUUUUGAAAAUUUAAAUAUAGAAAAUAAUUUUAUAAACUUAUUCAAGAUGAUACUAUGCACAUGUAUGAUAUAAAUUUUUUCUAUUAGUAUAUAGAUUUUUAAUGAUAUACCUAACGCGCUAAGUAGUUGCAAUAAUUAUAUGUAAAAAUACGGGGCGUAUAAAGAGACCUCACGCUUCCUUGGGGCGCGUGGAGAUGAAUGACGGCGACUGUGCUUUGAAUGAGCCAAUCUUCCGCAGCAAACAUCCUCCAAACGCUGGUGGGUUUUAAUUUUAAUAUUCAUGGUGGGAAGCUACAAUCUCAAUGCCAUUAAAUAUUGAAAAAAAAAUCUAAAUUGGACCGCAAAAGCAGAAUUUAGUUAUCCUGUAAGCAACAUUAAGGCAUCUUUAUAAGUUGUACAAGCAUAAAAAAGUUUAUAUUUUUAAUAAAUGAUUUGAAAAUUCUUAAAUUUUUCGAUAAUUAUUUAAUUUUUUAAGGUAUUUUAUGUAUUGAAAAAUGUCCAAAGGUAUUUUUUUAUAUUUAAAAAUAUAUAUAAUUUGAAUAAUAGAUUCUAGACAAACUCUUAUAUUGCUGUUUUUUUAGAAAUAAUUUCAAAAUUUUAUUUUUUUUUCAAUGUCUCUUAUGGGUUGAAAAUUUCAUAAAAGGAAAAGGAAGUAAAAGACCUAUUGAUACAUUGGAAACAUAAAUUUCUUGGAGUAAAGCUUUUAAGUUUGAAAAUUUAUUAAAGGUGGUAAAUAAAUAUUGGUGGUUGGGUAAUAGGGAAGAGCCGAAGAGAGCAUCAAGAUUCAAAAAGCGCAAACAACUAACCGCUAAUUGAGGCAGAGGCAUUUAGGAAUCAAGUCUGCGUUGGCGGCAAAAAUGGAUACAAAGAUCAGGAUAUUUGCAUUUGUGCCCCUUACAUUUUGAUAGUUUUUCUGUUUGUUCCAUUUUAUUUUCAUAAUUUAUUCAAAGAAGAUGCCAUUUUACCUUCUUUUUUUUCUUUUAAUAUUUAAUAUUAUGAAAAACAGAAGAAUGUGGCCAUAUAAAAAACAAAAAGUUGUUCUUUUAACACAAACUUAAAUAUAAAAAAUAAUUUCAAAAUCCUCAACUUUUUUUUUUUUUUGGUAAUGAAUGGGAUGAUAUGGAAUUGUGGGGAAGAGGUGUGGGUUGAGUGAAAGCAAGGUGCAAUUAGUUGACAAUUGGACCGUUGGAUAAAGGGUCCUUAUUUUGGCUUGUCCAGUCCAGCUGACUUCUGCUGGACUACAGCAGGUCUGUCACGUGAGCGGUGAGCCGAAUAGGCUAAUACCAGUAUACAUCCUGGUAAAAAGAAUUUAUAUAUAUAUAUAUUUAUAAAUAAAAAACCUUGGUAUGGUAUUUUAUGAUAAUAAGUGAAUAAAACUCCUUUUCAUAAUUAAGUUUAAAUGGAAUUUUGUUCCCAAAGAUAACAUAGAACUAACCAUUAUCAAAUAAGUUUUAAUAUUUUCAUUGUUUAACCACUAAAGAUUUUUGGGAAGGUUUUUGACAAUUUUAAGGGUUACUUAUAAAAUUUUGACAAGAAAAAAAAACAAUUAAAACUUAUAAUAUAUUAUAGAUCCCAAAAUUUGUCCCAAUUUUUUUUGUUAUUUUAUUUAUUAUUUAUUUAUUUUUACUUUUGUUUAUUUUACUUAUUUUAGGACUUUUUGGUUAAUAUUUAUUAAGCCUUUUCAGUUUUAUUGGAGAAUUAAUCGUGGUCCUUCCUUUUUCCAUCAAUUCCCAAUCACCCAUUUCAAACAAAACCCUAAUCCUCUCUUUUCUCUCUCCAUCUCAACCAUAGCCCACUCACCCACGUUUUCCCCAAUCUUCUCUUCUUCCACUUUCUUUCUUUUUGUCCAUAUUUUCUUUUUCCUUUAUUUCCUUUUCUUUCUUCUUCAUCUCGUCACGUGGCCGUCUCUCACCAUCGAUGACGCUACUACCGGUGACCCACUGCCAGCAACCCAUUAUCAGCGACACCACUACCGACGACGCUACUAUCGGCCGACAGCCAUCUCCAACACCGAUAGUCCUCUCCAUCACAUCCUCUCUCUUCUUUCCUACCCAACAUCACUCACCAUCUCUGUCAUCCUAAACCUCCCAAUCAUUGCCCUAACAGUCAUGGUUGUGCUGCUCGGUCGCCUUAGAAAAUUAUACGACAACAACCUUCCCUACCCCACAUCUACACCAAAGUCAAGUUGAACCCUUCUCGGGUUUAUUCACCUUCUUCCCUACCCAACAUCACUCACCAUCUCUGUCAUCCUAAACCUCCCAAUUGUUGCCCUAACAGUCAUGGUUGUGCUGCUCGGUCGCCUUAGAAAAUUAUACGACAACAACCUUCCCCACCCCACAUCUGCACCAAAGUCAAGUUGAACCCUUCUCGGGUUUAUUCACCUUCUUCCCUACCCAACAUCAUUCACCAUCUCUGUCAUCCUAAACCUCCUAAUUGUUGCCCUAACAGUCAUGGUUGUGCUGCUCGGUCGCCUUAGAAAAUUAUACGACAACAACCUUCCCCACCCCGCAUCUACACCAAAGUCAAGUUGAACCCUUCUCGGGUUUAUUCACCUUCUUCCCUACCCAACAUCACUCACCAUCUCUGUCAUCCUAAACCUCCCAAUUGUUGCCCUAACAGUCAUGGUUGUGCUGCUCGGUCGCCUUAGAAAAUUAUACGACAACAACCUUCCCCACCCCCACAUCUACACCAAAGUCAAGUUGAACCAUUCUCGGGUUUAUUCACCUUCUUCCCUACCCAACAUCACUCACCAUCUCUGUCAUCCUAAACCUCCCCAAUCGUUGCCCUAACAGUCAUGGUUGUGCUGCUCAGUCGCCUUAGAAAAUUAUACGACAACAACCUUCCCGUUCCCACAUCUACACCAAAGUUAAGUUGAACCCUUCUCGGGUUGAUUCGCCUAGAAAUGUGAGUUUUCUCUUCAUUGAUUCGUACAGUAACGAUUUGGAUUUGGAUUUGGGUUAUUGGAUUUCCCAUAUGGCCUUUGAUUUAUUCAUUUAGACUUAUUUUGGGUUGAUUUCUAUUUUCUAUUUAUUGGUGUUGCGCCUUGGCUUGUUGGAUUGCUAUUUGGUUUGAGUUGGGUCAUUAUAUUAGUUGGAUUUGGGCUGGUAUAUUUAUUAAAUCUUGUAUUAGGUCUUUCUUUUUGUUGUUGCUGAGAACGGGAAAAGAGGUGUGGUGUUGAUUGGGAGGAGGAGGACGACUCUUGAGACUUUUUGUAAUCUUCUUUGCGUUUCCUAUGAUAUUUGUGAGAGGGUUGAGGGUUUUUUUUUUAUAGUAUUUUUUAGCUUCAUUUUGAAAGUUUUUGGAGGGUCAUUACUUUUAUUGGACUGCACUUUUAAGGUUACUCCUACGUCCUUGUCCUUCAAGUUUUAUUGUAUACAUUCAUUUCAUUUCAGUUUUCUUCUUAUGUACAUGUGAAUGUAUCAUUCGUGUUUAGAUUUUUUAUUGUAUAUGUAUAUUUAAUUUGUGAUUCAUGGAUUAAUUUUUGUUUCCAUUUAUUUGUUAUCCUUAUUUAAUAUGCUCUAUUAGCUUUUGUUUUGAGUUAUUUGUGUUUUAUUUUUCUGUUAAGGGAAUAAUCCAAUAAUGGGAUAAUGUUUUUGUUUGAAAAAUAUUUUUUUUUCUUCUUACCUUUAAUGAAUGAAAAUUCUUUUUAGAAUAAAUAUUUAGUCCUUUUUAAUAAACGUUUUAAAAGAUUUUUUUGUAUUAAUAAGUAUAAAAACCAUUUUCAGAAACCUUUUUUUUUAAAAAAAAAUAUAUUAAAUUAAAAUAAAACUCUGAAAAUUUUGAAAAACGGUUUUUCUUUUAUAUAUAUAUAUAAGAAAAAAAAGAAACAUUUUUUAGAAUAAAAUAAAAAGGAAAAGAAUAUAGAUUUUUAUUUAAUAAAAUUGAAUUUUCCUUUUAAAUAUAUUGAGAUUUAAAAAAAAUAUAUUUUUUAAAUAAAUCUUUUAUAUAUAUAUAUAUAUAUAUAUAUAUAUAUUAUUUUAAUAAAUUUGAACUUUUUUUUCUCUCUUUUUAUUUUUUUGUAUAAUUAAUUUAAAAUAAUUUUUUAGAAUAAAAUGCAGAUAACUUUUUUAAAAAAUAAAAAUAAAUAAAUUGUAAAGCUUUUCUAAAUAAAUUUGAGAGAUUUUUUAAUUAUUUUCUAAUUCAAGUAGAGAUUCGUUUUUGUCAAUAAUUUUUUUUUUUGUAAAUAUUUAAAAAAAACUAUUAAAAUUUGUUUUGAAUGGAAUUAUUUUGUAGAUAAAAUUGUGAAAAAGGUCUUUAUUUUGAAAUAAAAGAUAAAUUAGAUUUUAUUUUUAGAUAAACUUAUAAAAAUAUAUAUAUUUAUUUUUCUUUUCUUAAUAAAAGUUAAACAAAUUCCCUUAUCUAAACUAAAAUUUUGAAAAAUCAUAUCUUUUAAAUCAAAUUUGUAAAAGACUUUUAUUAUUAUUAUUACUAUUCAUAAAUAAAAUUGUAAAUGGAUUUUUUUUAAAUAAAAUUGAAUUAACAUUUUUUUUAUAGUAAAAAUCAAGUAAAAUUCUUUCCUUUCAAAUAAAACAGUGAAAAUGAAAAAUUAUUUUUUUAAACAAAAUAUAAAAUUUUAAAGUUCAUUUUUUUUUAAAUCAACAAUCAAAUUGUAUUAUUCCCAAUGUUUUCAAAACUGGACCGAUCAUUAAACCGAAAAAGUUACCGGUUCGCGGUUCAUUAGUUUGAUCAACAGUCAAACUGGUGACGUCAUAAAUAUAUAAAUUAUAAAUUAUUAAAAUUUAAAAUAAUUAUAAAAUAAAAUAAUAAUUUAUAUAUUAUUUAAAAAUUAAAAUUUUAUUUAAAAAAUCAUUAAAUUAUUCUCAUAAUAGUCAUGGUUCUUCUUUAAUCAUGGAAGAAAAACUCACAUGCCUAUUUAAAAAGAAAAAAAAAAUGGCAAAAACAUUGAAUGUGAGUUUUAAAAUUUUUAAUUAUUUAUUUGUUAAAAAAAAUAAUAUUUAGAAAUUCUUAAAUUUAUUAUAAUAAACUAUAAUUUUAUUUUUAUUUAAUUUUUAAUAAAUGCUCAUUGCCAAAUGGGUCAUAGGGUAAAAAAGGAAAGAGCAAAUCCUCUCCACUCUCCACUCUCCACUGCUCUCUUGUCUUCUUCGUCCUCCCUAUUUCUUCUUCCUUCUUUUUCCACGACUUCUCAUUUCUCUCCCAAACCCAGUUCUCUCUCAGUGCCACCACACUCCUAUUAUCUUCUCUUUCGGCGAUUCCAACUUUGACACUAGCGGACUCAUCGACGGGCUUGGCUUUCUAAUCAACUUCCCCAAUGGUCGUACCUUCUUUCGCAAAUCAACUGGUCGUCUCUCCGACGGACGCCUCAUCAUCAAUCUUCUUUGUAAGUUACCGCACCCAACCACUCCUCUGGAUUCUCAUUUCUUCUUCCAAUGCGGGGGGUGGGAGGGUGGCAUUCCAAGAAGGGUGGGGUCCUGCCGAUGGGAGACGAUGAGGAGGGGAGGGCUUUUCCAAUAGUAGGGGAUGGCAACAGUGGAAAAAAAAAAAGUUGAACCGGACGGUUGGGGGAAACCGUUUGGUUUAUCCGGCAUGCCGGUCGGACCACCGAUUUAACCGGUCUAAUUUCGGUCUGAACACUAUCCAGCCUAAAUGAUCGGAUCCGAUCCAGUCCAGUUUUUAAAACCAUAUUAUUCAUAUGAAUAAAACUUGAAAAAAAAUAUUUUUUAAAUAAAAUUAGAUAAAAUUUCUUUGUAGUUAUUUUUAUUUUUAUUUAUUUAUUUACUUUUAGUCUUAAUAAAAUUGAAUAAACCCUUUUUUCAAUAAUUUCAUUUUUAUUAAUAAAAUCAAACAAUAAAUAAUUUAUGGUAGAUAAAAAAAAAAGAUUGAAACAUUUUUGUAAUUGAUUUUGGAAAAAUUUGUGUUUCUAUUCAUUUUUUUUCUUUUUAUAUAUAUUAUUUUUAAUAAAUUCUUUUGAUACAAUAAGUGUAAAUAUAUAUUUUUUAAAUUUUGAAUUAAAUCACUUAAAUAAAAUAUUUUGUAAAUAAAUAAAUUGAAAUCACUCAUUCAAAAUCAUUUUUAAUAAAAUCAUUUGAAAUUUCUUGAAAACUAUUUUUUUUUUCAAUAAGUCAUUUUGCAUAAUUCUCUUAUUAUUUAUUUUGUGUAUUAUUGUAAUUAGAUUUUAUCAUUAUUUUUAUGUAUAUUAUUUUUUUUUUGUAUCCAUAAUUAAUUAAUUAAUUAAUUGUCACAAUUCCUUUAAUUCAUUUAAUAGAGGCCGUGCAUAUAUGGGUUUAGAGAGGUGCUCAACUCACCACCAUAUUUUCCCAAUAAGUAACUUGACCCCUGAAUCAGACUUGAUUUUUUCACAGACCCCUUUUUCAUUCAGGAGUCACACUUAGAAUUUUUAUUUCUUAUUUUGUUUUUCCCUUUAAAAAUAAAACAAAAAAUAAGUGUCAACUACAAGUAUUUUUAUAAAAAUCAAAAUUUUACCAAAUAAAUGAAAAGCGAAUCACUCUAUCGAGUGGAAAUGCAUCAAGCGAAACGCGAGGUCCAUAUAUAUGUUCUAAAAAUAAUUUAUUUUUAUAACAAAUUCUCAAAAAAUUAUUUUUUGUUAAAAUUUUAUCAAGUUAUUUUUAUUAUAAAAAAACUAUUUGUCAAACUAUUGUUUGUUAUAAAAAAUAAAAAACCAUUUUCAUUAACAUGAUUAAAAUUUGUUAUGAUGAGCUACAAUGAGAAAUAGCCGGAAAGAUUUGAGUUUCCAAUAAAAAUAAUUUAUUUGAAAAAAAAAAUUAGCGAUAAAUAUUCUUCCAAAAUCAUUUUUAAAUUAGCACUUUUGUACACAUCAUAAAAUUUAAGAAUAUGAUCAACGAUUAUUACAAUAUCGGGUAACCCCGUCAUAUAUUUAAUCCCACCCAAAUAUGUUUGCAAGUGAGAUAAUUGUCUCUUUAACAUAGCUGCAUCUCUUUUCGGAAGACGAUUGAGUCUCCCCGUCUUUUGUUCCAUUCUCAAGUCCCUGAAUUUAUGAAGUCUCGUUUCUGUAGUGGACCAAUUCGUUGACAUACCACCGAGCCAUUUUUUAUUAACAUAAUGACACCGAGCCUUUAUUGCAGCCCAUGCUACUGAAUCCGCUGCUUUAUUUUUGGUACCAACAAUUAAGAAUUGUUUUCCCCUACUUGCUGCAUCAAAAACUAAAUCACAAGCUUCUGAUAAAAAGCGAGCAGUUCUAGUAAGAUUUGUAAUAUGGAUUUUAUAUUUAAAAAAAUUGUGAAGGUGGUUGAGAUGUACUAAUCUAAAAAUGAUUUUUGUAGAAUAUCUAUUUUGUGGAAUUUUUUUUUCUCAAACAUGUAAUUUUUGCUUGUAACUUGAGAGAUUUCAUAUGGGAUGAUGAUUUCUUUGAGAUUGAAUUUUAUGGAAAGAGUUUACAAAUGUUGUCAAAAUUGAAGAGACAUGCUUGUUUCUUCUUUUGAGAUGGGCUUGCACGCUGGUCAAGAUCUCUUCGAAAAAAUUGCCAAUAAUUUCGGCGACGUUUUAUGGUAAAAGGAGCCCAUGCUUGGAUUUGGGGAUCUCUUCUAUGGCCAUUUGCAUGAUGAGACGUGUUCAUCCAACGCUCCUAAGUCAUGUCUCUGCUUUUUAUAUUCUACCAUCACCAAAGUUAGAGUCUCAGUACCUUUCACACUACAUUAUUUCGAUUAAUAAGUUAAUGCUAUGUGUUGAUGAGAGAGAAAAUAUGAGAAAAAAGAUAAAAUAUAAAAAAUAUAUUUAAAUUUAAUAAAUUAUAUAUUCACAAUUAUUUCAAAUUUAUUUCACUUAUUUAAUAAUUUUAACUUGUAAGAUAUUUUUACUAAUGAAAAUAUCCAAUGUGUGAUAUGUCAAGGAUUAGGGCAUCAUCACUCAUACAAUAUUUUAUAACAGUGUAACUUGAAUGAAUAGUCUAAUUCAAUUUACAACAAACUUCACAUUUGAGGAAUUUUAGUAAAGUUUUUAUAAUUAUGAGCUGAGUACACGUCACAUUUUUUUAAUUUAAACUCAAUUUAAGUUAAAUUUGAAUAAAUAUUUGAACUUAAAACGGGACUUUAUUUAGUAUUUUGAUAAUAUUUAUAAUUUUAUAUCAUCCUAUAUAAUAAUCUUAAUUUUAUUUUAAUUUUUAGAUUUGUUUAAAAAGUUAAAUUGUAAUUAUAUGACAUACUUUUUAAUCUUUUAAAUAUAUGUAAAUUUAUUUAUUUUAUUUUUUGCUAUUAUCUUUGAUUUUUUUUUCUUAUUUACUAUUUAAACCUUAAAAUAAAUACAUAAGAAAUAUCAUUACAACACGAGCUUAAAAAAUAAGAUUAAGUUAAAUUUGGAUAGAAUAAUCCGAUUGAUUGAAUUAAGUUUAAAUUUAUUAUAUUUUUAAUCAAGGUUUGACUUUUAUCGCCACUAACUCAAUCCAUCCAUAUUGCAUUAUUAAUAUUUUCUCAAAUAGGAAAAAAAGGAGGUAUUUUUUUUUUUUUGAAAGAAAAAUUAUUUUAUUUAUUUAUUUAUUUGUUUUAUCCAUUGAUUUUGUGGAUAAGGCAAUUGACCAAUUAAAUAUUUUUUUUAUAAAUGAUAAUUAAAAAAUUAAUUUCCAAGUACGAGUAUAAACCAUCCCAAAGACUUCCUAUUUAAAACUUUUAAUAGAAGAGGUUAGGAAAGCUAUUUUUCAUAUUUGACUUUUAUUCCUGGAAUUAAUUAGGCAUCACCCACCACACUCAAAACAACAAGCUACAAUUCCUUAAGAAAACUCUUUUCCAUAUCAGAGAAACUAUCUCCAUUUAUGGUCUGAAUUUUUUAUAUCACAAAAAUAAAAUUUCAAUGCUAUUCAUAAAUGGCUUAUUUAUAAGAAAUGUUUUGUUAAAAGCUUUUAUUUUCGUUGAUUUUUAAAACAGAAAAUAUAUUUAUAUUUCCCAUCAAGUUACUUUCCUUCCUAUUUUUAAAAAACAGCAAGAAAAAAUGAAUUAUCCGAUUCUAUGCUAGACAAAAAUUAGAAAAGAGCCGAUUUUUUUUUUCAUUUUUAUUUGACUCCGACUUUUUCAUAGUUUGCUUCCCCUUGAAGCCCUAAUCUCAUCUUCCCAUUUAAAAGAAAAAUUAAAAUAAAAUAAAAUAAAAAAAUAAAAGGGAUGAAUAGAGGAAAAAAAUGAGAAAGGUAGUGCAAAGGAGUAAUUACUAUAUAAAAAAAAUUUAAUAUAUAAAAUAUGUCCAAAAUUUAGGCUCCCAACAAAAUGGCCCUGGAUAUAAAAUAAAAAUUUGUUUAAAGGAUCUAUGAACUAACUUCAGAAUCUGAAAAUAUAAACAAAAUUUAGGAGACCUCUGUAAAAGAUUUUGUUAUUAUAAAGGUUAAAAAUACUGAGAUAGAUUUAGUAGUUUCUGAAAACCGAACAAUUCCUUAUCCAAACAAGCUGAGCCGACCUAUAUGUAAUCAAAAUGUGGAUAAGAAGAAGCGUGCUACCAAACACGGUGAUUGUCCACCUGGGCAAACGCACAUGCCAGUAUGCCACACAUGAAAAUGGAACUGGCGUGAGCUUUCUAACGCCGACCCACAAUUCUCUUUUGUCUAUAAAUGCAUUGACCCGCUGCCCGUUACCUCCCCCUCUAUAAACUUUCCCGAGAAAGUGAGAGAGAGGAGAGAAGAAACGCUCCUCUUCCGAUCCUCUCUUCUCGUAUUUUCUCACCUAUCAAACACCCCAGCCCGUCCUCAAGCAAACCCUAAUUUUCUCCUGAAUCUCAUCAAUGGCGGAUGCGUUCUGCACCGACUGUAAGAAAAACACCGAGGUCGUGUUCGAUCACUCGGCGGGCGACACGGUGUGUUCCGAGUGCGGGCUUGUGCUAGAGUCUCACUCGAUUGAUGAGACCUCCGAGUGGAGAACGUUCGCUAACGAGUCGGGCGACAAUGACCCGGUCCGUGUUGGCGGCCCAUCCAACCCGCUUCUCACUGAUGGUGGCCUUUCUACCGUUAUAGCGAAGCCGAACGGGGUUUCGGGCGAUUUCCUGUCGAGUUCGUUAGGGCGAUGGCAGAAUCGGGGUUCGAAUCCUGAUCGGGGUCUGAUUCUGGCUUUCAAGACCAUCGCGACUAUGUCUGAUAGGUGUUAAAUUUGUUUUCGGUUUUUGUUGGAACCAUAGGGAUGCUUUUUUUUUUUAUUGGGAAAAUUAAUUUAGUCGAUGGGAAAAGUGUAGGGAAGGUUUAAGCUUCGAGUAAUUUGGGGAUGAAAAAGAUGACAUAGGGUUUACUUCUUUGAUCAUUGUCAACCCUGGAGCUUGCUUGGUUGCCAAGAAAAUUAAGAUCUAUUGGAUGGGUCAUGAAAGUUAAAAGGAAGAAUAGAAAAGUAAGAUUUGAGCAUUGAAGUGCAGUAUGGUUGCUGCAAAAAUUGAUGAUAUCUUGACUAGUGAGCAAAUGUAGGAAAACAAGUCCUAGGAAGAGAGCCUUCGGUUUAAUAUCGAUCUUCAUUUGCUGGGAUCUUUUUGGCUGCGGAGAGUGUGGGAAGGAAAGAAAAUGAAAUUGUAAUUUUGAAUACUCAAGAUCCGUGGAACCAAAAAUGCCCAAUUAAACAGAUUGACUCCAUUUUAAGUAUCGUGCUAUCUGGGACUGGGGCCAUAGGAAAAAAUCGCCUACGGGUCCAAUAAAUUUGGGUUUUGGCUCGUUGUUAGUCCUAGAUGCCAUAUUUGGUCCCUUUUAAAAUGUCUGGAAAUAAAAGAAAAGAAAAGAAAAUUUAAAUCUUGGAUUACUUAGAGAAGAAGUGGAAUAGUCAUAUACUUGAUUUCAAGGUUUUGGUUUAAGUCAUCCGUAGGUUGCUUUUCACGAAAAGGCUAACUCGGAAUAAAAAACCAGCAUAGGAACUUAAUUUGAUUUGGCCACCUUUCCUAAAUCCAAAUUUGUCAAACUAGUUGGGAGUUUAAACUCCUGGACGCGGGUAUACAUUUAAAUAUUAAUAGAAGUUCGUAAUUUAUUUUUGGAUAGGUUUAUAAGAUGUCAUUAAUUUAUUAUUUGUUUAAGUAAAUUGGUCUCAUAGAGACCCUAAGCAUCUAAUACAAGGUUAAGUUAAUAUUGGUUUUUCCAUACUAAUAUGUGAGGAUGUGUAGAUUUUUAUUGGAAAGUCUUCAUAUUGCUAAAUCUCAUAUUUUUCCAAAAAUUAGCUUGUAGAAAUAUUUUCAUAAAUUGCUAUUACAAAAAAUGUAGCUAAUGCAGCUACUUUAUGUUUCAGGUUGGGCCUUGUUGCGACCAUAAAGGUAUGCUAUCUAUGUGCUGCUAUCAUAUUACAUUAUGAGAUAGAUAGUUUCAGCCCACACAAUCCCAAACAUAGAUAGUUUAAUGAACUAACUCCUUUGUAUUUUCAUUGUUUGUAAAUUAUAUGUAAUAUAUGGGGUAUUAUCCUUUUCUUUCCUUUUUGUGUAAAAGGAAUUAUUUUGUCUAGCAAUUUUAACAUUGGGUUGGUGCUAACAAAGAAGAAAAAAAUUGUCUUUGAAUAUGUAUUACUUCCCUUUUUUGUUUGUUUGUUUGUUUACCUUCCAACAAUCUUAAAAUCAAAGGGUACUUUAGUACCAAACUUCCAUAGACUCUUAUGCUGAUAUCACAUCGUGACAGGGUUGUCAUAAAUGAAUAAAGCCUAGGCAUAUCAGUAAAGAAAUUCUAAAAAUAAAAAUAGCUAAAAUUAUAGGAAUCCACAUCUUUUGUUUUCAAUCCAACAUCCCAACAUCCCAGUGAUAUAUUUGCAAAUGAUUCAUUAUUUCUCAGAAAUUACUGAAAUAGAAGAAAGGUAUUUUGAUCUAUGACAUGAAAAAAUGCAAUUCAAUCUUGGGAGAAAAAUAGAAACCAACUAUCAUGGGUGAGGAGGCUGUUUGCUCGAUUAGUCAUGCAUGAAUGUGACUUAAGUGUAAGUGGUCUUGGUCAAAUUGGCAUUAGAAGCAACUCUGGAAAUCAUCCUUGUAUGUCGGGUUUCUUGUUUAUUGUUUGUUGAGUUUUUUGGGUUUUUGCAAGCCUAUGAAUAGAGCUAUUUAAUAUAAACGACAAUGAUUAUGCUAGUUAUCUUUGCUAUCUAUAAAAAAAAUGAAUGCUAGUUAUGUUUGCAUUCUUUAGUGGUGGAAUACCAUUACUAUCUCCUUUUAGAUGAGGCCUCUGUAGGUCUCAGUGAUCAAAGGUUUUAACUCUUUGUGUUCCUCCUCUAUGUUCUCCUUGCUUUUAUUUUACCAUAUUUUUUGUUGCCAUUAAUUUCUCAUUCCUAUCCUUCAAUCCUAAGGAAGCGACUCCGUAGCCUGUGAUUACUUGAUUUUAUGCAAGUGAUAUUCUUGUGGCAUAUUUGGAUUGGCUCUUGGGCUGCUUUAUCUUACCUUUUGCCUAUAGAAGUUUGCUAUUUAUCGGGGAGGCUCUAUUUUGGCAUCAGUUGGUUUUUUAGUAAAAUUCUAAAAGGCUACCUCCAUCAAUUAUGUUUUUAACUAAAAUGCCAUUUCAUAAUUGCCUCCUUUCCUCUCACCCUUUCUUUGGUAACUACUUCCAACAUGCAUGUUUAGCUAGAUGCAGAUCAUGUUUGUCCAGCAACAGCCAAAGACGAGUGCAGAGAAGCUAAGUUUAACAGGUUUAUUAUGGUUUAGAGGUCGUAGACGAUAGUGAGAGGGAGGGAUAGCAGCAGAGCAGUAAACCUUGAAAAGAAUUUGGAAAAAAAUGUAUUAAACAUUUCUUGCAUUUCAAUCUAUAUAUGAAUACGAAUCUCUGGUAUAAGUUGAACAAAAAGUCAUAUUUCUGUCUGUGCUUGUUAUUCCUCCCAUAAUUUAGUUUCAAAGUUAUUUGAGUAUCGUAUCUCCUCUGAUGGUGCCUUUGUAAUUUAUUUGAAGGACCGCGCUAAUGAAAUAUAUAAGAAGGUAGAAGAUCAAAAGUCUACUAGAGGAAGAAAUCAAGAUGCUCUGUUGGCUGCCUGUCUCUAUAUUGCUUGUCGACAAGAAGACAAACCACGCACCGUAAAGGGUACAGCCUAAGAUUCUUUUAACAUAUGGAUGCUUCCUGAUUUACUAUUCUCUAUGCGAAUGAGCUUCCUGAAACUGUGGAUGUCAACUAGAAAUUUGCUCUGUUGCCAAUGGAGCCACAAAGAAAGAAAUUGGCCGAGCAAAAGAAUACAUAGUGAAACAACUAGAGGCUGAGAAGGGUCAAUCGGUAGAGAUGGGAACUAUACAUGCUGGAGACUUCAUGGUGAGGAUUUUCUGAAGUUAAGCACAUUUGUUAUGUUUAUGUAGGCGGCAUUUUGUACACUGCAAUAUUGUUGUUUCUUAAAUAUGUCUUGUUAAUGACAUUAAUCUUAAUCUAAUCUCUAGAGGAGAUUUUGUUCCAAUCUCGGGAUGACCAACCAAGUGGUUAAAGCUGCCCAAGAAGCUGUGCAGAAGUCUGAAGAGUUUGAUAUAAGGUAUAGUUCUGGUUUUCUACUCUUGUCAUGUUACUAUCCUGAUACCAUUAUGCUUAAUGAUGGUUAUUUGCAAUUUUUAUUUUUCUAUUCAUAUCAAUUUUGCAUGAUUUCUGAAUCAGUACAUUUAGCUGGACAAGCAGGAGUAUCUGAAAGAACUUUUAAUUUUCUCAAGCAACCCAAGCAGCAAAUUAAGAAAAGAGCUGAUUGAGGUAGUAUAGGGUUUAUGAAUGUUUAGAAUGAAAGUCAAUAAAGAACACCCAUAAGAAACUAGUCAAUUUGAGCUAGCUGAAGGUUCUCUAUGAGGGAUUGAUUAGGACCAAAAAGGUUGUUCAUGGAGUUUGGUCAAAGUCAAAAGUUUUGGCAUCUCAUGGUAUCUUCAGUAAGGAUUAGAUCUGCCCAAAAGAUGAAUGACUCUUUGGCGUGCUACUCCCUCAAUCUCAUAGUUGUGUUCAAGCGCAUGUGUAAAUUAGAUUUACCCUAAAUAUGGUAUUUUAAGGGAAAUACUCCCUCCCUUCCGCUGGGUUAUGCAUGUGUAUUUGCAAUCCCUAUAGUGGCAAGUGUUGGAAUGGAGUCUAACUCGAAAAAUGUAUCGUUCUGCUUUAAAUAUGGCAUUUUGAAGGAUUAUGCAUUAGAAAUCCUCAUUCUGCUUUAAAUGUGGUAUUCUUCGUUCCGCUGAAUUUUGCAAUAGUGUUAGCAAUCCUCUUCUAGCACUGGAAAUAGGAAACUAGGGCCCAGAUUGAACAAUGAAUGACUGCUUGAACUACAAUCCAAGCCUUGAGUUUAACAUGGGCUACCCGACCAAAAAGCUGCCCAGUCUGAUUUUCUUGAACUAGAGGCAAAACAACUUGGUAGUAUGAUAGAACGGAGAGAUGAAGCUUGAGAGAUGUGUUGAAAUGAGGAGGAUGGUGUCAACUGGUGAUGGGAGUGCAGUGUUGGGGGUCGGGGGGACCUAGGGAAAGCAAGGAGCUGGUUGUGUUUGUUUUGGUUUGGUUGGAAACAUAAUGGACUUAGAAGUUAGAAUUAGAGAAAAUCACCUAGUGAGAGAGGACAUAUGGGACUAAAAGAGUUGCUCAGACUUCAUUCUGAUCAUGUGCACUGAAAAACAGAGGUCAAUCGUGCUGAAGAUGCUAGGGUUUAUUUUGUAAGAGAAGCAGGGGAUCUAAAAGUUUUAAGUUUUUUAUGCCUUUGAAGCGAUGUACUAUGACCAGUAGAGAGGAGAUAUGCAACAUGUCUUUUGAGUAUAGGGUUCUUUUAUUAUGUUUUGUACUUUUGACCCCCUUCCUUUUUUACUGGAUAGCACAAGAUGCAAACAAAUAUUGAUCACAUGGGUGCAUUCCCUGAUCAAGAAAUGGGAAUUUUUUCCCAUUCCCUGAUCAAGAAAUGGAAGUAAUGGUUUAUUGAUAUCAUUAGCCCACAUAAGUAUUAUUUUUUUAAUUUAUAAAAAUUUAGUAACUGUGCAUGUUCAAAAGUUUGCUUUUUCGAAAUAUUCUGUAUUCACCAAGAGGAAACCACUGCCAUGCAAAUUGUCCUCUUGUGAACUACUAACCUGUCAACUGUCCAAGGUCUUCACUGCUCAGUUCAUGUCCCAGAAAUGGUUCAUCUCUGGAUGGCACUAAAAUCAUGGUGCUUUAAAAUUUUACCCCAAGAAACCAAAAAAAAAAAAAAAAAAAAAAACUGAAACUGACUCCUGUCUCUCUCUAGCUCCAGAUUUUUUUUUUUUUUCACACAAUGGCCCAAGUGUACAUAAAUUUGAGCCUCUGCAUGAUUAGCCAAGUUGUGCCUCAGAAAUGAUUUUCUGUCUUCAUGGAACAUAAAAAAGGAUCUUUUCAUUGAUAUGGAGGUUUUUUAUGGUUAUUUAUUGUUGUGUUUGUUUGUUGGGAUUUGGGUUUUGGGGAAGGAGGGGUGUGGCCAUUGUGGGUGGAUUUCUUUGUUAAGAAUAAGGAACAUUUUUUAUUCAGAAGUAAAGUGUUCAUGGAUCUUGCUCAAAUGGAAGUGUUUUGCUUUUUUUUUAGUCCCUCUCAUCUUGGUUGUUUAUCUAAUGAUUACAACUUGCCCAUAAUAAUAAAAAUUAAUAACUCUUUUUGUCUUUUUAUUCUUUUCUCAUUUCUUUUGUUUUUUAAUUUGUUGCAGGAGAAGCCCAGUAUCAAUUGCAGCAGCAGUUAUUUACAUUAUAACUCAGCUUUCAGAUGAGAAGAAGCUUCUCCGAGGUUUAAACAUCCACCAUUUUAUCCAAAUUGGUUUGCAUAAGAGCCUUGAAACUGAAAAAUAGGGGGUUUCUUAUUGCCUUGCUACUAUCCCCUUUACACACACUAAUUCUGCAUGAUUGUUACCAGACUGUCCAUGGUCGCAUAAUUAGAAUAGAAUUUUAAGGAUUGACAUGGCUGAUGGUUGGGCUCCAACAUUGCAAUCAGUGAGGCCAAUGUUGGCUCUUUGUGUCUCCUAUUUAUUCAUAUUUUGAAGUUGUAGUUUGGUAAUAAUGGAAACAUGGGUGGUGCAGAUAUCUCAAUUGCUACGGGAGUUGCAGAAGGAACAAUCAGAAACUCCUACAAGGAUCUCUAUCCCCACAUUUCAAAGAUAAUACCAAGUUGGUAUGCCAAGGAGGAGGAUCUCAGAAAUCUUUGCAGCCCUUGAACAAAGUUGUGGAGCAAAAUACAACAGCAGCGGCAGAGCACACAAUAUCCGUCUGGGAGCAUAUCUUGCAUUCGAAUGUUCUCCAAGUCUUGUUUAACAUACAAAAACCAUUCCAAUUUUCCUUUUCCUUUUCUUCUUCUUCUUCUCCUCCUCUUAUUUAGUUUUCCAUGAAUGGUACCAAUGCCCUUGUGGAUUUUGCUUGGAUUUUUAUUUUAACACUUUAGGCAUCAGCAGCUAUUUUUUUAGAUGUUGGCUAUCCCUUGACCAACACACACUCCCAAGAGUGCAUAUAAUAUAAGAUAUUUCAUUUCGUUCAUACUUGCUGGGUGGCUCAUGCUUAAAAUAAAUAUGUUGUUGGUAUUUUGUUCCCUUCUUAUUUAUUCUUAAAUAGUAUAACCAAGUCAUUUUCAAAGUCUUUCUUUUCUCAUUAUGAAUCCCCUUCCAUUCCACAACAAUAGAAAUUGCUUUUGUUUUAGACAUGGAGACUGAAUUGAAACCACGCCGUUUUCGUUGGAGAGAAUCCAUCUCUGCUUGAUUUAAUUUUGCUAAUUCCUCUAGAGCUUAUGGGCCAUGGGGGGGAAAAUUAAGUACUUGUUUGGUAAUUGUUUUUGUGAAUGUAGUCUAUUUUUCGGAACAGAAGUGCAAGAACCGAAAAUUUGGUAUUCGAAAAACAAGAAACAAGAAGCAAUUUUUUGUUUUUAAAAUAAAAAAUAGGGCGUUAAUAGAGGGUAUGCUGUAGUGUAACGUGCACUUCUCUUCUGUCGGCCACAAGGAUUCAAGCGGUGCGUUUUCGCUCCUUUUUGUUCCGCAGUCUUUCUCCUUCUUCCUCACUCCCAACAAAUCCGUACAAUCAUCAACCACAGCAUCGGAGAAGAAAGAAGAAGACUGCCUCCACCCUACUGCAGAAGGAGGGUAUAAAAUCUUGUUCUCUUUUCCAUUUCCCCUUUUUUCUAAGAAAAGUUUCUAGUAGUUUUUUAGAACUUGUUUUUAAAAUCAGGGGAAAAAAUGUCUUCGUCCUAAUCAACUGAGAUUAAAAUCCAACACCAAAAUUAUCGGUGCAGUGACUUGUUAUAGUUUUUGAUUUUUUUCGUCUUCUUCUUCUUCUUUCUUCUUUUUGGGACAAUUGGAGUUUUCUAAAAUUGAAAUGUGAUUUUUUCAGUAAUUGGUAUCGUGGAGGAUGAGGAUUGGGCAAGUUCUUCCGGUGGAGCUAGCAAUUCUGAGAUCUAUCUUCAAGAUGCCAAUGAUGAAGAAGAACAUUACUGUAUUUCUGGUUCUAUAUCCAAUUUGCAAUUUAGGUAGAGCUUUAGAACCAAUAGCUCCCAUCGAGGUCCAGAAUAGUGGUUUUACAACCUAAAUGUGUGUAUUGUUUCGCAGCAAAGCAGUUUCCAAGGCGAUUUGGAAUGAUGAGAUAGGAAUGGCUGCGGUUGUGGAAAAGAAGGGCAAGAUAUGGAUAACAACUGGAGUAGUUCGAAACAGCAAGACCUAUUGCUCAAUUGAGGAGACUUUGUAUGCGACAUACUGACUUUAAUGUUUCUAAUUCUUGUUUUCUUAUUGUUGUAAUUAUUAUUUGUUCCUUUAUCAUUCCUUACAUCUCUUGACAAGUGAUAAUGCAACUACCAUAAACCCAAUGCAAGUAAUUGAGCGAGUCUUUGAUUUAAUUCAUUUACCUUUUUGAAUAGGAUGCUAGAGUCUUCCAAACAUGAGCUACAAAACAAAUCUUAGAGAGCCUAGACAUUAUGACUACAUUGUUGUGCUACCAGGUAGAGGAUGGUCAAGUGGAGGAUUUGUUGAUGGAUGUAAAGCUGGUCAAAUAGACGUCUUAGGACACAUUAAACAUUGUGAAUAAUCUAUCUACUAUAUAACACAGAAAAUGUGUAUCUACUGGAAACAUGGGAAACUUUAGUUGGGGCUUGGCUCAAUGUAAAUAUGGUUUUGAGUAUGAUAUAAUUAGUUGCAAGAUUGCUUAUAUUUACAUCUCACGGAAUACUUUUAACACAAUGAAAGCUCAAAAUAGUAUUAUUUUCUUUGUAAUUUUGUUGGUUUUAGCCAUAAUUUUCUUUGGUGCCUUACCAGAGGAAAAAGAAUGGCAACGGAAAAAGUAAGCAAAGAGGUCUGUAAACGCUAAACAAUGUUGAAUUUACCUUACCAAAAUUUCAAUUUAUCAUGCUGUCUAAAUUAGCCAAUUUCAGCAAGACCUGAAGGUUAUUCAAAAAUGCGUAGGGGUUGAAGAUGGUAGUACUUACGAAAUAUUUUUUUAAUAGGUAAGCAGAAUCUGAUUAAAGAUGCCAAACAGAAAGGAGUUACAUCCUAUGUACAUGGGGGGUAUAAAAGAAAACCAAGCAACCUAACUAUGUAUAGUUUAGACUGUCAAUGAAUUCCAUCAAUUUAAAAUUUUCAUAUGUAAAGGGAAUCUAGACCCUUCACAAAGGAACAUAAUAAGAAACUCCUUUAAUUUUUUUAUUUAAAUUCUCUUUCCUUUUAAAACAUCGUUUGUGCUGCUCUCUCCAAAUGUACCAAGAAGCAAAGGGUGGUCGGACACCAAACCUUCGUUAAUUUAUCUAGCCUCCAAAACUUUUAGUCUAAUAAAAAGUCUUUGACUAAGGAAAAAUCCGUUGUCUUCCAAAUAUAUCCAGCAACAUUUCCCACAACUGUCUUGUUAUGGUACAGUCAAAAUUACCCUCAAAAUGUCUCUUUUGAUUGUAUAUUUCUUAUCUAGUAGUAUUUGAGAAAUAUACAAUUAAAAAAAAAAAAUAUCGAUUUUAACUUUUUUUAAGGAGAAUUAAAUUUUGCUAUACGCAUACAACAAAUUAUUCACUUGUGCGAUCUUUGAGGAGAAGAUUAAGAAGUACUCACUAGUCAUACCCUUUUUGUUAGCAAUAUGCUUAAAGCUUUUUGUGUAGGUUUGUGGCUGAACAAGGAGCAUUGCAUCUAUUGGAUGAUAAUAAUGUGACUAUUUCCUUAAAAGGUAUAUAUGAUAAGGUUGCACAAGGGAAGUGUGGAUGCUUUUGGGAGUCUUUUGAGGUUUAUAGGCACUUGAAGUCUCUUGGUUACAUUGUUGGGCCGCAUGGGAUCCUUUGUACUCCGAAGAGUACCAAAACUUGUUUGGAAUCCCAUUAGGGCACCCUAGAAGGCAAGGUAUGAUACAUGGAGAAUCAAAGGAUAAAAUUUCCAUCAUAGAACUGGUCAAUAAUGUGCACAUUACUAAAGUUAAACUGGUUUUUGAUGUUUAUCUUCCUAAUAGCAAGUUUAGGAAGUCUUUUUCGGGUGAUCCAAGUAUACCAUAUUUCAUCAAGUUUUUUAUGGCAAUCAUUUGUUUCUGGGUUAUGUCCAAUUUCCUGCUAUAUUAGAUAUAGCCAUGAUGUUUUUUCACAAGAAGGCAUGUCUAAGUCGUGUUCUUUUUUGAUAAGUAGGAAAUUGUAUUAAAAAUGCAUAAAGCGCACAAGAGUACACUGGGAGUAUGCAAUGAGCGUAAAAAACAGAAUAAAAAAGGGGGUAAACAAAAACAACUCCUACCCUCAGGAAGGACCCAACCAAACUACACAAUCAAUUAAGGACAAAGAAUUCUCAUGAAUGUACACCUAAAUCCACAAAAAAAGAUUGGCAAGGAAAGAACUAUUAAGACUUUGAUCUCACAUCUCCUCAUCUUCAAACACUCUUCAACUUCUUUCCUUCCAUAGAGUCUAAAAAAUACAUAAAGGGGCUGCUCUUCAAGCUUUCUUAUGCCUUAUUCCACUAGAAGAACUUUGCCACCCUAGUAGGGUGUCUCAUACCGAGGUAGAAACAACCCAUGGGAUCCCAAAUAAAGAGAACACCAACAGCCAUAAGAUCCUUGCCUUAGCACAAUGAAGAAGAAUGUGGUUGAUGGAUUCCAACUCCACUCUGCAAAGAGCACACCUAUUGACUAAUGACCGACCUCUUCUUUGGAGUGGUCCAAAGUCAACACCUUCCCCCAACAAACUUCCCAAGCAAAAAUUUUCACUUUAGAGGGAACCCAAAAAUUCCGUAUAAUCCCUAUUGGAAAAGGGGUAACACAAUCUGGUUUCAACGAGUAAAGGACUCUUACAUAAAAUCUUCCUUUACUAUAUCGCCUUUCCAAACCACUCUAUCCUCCUAUUCCCUAUUCACCGAAUGACCUUGCAAUUGAAGAAGGAAUCUCUCCACAAAAUCCAACUCCUAAUCAUUUAGAGUCCUAGCAAAAUGGAACUUCCAAGCCCCUCCUCCCUCCUUUUGCUCCCACAAAUCUACUACCUACACCUUUUUAGCGUCGGAUAAAGCAAACAAAAUAGGGAACAUAUAAGUCGUGUUCUUGGAAAAGGUACAAAGUUUUUUUCCCAAAUGUUGUGUGGUUUAAGAAAAAACUAUAUGUCAAGAUAUCAAUAGAUCUUGAACUUUUUUGGAAGUGGAACUCAUGCUUGUCAUAGCUUUUCAUAGUUGUGACAAACAAAAAAUAUUUCUUAAAAAACGACUUUGAAUGUGAAGGCUACAUCAAAAUGCAUUUUAACUCCAAGCAUUACUGAAGUUUUAUUACAUUCUAGAAGGAAAUUAUUUUUGGUGGGCUAUUAGAGUGGUGAAUACAUGGAUAUGAAUAUCCAUGUUUCUUUUUUAAAACGUUAUUUCCAUUAACUUUGUGGAAAUUUUCUUAACAAUUUGAGAGGGAACAGUUGUCAUCAUUGACAUCUUUUAUGGGUUGACUAAUUUGUCCAGCAUGAAGAGAAGCAUGUUCCUUGUUUGUAUUUGAAGCAAUUUUCUUACUAUGCUUUCCUUCUGUGUCAAAGAAAUUAUUUGCAUAGCCAAAAACAAUGAAAACUUGGAAAUAAUAAAUUCUUCACUUAGUAGUUUCAAAUUCUGUUUUCUAAUAAUUUGGACAUGUAAGAAAGAAAGCUCAACCAUGGUUCUAGUUACACAGAACCUGUUUAAAGCUUUCUUAUUCUUUGAUGUCACUUAGACUGCCCUAUUUGGUUAAUAUUUUGAUAGGUUGUUAAUAAAAAAUGUGCAAAAAAUAGCCUGAAAUAAGCAGGGGCUGUUGCAUAAUAAUAAUCAGCCAAGUAACAUUUUUUUUUUUAAUUCUCCAUGCCUACAGGUCAUGCAAUGUAUUAUUGCUCUUUUUGUGCUGUAUGUUGAUUAUAACUCGAUUAAAGCACCUUAGGCUUAUUUGCUAGCAGUUUAACAUCUUUAGCUGUUAAAAAUGGGGGAAACAAAGGAAAUUUGGAAUGUUACUGUUCCUUGGUUCUUUCUUAAAAGAAGCAUUUACUCUUGAAGAAUACUUCUGAAUUAGGCCAUAGCUAUCAUUUCAAUGGUCGUUAGAGUUCAGUCAUUCAUUUCCAAAUGCUUCAUUUCUUCUCCCUUCUAUGCAUUUGGUUGCUUAUUAUUAACAUGUUCUAAGAGCUAAAAAUUUUGUUUUCUCACAUAGUGGUCCUCCACCAUUGAAAGCACAGAUUGAAGACCUUUAGAGACAGCGCAGUGGCGUUCCUUUCAAGUUUUGUCAUGUAGCACAUGGACAGGUUAGUUUCUUCUCCUUCAGCAGAGUGGAACGGAACUGUUCUGCCCUGACAUUCUGGAUGAAGUUUUAUGUGUACAAAAUCUGUUAGAUUAGUCUAACUAAAAUGUAGUUGGAGUUGCCAGAGCGUAUCCCUACAUUGUGGUGUGUCUUAUUUAUAUCAGGACAAUAAUGUUUGCAUAUGAAAGUCCUUUUUAGAGUGUUUGCACAUGGAAAACUAUUUGCGAAUAACCAUGUAUUUUAUCUCUGUAAUGCAUAAAUCAUUUACUUGUCAAAUGUUUGCUUUGAGAAAAUGAUCAAGGAUAUAUGAACCUCUUGGUCCCCAAUGCAAGCCUAAAAUUUUUCUCAGAAUUGGUCUUUUAAAAAAUAUUCAGUUAAUUUAAACUUUUAUCAGAUAUUGGUACCUUUGUCUUGUCAAAAAUUUCAAAAGGGAUAAUAUUAGCUUUUGUGGGACUUCAUCAGAAUCAUAGAAAAUAACACUCUGAAGCAGUAAGCUUUUGGCUAUUAGCCCUUUUCAGAGUUUAAUUGUUCUUUGCAGUUUAUAGAGACAAAAAAAAGUUGAGAACAUGAUUAGACUUUUAAAGUACUAUGAGAAAUCAAAUCUUAGAAGAAGGAUCAGUUUCUAAUGGUGAGCUUUAUUUAAAAGCAGAAGGAAAAAUACAAGAAGAAGCUUCUCUGCCUAGCCAAAUCUUAGAUGGAUCUGUUGUGUUACUCCUCUAGUCUAUUUCGUUUGUCUAUUCUUUUUCAUUGCAUUCAUGACUAAUCAUGGUAAAAUAUUGUACUGAUUUGUAAAUGAGGUUAGUUGGCUAAUUAACAGAAUUAAUAUUCUAGCUAAGGCAAAACUCCAUGGAAGCAUUAUGGGACUGAAAAAUAACAAUAAUAACAACAAUAGUAGCCAUGAACAGGUCUCAAUACAUUUCCAAUAUCAAUCAUUGUAUUACACUUAGUGCACUUGUUUUUGGAUGUUUGCUAUAAUAAAUUUAUUCAUGAUCAUGACUUUUGAUUCAUUUAUGUUCUUAUCAAAGUACUCAGUAUAUUGAUGGGCACCUUUUUUUUUCCCUUGUUUUUCUUCAUGGCUAAUGUUUUUUAUUUUCUUUAUUGCACAGAGUUUGAACAUGGAACCUCUCCCAUUCUCAUCUCUAUCCCUUGCCACUUGAGCAAGUCUCAAGGGCUAUGCUGAGAAGAUCUUUACCAAACUAGCAUUAGGUCUGAAUUCAAAAAGAUUACUAUUGUCAAUUUUUGGAAGCUUAUUGUCAUGACUUGCUCAAAUGGCCCUCCCUUGAGCUUAUAUAGGUGAGUGGGAAGUUUCUAAAACCUUGGAGUCAUCUACACUAGUGGAAGAGUGUGGAAGGUUCUGGAGAGACUUAGAGAUGUUGACACAUCUCUACACUAUGGUGGAAGACAAGGGAAGAGUAUGGAGCUAUCUACAAAGUUCCAGAGGUCUCUUGUAAAUACUUUUAAAUAGUCUAUGUAUAGAGAAUUCUAGGAUAGUGGGGAAUCUUUGGGGGUUCUAGGGAGUUCCACUAGUGCCUAUAAAUAGGCGAGGGCCUCAUUUGGCCAAGACAUCACUCAAAUCACCUCCUAACCAAGCAAGUGAGCUUCCAAAUCAUUAUAAAACAUCCUUUGAGCAAUAAAAACUUCCUUUCUUUAAGUGUCUUUUGUUCUCGUAGCUUCCAAGUCAUGUGUCUAAUUUAGCCUAACUAGCUAAGGACAAGGGGAAGGCUAAGUUAGCAACAUCAAGCGUCUUGAAGUUGUCUAACUACCGCACAUGAGCUUAGGAGAAGCCUAAGUCCGUGACAUUAUGCAUUUAUUAAAUAUGUUAGAAGAAUACGGUUUGUAUAACUAAAGGCUUAGAGAUUUGUUUAUUAGAUAGCUUAGCCUAGAAAUGAUCUUAUGAUCCAUUAGGGGCACAUAUCCGUUGCAAUAAAGAGACUGUUGGAACAAAUUGCAGAGUCAUUUUCAUGAAGCUCAUUAUGUGCUCAUUGUGUGGCAUUCCUUCUUUGUUCUUUAUGGUUUUGGCAGAGAAGGGUUUGCCUUGUUCUUUUCUUCCAACCUAAUUUCAGUUAUAGACAUUGUAGUGUCUGACCAAGUCUCAUUGUCUCAACCUAGUGGCCUAUGGAAUGUAGUGGCCAGACUGAAGAUUAGAGUGCUUUGGCAAGACUUUUCCAUACCUGGAGCAGUAAGAAAAUCAUUACUCUAGAGGUCAUUUUCUAGAUUUGGAGAAGUUUGUUGCCCAGUUCAUCACCAAAGCAUUGCAAGCAUUAUGGAGAAAGUUCUUAUAUCUCUAAUAGUUUUAAGUAAGAUUUGCAAUUUAACUACUCAAUCCAAGUUUUUUUUCUCUUUUUAACUUUUUUUUUUUUUUUCCCUCUCAAAUUAAAGAAGGUUAAUAAGGAGAGAUUUGUAAAGCUAUUCUUAUAUUUUAACCUUUUCUGAUCCUAGGAGAGCCUUGCUUUGUUGAUUGUCAAUCCCUUCAACCUGAGAACUGUAGUCACAGGGAUUCACACACACAUACACAUUGCACACAUUCAUCCCCAGAUAAGUAAGAGCUUGCGCACACUUACAAAAUGAUUAAUUUCAAUAAGUGAAGUGUAUUUUGUAGUACUGAUUUUCAUUCAAUUUAUCAGAAGAUUUGAAUCUAAAGAAGACAAUUCUAAGGUAGGACAUUUUUUGCUUCAAUGUGACAAAUAAAUUUAUCUGCUAAUAUGAGCAAUGAAAGAAUCCAACUCCAUGCAAGAAGCCCCUCUGUCAUCCAUUGACCUCCAGAUGGCACCACCCAAUUCCACAGCCCUCUUCCUUAUGUCAUUGCCUUCUUUUGAUGCCAUUAAUCUUCUUAGGGCCUUUUCAAUUGUAGACGAUGUAACUAGUUCUUCCUGAUGUUCCCAUUCUCUAAAAACUAGACCAACUUUGAGCAAUUAGGUUACUAGCAGACUGUUCUGAGGCUGGUCCGAGUGCAUUGGCCAUGCUGCUAUAGGGACCCCCAUGGUAAUGCUCUCCAUGCAUGAGUUCCAUCCACAGUGACUCAUGAAUCCACCAGUAGACACAUGCCCCAGAAUUUCCAGUGGGGGUGCCCAGUCUCUCACAACCAUUCCCAGUCCCAUUGCUUUCACUCUCUCUUCUUACCCUUGAGGAAGUUCAGCUCUCCUGACUUCUCCAGUAAAAAUAUCUCCUCUAUAAGCAUCCCUCAACACCCAGAUAAACUUUUGCGCACUCUGUUCUAACCCAAUAGCUAGCCCUUUGAUCUGGUCAUCAGAGACCGAGACAAAUGUUCCAAAUGAAAUGUGUACUACAGAUUGUGGAUCUUGUUUAUCUAGCCAUUCCAAGCAUUUAUCCGGGCUAUUUGAGUUCCUAUGCCGGUAGAUUGUUACUGGGUUUAGUGGUCCAAUUGCCCAUUGCUUCUUGUUUCCAUUCAUCUGUUCAUUAGCUAAUAUAUCAAUGUGAGUACCUUCUGUUAUCUGCAUGUGUUGUAGAGAUCUCCAACUGCAGUUUUCGCAAACUCAUAUUGAUGAGCAGAGAAAUUCAUGAUCUCAAAGGUGAAGCAAGGAUGGAAGCUCGUCAGGUAUUUCUGCUGCUGGUGGGACAGUUUUUCCCAGGGCUUCCCACAAGUAGGUGAAAACGGAAAAAGCAGUGCGCAGUGGAACCCAUAGGCUUCAGCAUUUGGGAUUGAAGUAGCAUCCCAAACAACAGAGGCUAUAAGAGGGUCAUGGAUGAUAAUCAUUCUUUUGGUUGUGGGAGAGAGUGCGCUGACGGGUUGGCGAAGGUGCAUAGAGGCUUCAAUGGAUGGCUGAAGGUGUGCAGAGCAUUUAUUGGAGGAGUUGGGGUUGGGAGGAGGAGAGACGAAAGGAGGCAUUGAGAAGUCAAGGAAAUGGAUUUUAGUAUUGUCCAUAGGAUUCAAGCCAUGAGCUCGAAGCUUGACCUGCCGAUUAUGUACGGCGGACCAUUUGUAGUGAACUUGGAUGUUAUAGGACGAGAUGAGGUGGGACAAUUGCAAGAACUGGUUGAGAUGACCUUGUGCUGGUAAAGGCAACAUGAUUACAACUACUGGAGCUCGUCUGCGGCCAUCUUGGUCAUGAUUUUGAUGAUGGUAAUGCUGCUCAGCUAUUGAUCAAACUUGGGAAGGUAUCUACUUCUUCACGGAAUAAGGAAAUAGGUUUUGGAUUUUGGUUGAAAUCCCAAAAUGUAUUGACCACUGACCAACUUGACUUUUAGUGUUGCCCCCAUUUCUUGUCUUGACAUUUUUGUCCCGUAAUAUGGUAUAAGCAUAUGACUCUUGUUCAUGAUAAUAUAUAUCAUUGAGUUUUGAAAACGAAAUUGCAUGGCUCUUGCAUCAUUAUUCAUAUCUACAUGGUGGAGAACUUUAGUUUUUUCGAUGCCUACGAAACCUUGAAUAAAUUUUGACAAGAACAGAGUAAGAGCAGAAGAACCCACGUGGCACUUAAGCUUUUGGGUAUUUUGAAAGGUUCAUGAAUCCACUGCAAAGAAUUGGGAAGUGCUAGGAAAGCUCUAAAUUAGCUUUUGAAUCUUUGUGGUGAUGUGUAUUUGGACGCAUAGUAGAUUAGGACCCCACUCUCACUGUGUCACCAGUGGCACAAAGAACCCACUGUGUAGAUUAAAUAUAUUAAUGCCUGGUCUUAAGGUGCUCAGGCUAUUAGUUAGCACUUAGCAGCACCUUCUCAAUACCACUUACCUAGUGGCAUAAAAUAUCUGUCAUCUGUACUCAGCACUAGACUUUAUGUCAAAGGCUUGUAUCCACAACUUUCCAUAUUUGGAAUUUUCAGGCAUCAGUAGGUCAUUCAGUUAGUAAGAAGAGAACUUGUGCAAGCCUCAUUAAUCAUCAAAUCAAGGAACAGAAGGCCCAUUUUGUUUUGUUAGGAGAAAGCUUGUUUUAAAUCCGAAUUGAUCGUCCAAGUGCUGUAGGAACCCUUCAUGCUGUCAAAUUAGGAGGGGUUCUGAGAACCUACAUUCGAAUAAAAUAAUAGGUUUUUUUGUUUUUUUUCCAACCUUAUUUUAGUCACACUAGAUUAGUAAUGAAAUUUUGACUUAUUCUGAAAAUAAUUUCCCUUUUUAUUAAUAGUGUCUUUUUCUUCAGCAUUUGGACCUGUAGCUAGGCUGAAGCGGACUUUCAAACCCCUUAGGCCGGCCCUCACCGUCAUCAUUCAAUAUUUAGGCUGAAAACAUUGUAUGCUGCAUUAGUUUAUUUUGGAGAAAUCCCGAGACAUCCUUGGCUUAAAAAGACAACAAAAGCUAAAAGAAUGGGUGAUGAAUUUGGAUGACAUCCUAAUGCAGGGGCACACACGCAAUCCACCAGGGCAAACCAAUCUAUCUAGUGAUGUGAGCAACGAAAGAAUCCAACUCCUUGCGGGAAACCCCCCCUUCAUCCAUUGACCUCUGUAUUGUGGCUCCCAAUUCUGCUGCCCUCUUCCUCAUGUCAUCUCCUUCCUUUGAUGCCAUUAAACUUCUGACCUUCUUUUCAACAGUAGAUGCUGCCACUAGCUGCUCUCUUUGGGCCCAGUCCCUAACAACCAAGCCAACUUUAAGCACUUGCGCUACAAGCACAGUGUUCCUUGGCUGAUCUGAGUGCAUAGGCCAUGCUGCUAUGGGCACUCCCAUGCUAAUGCUCUCCAGGCAUGAGUUCCAUCCACAGUGACUCAUGAACCCACCUGUUGAACUGUGCCCCAAUAUCUCCAGUUGGGGUGCCCAAUCUCUCACCACUAAUCCCAUCCCUCUUCCUCCCACUCUCUCUUCAUACCCUUCUGGAAGUUCUGCUCUCCUGACCUCUCCACUGAAAACAUCUCCUUUAUCCGCAUCUCUCAAUACCCAGAUGAACUUUUGUUUGCUUUGCUCCAACCCAAUUGCAAGCUCUUUGAUUUGUUCGUCUGUUAAUGACGUCGUGGUUCCAAAAGAAACCAAUAGGACCGACUUUGGAGCCUGUUUGUCUAGCCACCCCAAGCAUCUGUGUCCAGGAUUUGAUUUUUUGUCAUAGCAUAUAGUCAACGGGUUGAAUGGCCCUAACGCCCAGUGCUUCUUCUUUCCACCAUAGAUCUCUAGACCGUCCAGUAAAUCGACAUAACAACCCUCCAUUGAUUUGCAUGUGUUGUAGAUAUUCCCGGAAUUGAGCUUCUUGAACUGAUGUUGAGAGGCGAUAAAAUUAAGGAACUCCAACGGGAAACAGCCAUCAAGAGAUGGAACAUCUUCAAGAAAUUUAGCCUCCUUAAGGACAGGUUUCCCCGCAGCCUCCCAGAGAAACAAGAAAAUAGAGAAGGCGGAGACACUAUGGAAAGUGUAGGAUUCAGCAUUACGUAUAGAGGCAACAUCCUGAAUCACGGAACCCAUAAGGGAGUCAUGAAUAACGAUGAUCCUCCUAGCUCUCGGAGAAAGUUCACGUAGGAGUGCAGCAACAGGCUGGCGAAGCUGUGAGGAUGCCUCAAAAGAUGACUCCAGAUGGGCUGGGAAUUGAACAGAGGAGUUAGGAUUAGGAGGAGGAGAGUGAAAGUGAGGCGUGGGGAAAUGAUGAAAUUGAAAGUUGGGGUGGAGAAGAGGGUCCCAACCCUGAACUCGAAGCUUGGCUUGGUGGGUGUGGGUGACAGAACCUACAUAGUGAACAGAUACGUUGUAGGAAGAGAUGAGACGAGAGAGUUGUAGGAGUUGGUUGAGAUGACCUUGUGCUGGAAAUGGCACCAUCACUACAGCCACUGGGGCUUCUUUCAUCUCACUUUCUUCAUGGUUUUGGUGAUUAUCCAUUCCCAGACUCGCAGAGGCUUGUGGCUGUUGAAUCACUAUGAGGUUUGAUCUGCCUCUUGCCCAGCUUUUAUAAACAAAAAAACAAACUUCCCUUGGAGAUAAAGAUGAUACUAUUUUCAAUGGAAUUUUCUCCUGUAUGACAAAGCAGUUAAUGACAUGCCACCGAUUAGUCUCCCAAUUUUGUAUCUAAUUAAUCAUCUGGUUCAUCACAUGUCAUGUGAAUUGUUUUUAUUAUUUUGCAAACUUACUAUUCUUCCUCUUCAAUAUUAACAUAAUUAUUAAAUUAAAGUAAUUAAAUAAAUAUUGAGAUUCGAGAUCUUAAAGGUUUGACCAUGGUAGUAAAGGGUUAUUUUCACAAAAAAGAAGAAGAGAAAGGACUCAUUGUUUGGGAUCUUGUAAGUUGUCUUGUUAUUUUGUAUGUAUGUUAUGUUGUUUUGUAUCUUGAUAUUAAUAUUUUAUAUUUUGAUCUCCUAAUUGGAUUGGGAAAUGGUCUAAAAUUUUCCUUAUCUUGUAGCAAAAUGAAAGCAGAGCUAUCCGUCCACCUUUCAUUUUUGUUCAUUUGGUAAGUAUAUAAUAUUUAUUUGGAUUUAGAAAUGGUAUAAUAAUCUUCAAAAUACCUAUUAUGGUGGGAAAAUUUCCUUGUAUAAUGUUAUAUACCAAAAAAUGAACGUCAAACCAUUUUAAAAUAGGUGAUUCCCAAUCAAGCCAAUCCAAUCUGCUUUCAAAAACCGAGGACAUGACAAAUCACUACCUCCCAAUUUGUUUUAUGCCACAUGUUGCCUAGUUUCUCUUUUCCCAAUCACACUUCCAUGAUAUCCCCCGUUAAGCCCAGUGGGUACGUUUCGUAAUAUAUAUAUGAAAAAAAUGAUCUAAAAAUUAGGAACCCAAAUACCCAUUUGGCCUUUCAAAAUACUGUUAGCAUUUUCUUAGUUACUCAAGGAAAGAAAGACGAAAACCCAAAAAAAAAAAAAAGGGGGGGGGGGGGGGGAAGGGGAAAAGAACCGCUUUAUGGUUCGACUUGUUUGGGACCUUUGAAAAGGGACUAAACCUUGUUAUUUGUAGCAGGCUACCGGCCACUCACACAUACACCACAAACUGAAGAUGAAAUAAUCAAAGAUAUUCACAAAUUUGGGUUUUGAUUGCAUGGGUUUAAGAUUUGAUGGAAACUGCUGAAUAGAUUGGUGCUUUCACAAUUAUUGUGUGGGUGAGUUUUUAUUUAUUUAAUAUCAAGUCCAUGUGCCCAUGUGGCCAUCUUAUCUGAUUCAGUAGGCAUAUAAAAAAAACCCAAAAUAUUUCAGUUUACCAUCUCUGGUAUCUUUGUUAGCAUUUUUGUUUUAAUCGCUUUUUCGGGUCAUAUCCAUUCAGGAUGGUUUAUUUGGCAUCUAUAUUCACUUUGCUAGCAUCUUUGUUUUAAUCACUUUUGGGUAAUAUCCAUUCAUUCAGGAUAGGUGUUAGCAUUUUUGUUUUAAUCACUUUUGGGUCAUAUCCAUUCAGUUUUUUCCUUCCUGUAAUAUUUUUUAUUUAUUUAUCAUUUUUGUAUUUUUUUUAACUAUUGUGUUAGUAAUGAAUGAUAAAAAUGAUGUUAUUAGCAAAUUUAUGUAAUUCUUGUAAUGGUAAGAGUUUUUUUCUUUUCUUUCUAUUAUAUUAAAAAGGAAACAUUGGAUGAGAAUGAGUCAUGGAGAAAGAUAAUGAAAUUUGAAAAUAGAGUUGUAUAUCUAAAAGACUUAAAAAUUGGUAAAUUGGUUAGGUGAGAUACUGAAAUGAAAAUGGAGGAAAAGCGAAGAGGGAAGGGCCCAAAGAAAGACUGGACCACCAUGUGUUGUCCAAGGAAAGGAGUGCUCAGGAGAUAAGUAGCAGCCAGCUCUGCCAGUUAUUCACUGCCCCACAAAUGCCAUGAAGUCUUUGGACAGUGACACAGUGUCCUCCCCUUUCCACACAAUUGACAUUCCAGUAAUCAGUCACCACCAAAAUUCCCUUUCUUUUUCUUUUUAAUUUCCUGAAUCUUGCUUCUUCUUUUCCCCCUCUCUGUCUUGCCUUGGAAUGAUAGAAAUUCCUACUCGUCCACUUAAUAAAUAGAGUCCCAAUGCACAUGAAGCCAAGUGCCUGGUUAACCUAAUCACCCACCAAAGCAACCAUUGUGAUUCACUUUAAAGCUUCACGCCUUCAACCUCUCCUCACAAUCAAAGACUAUCCACUUUGAAAAUAAUUUUCUAAUUCACCUGUUAUGUUUCCUUUUUAAGCAAUUUGUACUGCAAUUAUAUUGGUUUUUGAAAUAAAUUAAGUGUUUUUUUUAUAUUUUAUAAAAUAUUCUAAGUAAUUACUGAAAAUACAAAGAAUGUUUUUAAAACUUUUGCAUUAUAUGUAUGUAUACGAGUAUAAGGGCUUCUAAAAGACCCUGGUGAUUUUCUUUGCUGAUAAAUUUUUUAUUUAUUUUUAUAAUACUUUAUAAUAACUAAAAACAUCUUAAAUUUAUUUUAUCAAAAAAUUAUUGUGAAUAAAAAAUUUGUCAAACUUGUAUGCUAAAUUAGAAAUUAUUAUUUUUUCAUUAAAGAAUAAAAAAAAUAUUCUAAAAAUAACUAUCAAAUAGAUCAUGGAGAAUAAAUGAUAGGUUUGAAAUCAAUAAAUUUUGUUAGGUUUUUUUUUUAAUUUAUUUUUUCUAUAUAUAUAUAUAUAUAUAUAUACAUUGUAUUUUUUGUGGUAAAGAAAUUAAAAAGAAAUUGGUGAGAAAUUUUCAGGAAAAGAGAAGAUAAAUGAGUAAAUGAAAAAGAAGUAAAUCCAAACAGUUGACAUCAAGGUAGGAAUGGGGGGGAAGAAUCCUUGACUUGUAAAGCACGUUAGGAGAGCAGGCAAAGUGGGUUUACAGAUCACAUGCUCAUUGUCCAUUGUCUCCUCUUUGCCAUUUCUUGAACUCGUCCCUUUAACAUCCCAUCUUCCUUUUUCAUUUCUCUAAUCAAGGAAGGAGGAUAUUCUGAGCCUUCAGUCAUCAUUGGAAAGUGGAAACUACUUUUUAAAAUAUUUUUUUGUUUUUUUUUUUUAAAAAAAGAAAACAUAUUUCACAAUAACAAAAUAAAAAACACUUUUAUACUUUUUGGCUAAUAUUUUUAAUUAUUUUCACUUUUUUUUAAGCUUUAAAAAAUAACUAUAAAACUAGGAAGAAUAAUUAAAAUUAAAGUUUUAAAAUAAAAUUAUUUUUAAAAUAUAUUAAAAAAUCAUAAGAAGUAGUUAACAACAUCUCAAAUUAAUUUUUAUUUUACAAAACAUCAAUUAAUAGUUUUUAAAAAUUAUUUUUUAAAAUAUUUUUCAAAUGUGAAUGUGUUUGAAAAUAAUUAUUAUCAAUUUAAAAAAAAAUAAAAGUCUAUUUAAAAAUUCAAAUUUUAAAAUUAAUUUUUUAGAUUUAUUUUUUUCAUAAAAAUAUUAUAUAUUUAUAUAUUACAUAAAAGUUUUAAAAUAUUAUUUACUUAAAAUACUUCAAAAAUAAAUUAAAAAAUUUAAAUUUAUUAUAAAAAUUAUUAUUUUUCAGAAUAAUUUUUUUUUAAAAAAGUUGUGUUAUAUUUAAAAAAAACAAAAAAUUAUUUUCAAUAAUACUUUUCAAACACCCUACAUCUUAGAGGUAGUUGUUGAAAUGGGAGCAAACCCAUCAUUCAAUGGGUGAUGGUGGAGGAAGAAGAUUUACUAUAAAAAUAAGUAAAAAUUGUCUCCAUCUUGGUUUAGAGUCGGUGUUUCCUACUGGGCUGAGAGUGAGACCCACCAGUGAUGUGCUGUGUCGCCUAGUCCUGGAUUUGGGACAGGCCUAGCGAUAGUACAAAUGAGUUGUGUGUCUCAGUGCAUUUAAGUCAAAUGAUUGAUACCUUUCUUCAUUUUAUGCCAACUUAUCCAACAAAAGAUUCCAACCUUCACUUUCAGGCCACCCAACCACAAUAUCCAAACUAGAAGAGUACAAAUAAUGACACGUGGCAUCAUCUCAUUUGUGGUAUCUUUUAUUUGUAAUAAUCAAUAACUUAUAUCAUUCUACUUUUGAUAAAUUAAGACCUUUUCAAAAUAUAACUUGUUUUCAAAAUAAUUUUUUUAGAAACCUAUUUUUAAUUUAAAAAAAUGGUCAAAAACAUGCUUUUUGAAUUAGAAAACUGUUUUUAAAAGAAUAAUAAGAGAGAACUUAUAUGAACCACACUCGUAAAAAAUUAAAGGUUUAUUUCACAACAUUUUCAAAAAUAAUUUGUAAAAUUUAUUUUUUAAAAUAAUUAGAAAUAAAGUUUUUAGCAUAAAGAUUAGAUUUUUCAAACAUAUCCAUGAUGAAAAUACAUGUAAAUAGUUUUAGUAUUAAUAUUUUCUUUUAAAAAUAAAUUCCUUCUACAGCCUUAAGGGUGAUCCAUUAGGAACCCCGAAAAAUGUAUUUUCACUGCCUUGUUUUCUCUUUCUAUUAGGCUUCCCAUGGCUCCAAAAGUUGAAGUUUCUCUCCAUCUCCAGCCGUCAAAAGAGUUGAGGUUGUUGGAAAAAACCUCAACUUCAACAUUAAUGAUGAGUGAAAAAAGUUAAAUAAAAAAUAUAAGGAAGUAUUUGACAAGACAAAAUUUCAAGUCAAUAAUGAUGAGAUAUAUUUAACCUAAAUAUAAAUCAAAAUUUUUCUUUUUUAAUUUCCUUUGUUAUAUAUUAUAUAAGAAAAAAAUAAUUUUGUUAUGUAUUCUAUUUAUCAGCCAUUGAUGUAGAAAAUCAUUUUAUAAAAAGUGCUUCUACCCUGUUCAAAUCACUUUAAAAGUAGGUUACUGCCCACAGAGGAUGGUGGUGAAAUUAAGACCAAAAGUCAGUUGAUCCCAUUUCUGAACUCUAUGUUCUUACUUCUUUAGAAGUAGCAUAUUAAUAAUCAGAUACUUGUAAAACAUCUACUUAUUUUAGAGAAAUUCUUAGGCCUCCUUGCCUAAUACAGGGUGAGAGUUGAUCACAUUGUAAAAUGCCGCCAUCAGAAGCCAAGCUGUCUAGUGAUGUGAGCAAUGAAACCAUCCAACUCCUUGCGAGAAACCCCACCCUCUUCCAUUGACCUCUGUAGGGAGUUCCCUAGUUGUUGUGCUUUCUUCCUCAUAGCGUUUCCUUCCUCUGAUGCCAUGAGCCUUCUCACUGCCUUUUCAAUGGCAGAUGCUGCCACCAGCUGCUCCCUCUCUGCCCACUCCUUAACAGCCAGACCAACUUGGAGUACUUGUGUCACCAGAGCAGCGUUUCUUGGCUGAUCCGAGUGCAUGGGCCAUGCUGCUAUGGGCACUCCCAUGCUGAUGCUCUCCAGGCAUGAGUUCCAUCCACAAUGGCACAUCAAUCCACCCGUGGAGCUGUGCCCCAGUAUCUCCAGUUGGGGCGCCCACUCUCUCACCACCACCCCCAUUCCUGUCUCCUUCAUUCUCUCUUCAUACCCUUCUGGAAGUUCACUUCUCCUGACUUCUUCGCUGAAAAUAUCUCCUUUAUCCGCAUCUCUCAAUAACCAGAUGAACUUGUGCCCACUGCGCUCCAACCCAAUCGCCAGCUCCUUGAUCUGUUCAUCUGUCAGUGAAGUUGAGGUUCCAAAAGAAACCAAUAGGACAGACUUUGGAGCCUGUUUGUCAAGCCAUUCCAAGCAUUUGUCCCCAGGAUUUGAUGUUUUGUCACUGUAUGUGGUCACCAGGUUGAGUGGCCCUAAUGCCCAUCCCUUCUUUUUCACACCAUCAAUCUCCUCUUCCCGAAGUAUAUCCACAUAGGGGCCCUCUAUCAACUUGGAUGUGUAGUAGAGGUUCCCAGAGCUGAGCUUCUUAAACUCAUGCUGGAAAACCAAAAAUUUGAAGAACUCCAAUGUGAAGCAGCCGUCCAGAGAUGGAACAUCCUCUGGAAUUUUGACCCCCUCCAGCGCAGGUCUUCCCAGACUUUCCCAGAAGAAGAAGAAAAUGGAGAAAACGGAGACACUGUGAAAAGUGUAGGACUCAGCAUUACCAAUACCCACAAAAUCCUGAACCACAGAACCCAUGAGGGAGUCAUUAAUCACAAUGAGCCUGUCAACUGUAAGAGAAAGCUCACGUAGAAGCGCAGCAACAGGCUCACGAAGCUCUGAAGAUGCCUCAAAACAUGGCUGCAGAUGAGCAGGAAAUUGCACAGAGGCAUCAGGAUCAGGAGGAGGAGAGUGAAAGUGAGGAGUUGGGAAGUCAUGAAAAUGAAAAUUAGGCUCCAGAAGAGGGUCCCAACCCUGGAGUCUGAGCUUGGCUUGGUUGAUGUGGGUGGCAGAGCCCACAUAGUGGACUGGUAUGUUGUAGGAAGAGAUGAUGCGAGAGAGUUGCAGAAGUUGGUUUAGAUGGCCUUGCGCUGGAAAUGGCACCAUCACCACAGCCACAUGGGGGGCUUCUUUCACCCCAUUUUCCUCAUGGUUUUGCUGAUUUUGAUCUUCACCCAUUGUAAACUUGUAUAUGAUUAUUGCAAUGAAGCCUGAGCUUUUCAUAUAUAAGAAAAGAAAAUAAGGGUUGCAUUGGAGACAAGAGGAUACAUAACAUUUCCAUUGAUGCUCUUUUCCCCUUAGAUAAAUUAAGCAUUUAAUGAUUUGCCAACAGACUUUCUAUAUAUAUAUAUAUAUUUAUAUAUAUAUCAUUUAGUUUUUAAUUGAAUCAAAUUUUCAUACUCAUCUCAUGUUGUCAUUAGACAAAGUCUCGAAACUUCAACCCUCUCUCCUUUUUAACAUCAAAAUAAAUAGGAAGGGACAGUGUGUGAGCUCUUUCAUUUGGAAACAGCAAUGAAUGCCAUCCCCCUUUUACCUUUUCAUUUUUGUUGAUUUCAUAAAAUGGAAAAUAUAUAUAAAAUAGGAUACUGGCUUUAAAAUGUUGAAAAUUAUUAGUGUUUUACCCUACAAUCCAAACACUCCUAAGAAAAAUCAUUAAAUAUUUGGCCUUUAUAAUCCAUGUUUUUUUAAUACUGCAUUGUAUAAUUAAAAAAUGAUUUUUCGAGGAAUUAGUUGUAAUUUUAUUGUUUCAAAUUCACUUGGAAUAUUUUUUUUUAAUCUUAAAAGUGAUUUUUAAAGGUUUGAUAAAUUAAUAUCAUAUUUCUACAAGAAAUUGUUUUUAAUUAUUACAAGGCAUUUUUAAUCCCUUCAAAAUCAUUGUUUUUUCAACUUGAUAAAUUAAACCUGGUAAAACUUCUAUCAUUAAUCCAAUUGGGUGCCUUUGAAAAUGAUAGUAGAAACCGAUCUCAAAGAUCCACUUGACCUUUGAAAAAAAUAUAGGAUUUUUUUUUUUAGACAGGAAAACAAGGAGAAAAGAAGUGAUAUAUAAUUCAAUAGUAUUUUAAUUAAAAAUAUUUUAAAUAGAAACACCGUCAAACAGUAUAAUAUUAAGGUUAAUCCAUGAGUAAAAUCAAACAUUUGAUGAGCGUCAAGAUUGUAUAGGAAGAGAAGUUCCCAACUUUUAUAAAGAAUCGUGUAGACAUCAGGAAAGCUGUAAAUCUAAAAUAGGCAAUAUAGACGAUGUAGUUUGAGUGUGUGACGUGUGGGGGACAAACUGGGGCCCAACCACAACAUCAUUUCCAAGUGUUGACUAAGAACGACAGUCAGUAGCUUUGUCACAUGGUUGAUGAGAUAAGUAGCAGCAAGCUUUGCCACUUCCAAAAUAUUUCUUUUCUUGUCCACUCCAUGCAAUCUAACAUGAACAAAUGGGAGAGUGGCACACUCUUCUCCCAUUUCCAGUAGGCAUUCCCCGACCUUGACACCUGUGGAAUGACAAGAUUGCCAUGUCUGAAGAGACCAAGGCACUGUGGGAGCACUAAUGACACUCAACAUCAAGGAAGGUUACAAAACAAAAGAGGGCGUGCAGCUUCCACUUGAGCAAGUGUAGGGACGCCCAAAAUGGGCCAUGACCGAACUGGCCUAAUCCGAGCCAUACAAUUGCUCCUUUCUCAAAAACACGUAUCAUCAGAAAAGAGUAGAUCAUAAUAACUUGUUCCUCAAACAACCAAGUAGGUGUCAAGAUAAUGGCCGAUCUCUCUUCUUAGCUUGGGACUUCCACCCUGGGCCCACCGCCCACUGCAUCCAAAGGUUGUGUCAGGCGUGGAUGAAAAUGCCUGGAUAUUUUGUCGAAAUAUCGAUAGAGGUGGACACGCCGAUUAUCCGUUUGGAAAAAUUGGUAAAAUCAUCUAAAUAUUGUCGAUUUAUUGAUUUAUCGAUGAUUUCUCGACGCAACAUGUGCAUGUGGAAGGAAGAAAAUAGGUGAUUAAUCGCCAAGAAACCAGGCGAUUUAUCAGUGAUUUUUCAAAAAAGCCCAUUUUAAAACAAAUUUAUCCUAAUUUUUUUAAUUUAUAUUUUAUUUUAAAUUUAUAUUACCCUUUGUUUAUUUAUUUUUUAUUAUUUUUCAUAUUUAUUUCAUUAAUCCUAUUUUAAAAAAUUACCAUCACUUAACUUUUAUUUUUUUAUAUUUAUCCUUUUAAUUUUAUUCAAUUUUAAAUGUUUUUAUUUUAAAAUAUUAAAAAUAUAAAUUUAUUACAAAUUUGCUCAAAUAUAAAAAAUAAUAAUAAUAAAGUUCCAAUAUUUUAUAAAUUAAAAUUAAUUUGAUAAGAUAAAUUAUUAAUAUUAUUUUUAAUAAUUUUAAUUAUUUAAAUUAAUUAAUGUUUAUAGAAAAAAAUUAUCACUAUAAAUUUAUAAUAAAACUUUAAAAAUUAAAUCCCAAAUAGAAUAUUUUAUAUAAAUCGAUUUAAUUUUAUAUUUAAAAUGUAAUAAAAACAUGUUUUAAUAAAAGUAGUUUUUAAUUUUUAAAAUAAAUGAAUAUAAAUGUAUUAAAAGAAUUUAAACUAAUUUUUUCUGGAAAAAAUUUUUUUUGAUAAACACUAUCUUUCAAUGUACCUAUGUCAAUUACCAAAAUAACUUUAAUAUGUAUAUUUUUAUUUAUUUUAUGAUAGUGUUCUACUCAAACAUAUAUCCUUUUGGAUAUAAUAUAGGUACCAAUAUAUCCAUGUUUACUAAACACUUGGUGCCAGGACUAGUUUCCAAUUUCCGGGAAGCCAAACAAUGAUAUAAGUUUUGGGCCAGGUCUAAUGGCUGGGUAUAAAGAAAAGAUGGAGUUAGCAGCCCAAUAGCCAGCCCAUGGAGUGAGGGAUGCUCAGUUUCAAUGUGUUUGAUAGGGUUAUCCAACAUCAUGAGAUUUUGAUUAUGUUGCAGAAGAGUCCAAAAAUUUAAAAAUGGGAAAUGAAAAUUCACUGCUUCAAUUAUGAUGAAGUCCAUUCGCAGGCGUCUAAUAUCACCCCUUCUGAAAUUUUGGAGAAGACAAAAGGCAUAUUAACAUGGACGAAAGUUUGAGUAAACUGGAUAUUUUUUACAGGACCUUUUCCUCAGGGACCAACGGUUUUCCAUGUCCUACCAUGUUGAUAAUGUUCUCAAAGCAAACAUCAUAUUUUGUACACCUUAAAGUUCAUCCAGAUUGUCUACGGUAGAACAGGAAGUUCCACUCUGUUGAAGGAGAAGAAACUGACCCGUCCAUGCGAUACAUGGAAAAACUUGAAAGGUAUGCUACCACACCGUCUCUCAAGGUCUUCAAUCUCUGUUUUCAAUGGCGGAUGACCCCUAUGUCAGAAAACAAAACAGUUCAGUUUUUAGAACAUGUCAACAAUAAGCAACCAAAAGCAUACAAGGGAGAAGAAAUGAAGCAUUAGAAAAUGAAAAGACUGAAUUCUAAUGACCAUUAAAUGAUAGUUAUGGCCUAAUCCAGAGGUGUUUUCUUCAAGAGCAAACACUUCUUUUUAGUUAUAAACCAAAAGAAUGGUAACAUUCCAAAUUUCCCCAUUUUAACAGAGCUAAAGAUGUUAUAAAAUGUCAGCGAACAAGCCUAUGGUGCUCCAGAGAAGUCAUAAUCAACAUAAGAGCACAAAACGAGCAGUAAAGCAUAGCACAACCUUAGGCAUGAAGAUUUUUUUUUUUAUAUAUAAAAAAAGUUAUUUGGUUGAUUAUUAUUAUGCAACAGCCCCUGCUUCUUUCAGACUACUUUAACCUAUCAAAAUAUUAACCAAACAGGGCAGUCCAGGUGACACCAAUACGAGUUCUGUGUAACUAACUAGGACCAUAAUUGAUCUUUUCUUUCCUACAUCUCCCAAAUCUUGGAAAACAGAAUUUGAAACUACUGAGUGAAGAUUUGUCAUUUCCAAGUUUUCACCGCUUUUGCUAUGCAAAUAAUUUCUGUGAAAUAGAGGGAAAGCAUAGCAAGAAUCUUGCUUCAAAUACAAACAUUUAGCAUAAGGAGCAUGCUUCUCUUCAUGCUGGAAGAAUUCAUCACCCCUUAAAAGAUUUUAAUGAUGGGAACUGUCCCCUUGCAAAUUUUUAAGAACAUUUCCACAAAAUUAAUGGAAAUGACAUUUUAAUAAAGAAACAUGGAUAUGAAUAUCCAAUUAAUCACCACUCAAAUAGCCCACUAAAAAUAAUUUCCUUAUAGGAAGUAGUAAACCUUCAGUAAUACUAGGAGUUAAAAUGUACUUUGAUGUAUCACAACUAUGAAAAGCUAUGACAAGCAUGACUUCCACUUCCAAUAAAAUUCAGCAUUUAUAGAUAUCUUGACAUAUAAUUUUGUCUUAAACCACACAACAUUUGGGAAAAAAACUCUACGCAUUUGUCAAGAACACAACUUAAACAUGCCUCCUGAGAAAAAAACAUCAUAGCUACAUCUAACAUAAGCGAAAAUUUGAACAUAACCUAGCAAAAAAUGUUUGUCACAGAAAACUUAAUGAAAUACGGUUUACCUGGUUAAGCAGAGCACAAAACUUGGAUCUCCUGGAGAAGACUUCCUAAACUUGCUAUUAGGAAGAUAGACAUCAAAAAGCAGUUUAACUUCAGUAAUGUGCAUAUUAUUGACCAGUUCUAUGGUGGAAUUUUCUUCUUCUGAUCCUUCAUCUGUUCUACUGUUGCCUUCCGGGGUGCCUUGAUGGGAAUCCAAACAAGUUUUGGCACCCUUCGAAGUCCAAGGGAUCCCAUGCCGCCCAACAAUGUAACCAAGAGACUUCAAGUGCCUAUAAGCCUCAAAAGACUCCCAACAACAUCCACACUUCCCUUGUGAAACCUUAUCAUAUAUACCUUUUAAGGAAAUAGGCACAUCAUUAUCAUCCAAUAGAUGCAAUGCCCCUAGUUCAGCCAAAAACCUACACAAAAAGCUUUAGACACAUUACUAACAAAAAAGGGUAUAACUAACAAGUACUUCUUAGUCUUCUCCCCAAAGAUCACACAUGUGAAUAAUUUGUUGUAUGCCUAUAGAAAAAUUUAGUUCUCCUUAAAAACUACAUGAAAGGUUAAAAUCAAUGUCUUUUUUUUUAUUGUAUAUUUCUCGAAUACUACUACGUAAGAAAGAUACAAUCAAAAGUUGACUUUAAGUUAAAUUAUACUUAAGUUGUUAACUUAAAACUUACUAUUUAAUUUUACUUUUAAGUAUUAAAAUUGUUUGAUAAAAUUAACUUAAGAUUUAUUCUAAAUCAUCAAAUUAACAUAUUUAUCUUCAUAAAUUAUAACUAGUGCAAAGGAGCUCGAGUAAUAAUGGAGGUGGUGGAAUAGUAAAUGAGAUCAUAGAGUUAACCAAGGCAAAUAGGGGUAAAAGAGUAAAAUGAAAAUGUGGAGUUGAGAAUAAGUUAAUUGUUUUUACUUAUUACUUAAAGUUGUUUUUUACUUUAAUUCAUACCAUUAAGUUAUUUUACCAAACAUACUUAGUUUACUUAUUAACUUAAAUUAAGUUAUUAAGUUAAUUAGUUUAAGUUAUUAAGUUGGUUUACCAAACACCCACUUAGUCAAAGACUUUUUGUUAGGCUAUAGACUUUGGAGGCUAGACAAAGUAAGAAGGUUUGGUGUUCAACUCCCCUUUGCUUGUUUUGGCACAUUUUGAGAGAGCAAAACAAUCAUGUUUUUAAUAGGGAAGAGAUUUCAAAUUAAAAUUUAAAGGAGUUUCUAGUUAUGUUCCUUUGAGAAUGGUCUCUUUAGCUAUGAAAAUUUUACAUUGAUGAAAUUCAUUAACAAUGUUAACUGUAUAUGGUUAGGUCACUUGGUUUUCCCUUUUUUUUUGGUGCCCCUGUGUAUAACCCCUUGUGUACAUGGGAUGUGACUCCUUGUUUGUCGCCUUUAAUCAGAUUCUGCUUGUCUGUCAAAAAAAUACUUCUUAAGUACUAAUAGGUUCAACUCCAACACAUUCUGGAAUAAACUUCAAGUUUUGCUGAAACCGGCUAAUUUAGACAACAUAAUAAAUGGAAAUUUUGCUAAGUUAAAUUUUUUUUUUUUGAUAGGUGAAAUUUUGCUAAGUUAAAUUACGCAUUGCUUAGUGUUUACGUUACUCCUUUGCUUACUCUUUCUGUUGCUUUUCUUUUUCCUCUGUCAAGGCACCAAAGAAAAUUGGGGUGCAAAACAACAAAAUUACAAAGAAAAUAGAACCAUUUUCAGCUCUCAUUGUGCGUUAAAAAGGAAUUACAUGAGAUAUAAAUAUUAGCAAUCUUGUAAGUAAUUAUAUCAUACUCAAAAUAUUAGCAAUCGUUCACAAUGUUUAAUGUGUCUAAUGGUGACUAUUUGACCAACUUUAAAUCCAUCAAUAAAUCCUCCACUUGACCAUCCUUUACAUGGUAGCACAACAAUAUAGUCAUAAGUCUAAAACUGUGGUUGCACAGCUGUCUAGGCCAUCUAAGGUUUUUUUUCUAGCUCCUAUAUGGAAGACUCACAAUAGCAUCCUUUUCAUAAAGGUAAACAUAUUAAAUCAAAAGCUCGCUCAAUUACUCAUAUUGGGUUUGUGGAAGUUGCAUUAUCACAUGUCAAGUGAUAUAAAGAAUGGCAAAGGAACAAACAAUAAAAAAAAUUAUGAGAAAACAACAAUUAAAAUCAAAGUCUGCAAAUCUCAUACAGAGUCUCCUCAAUUGAGCAAUAGAUCUUGCCGCUAUGAAGCAUUCCUGUUGUUGUCCACAUUUUGCCCUUCAUUUCUACAACCUCAGCCAUUCUCAUUGCAUCAUUCCAAAUUGCCUUGGAAACAUCUUUCCUGAGAAAAAUACACACAAUUAGGUUGUAAAGUGCCCAUUUUGAAACUUGAUGGGAGUUAUUGUUCUAAAAAUCUACCUAAAUUGUAACUUGGAUAUGGAACUAGAAGUAUAGUAAUGUUCUUCUUCAUCAUUGGCAUCUUGAAGAUAGAUUUCAGAAUCACUAGCUCCAUCCUCCAUUAUAUCAAUUGCUGAUAAAAAUCACAGUUCAAUUUUAGAAAUCCAGUUGUCUAAACAAGCAACAAGAAAAAGAAAGGAAAAUAAAAAACAAUAUAAGAAGUCACUGCACCAAUAGUUUUGGUCAAACUUGCAGAAUUUUAAUAUUGAAAAACUUUUUCUUUAAAAAGAAAACAGAAAAAGAAAUGAGAAAAGAUUCUGUACCCUUGUUCUGCAUGAGUAGUGACACACUUUUCUUCUUUCUCCUCCAAUAAGGAUUAAAGCUUUGCAUUGAAUUGAAAUUCUUCCAAAUGAGCAGUUGUCUUGUCAUUGUGACUUAUAACUUCAUCAUCAAACCUAUCUAUGACUCAUCCAACGAUGGGCUUGUGUGUUAAUCUGAUACUCCAUCAAAUCUUUUAAUCUCCAUGUCACCAAAUUUUUUAAUUUUACUUCCUUAUCCAGAGAUGAUUUCUAAGUUCCCACUCAAGCUUCUUCUAUUCCACUUCAGAGAUUAUUUGUAAAAUAAAAAUAUUAUUCUAAAAAAUUUUUAAUGCAAGAUAUUGGAUUAUUCUUUCCUGUGCCAAUAAUCUCAUCAUGUAUAAUAUAUAAUAACACUAAUUUACCUUUUUUUCUGCAACCAAUCCCAUUUACUAGAAGAUAUGAUAACUCAAUCUCAAAGAUGGGAAAGUUCACAAAUAAUGACACUUAUUCACUUUAAUUUAUCAUUUUAAAAUUCUAAAAUAUAUAAUUUUACUUCCUCGUACCCCUCAUUUUAAAGAAUAGUAUAGGAAUGAAUCAUAAAUCCUUGUAUCAUUCCACAUAUCGUCUGAGAAAAAAGAGAGGCACAAAUGAUGAACAUGUUCCCAAGACCCUCUAAGCCAAAUCCAAAAUUGCAUUCCUUAUCAUCACUUUGCCCUUCUCCCAAUGAUACAAUGAUCUAGUGGAUCGUACCUCAAUUGAUCCUCUCCAUAGAAAAACAGCCUUAGCCGACUCUAAAUCAUCUCUUGCAAGAAGUUCAAAUAUCACAACCAUCUUUAUCAUCGUACGACUUACUAGAAAGGUAAAUCUUGAAAAACAGAAACUAUUGAAAUCCCAUACCUCCAGAUUUGGCUGAGAGUUGCGUUUGCUGCAUGCGCCGCACUGACUGCAAUUCGCUUGAAAAAACCCUAAUUGAAGAAUUUAUGAAAGGGACGACAGGAGAAGUGGGUCAUGUGAAAUGAACCGUAUCUACUGAAUGGCGCCCCAAUAGGCUUGGCCCAAUACUCAAUGGUUUCGGCCUGAUAAGGUUAAAAAGCAGGUUAUGUUUGUUUGGUUAUUUUUAUAUUGAAUUUAUGAUUCUAUUUACAUAAUACCUUUUAAUCUAUUUCCUUUCCUUAAGAAGUUGUAAAGAUUUUGUGUAUUUUAUGAUCUAAGAAAUUAUCUUUUACUACUUUUUAAUGAUAUGGAUAUUAUUUUUAUUAUUAUAAGUCAUAUUUUAUAUCAUCUUCCAUAUUAUCUUUGAGUGUGAAAUUUGAAUUAUUUUUAAGGUAUUUGUUUGGUUCCAUAUUAUCUCCCAAACUAAUUUCUUUCGAACCGAGGAAGUGGUGUGACCGGGCCCAAAGGAAAAGUGAGGCAAUUGGGCCAUGAUUCAUGAAAGAAGAAUUCAAAAAUAGAAAGUUGGGUAAUGAAUGCAAAGACUGGACCAGCCAAAGUGAACUACUCCACUAGUCUGCAAAAGCCACGUAAGGAUAAGAAUGGAGGACUUCUUUUAAUGGGGGAAUCACGUUACCAUACGCAACCCCAAAAAAUUUGAGCUUUUCAAACUUUGUUUUCUGACUUUUUAAUUUAAGUGUAGAAUGAAAAACCAAAUUACAAUUUUAUACACUCAAACAAUAACUCUAAAUUUCUUUACAAAAUUACCCUGCCGCCUCGUCCACCACACCAAAAUCUGUUGAAACCUCACCGGCGUCUUCUUUACAAUUCAUCAAUUUAAUAAAGAAAGGCUGAUUUGCAUUCCAAGCGCUUUCAAAAAACACAAAAGUUCAAUAACAAGCAAUAACAUCACGUUAUAUUCUAAGUAAUCACAUAUUCAGUCAAUUUAAUUUAAUACAAUCUCAACACAACGAGUAAAAGACAAUGUUCAAUCAUAAACUUUAAUUUAAAUAAAUGGUGAAGAAAAUGUUCAAUGUAUUUUAUAGACAGGAGAAAUAAACACAGUUUUGAAGGACUAAAGAACUACUUACUCUUAGUAGCAAAGGGAUGUGUCAAAUGUUUGGAACAUCAUAGAGAGUUAUGAUGUUUUCUGCCUGAAAAUAAGUGAUUUAAUUUAGUUAUCUAGCAUUAAAAAAUUAGUAACAAACUAUUUGGAAAAAACCAAUACGAAGAUCAGCAUCUUGAUUAUGGUACCGACACAUGACAAAAUUGAGAAAGUUUGGCACAUCAGUCGCCACCGGUGAGAGGCAGCAAGAGCAGUGGGUCGCUGGUAGUGGUGGCGGUGGUGUUGUGGAAAGGGAAGGAAAGAGAGAGAAAAAGAGGGAAGGAAAUGGAGAGAGGGGAGAUUGCCGACCGGAGAGAGGUGUGAAUGACGGCCAGUUGCAGUGGAGAGGGAGGGAGAAGCAGAUGGUGGGUAUGGGAGAAAAAACAAAAGGAUAAUUUUGGAAAUUCACUAUUUGAGUGUAUGAAAGGGGUUAUUUCUUUUCUAUCUUACACUUAAAUUGAAAAGUCAAAAAAAAAUUUGGGAUUGGUUUAUGGUAACAUGAUUUUCCUUUUUUUAAUUUUUUUGUCUCCUUCACAGCUUACAAAGGGAAUCAUUUCACGUGGCCCUCCUCUAAAGUCUCACUCGCUCUGUAAUAAAUUCCAAGAAGAUUAGGGUUUCAUGGAAAUAUCUCAAGCGAAUCAGGCUCAGUGUGGCCGAUGCAGCAAACUCUCAAAUCUCUAUAUCCGGAGGUAUGGAAUCUCAAAACUCCUGUUUUUUGAGCUUUAGUUCUGGAUUAUGUCAUGUGAUGCUUAAGAUGGCUGUGAGAUUUGAACGACUUGUAACUCAAGGAGAUGAUGCAGAGUUGGGUAAGGCUGCUUUUCUGUUGGGAGGAGGGCAAGAUAACGAUACCGAACGUGAGUUAUGAUUGUUAAUUGGCUUAGGAGGUCUUGGGAAUAUAUGUUUUUUCCGUGCAUCUCUUUUUUCUUAGAUGAUGUAUGGAAUGAAAUUAGGGUUUAUAUUUCCUUCCAUCGUUAUUAGGUUAAAAGAAGGGCACAAGGAAGUAAAAUUAUAUUUUUUAAAGUUUUAAAAUGAUAAAAACGAACAAAAAAGUUUUUCUUUUAACGAAAUUUUUCUACUUUAAAAUUAAGUUACUAUAUCUUUUAGCAAAUGCGGGUAAUGACAGAUAAAAGAUUGUUUGUCUUAGAUGAUGUAUGGAAUAUAUUUCAUCCUAUCGGCACAAGGAAGUAAAAUUAAGAUAGAACAAUGAGUGAUAAAGUUAUCAGGAGAAGAAUGGAAGAUAGAUUUGUUUGAGUUAGGAACAUAAACAUGGAUUUGCUCGAAUUGUUUGUGAUAAUGAGAAGACAGUGAAAAUAUGAGAGUGAGGAUUAUUGGCUUGCUUCUCUAGAUUAAUGACCAGACUGGACUUGAUCUACGAACUAAACUCGUAUUCAAGCUGUUGCUACUCAAAGACUCGUGUCCUGGGGAACUUCAAUGCAAAGAUAAAAGGUGAUUGUGGGACUCAUGACCUGGGAGGCUUGAAUGCAAGAUAGAGAUGAUGCAAGAUAAAGAUAAUUGUGAGUAGUGUUGUUGGAAUGAAAAUUCAUUUGUAACAAAUCAUCUGUUUUGUGAUGUAAUGUUGUUAAAACAAUUUCAAUUUCCAUUCUCUUGUUGCAAUGACAAUUCCUUUGCAAUAACUAGCACUUUUCUUUGAAAUUCCGUCAGUUUUAACAUCCCAUUCACAUAUAUACAUACAUUCAUGCUUUUCUCGACCCUGGGGUUCUUUCAUAGCCAAUGCUUUAAAAUUUGUUUUAUUACAGAAUCCACUUUCUGGUAGAAGGAUAGAAUUUAAUCAUGAACAAGUGAAACGAGUUUGCUCACUAUUGCAGCAGGUGUUGUAAGAAAGAACCGAAAACAAGUUCUCUCUUUUCUAAUAUGGUAAUCAACUUUAAAAAAGGGAAAUAAGUAAAAAUCUUGAUAGCAAGAUGCUCAUAUUAACAAUGGCAGCCCACUGCAACUCAUAGUAUGAAAAAUAAGUCCCGCAAAACAUUAAUUUCUUUCUCCUAUUAUCAAACAAACAAAACAGCAGUCAUGAUUCAUGAAAGCCUGGUCUUACUGUUUUUGUACAAAAUGUAUCUGUGAUGCCGUCAACACCGAAGGACCAUGUCAUUUUACAUCUCCAGAAUGCAGGUAUCUCAAACUGCCACAUUUUGUUGCUUGACUAAGGAAGUGGCAUCUCAAACUACCUAUCCUUUGUUCGUUCACAACGUUCGAGCAACCUUUUCGUACAAAUCACGAGGCCAGUUCCUAUUCAAAUUGUUUGCGAGAAAAUUGGCAAUCUGCAAAGGUCAGAAGGAUGCAUCCAUCAAAAACCGAGAAAAACACCGUGUUAAGAAGCAUGCUACAUUUUGUUGUUGCACCAUGCCUAGGUUACCUUGAUUUUCACCCAAUCAACCUUGGUCAGAUCCCAAACACAUCAUCCAUCAAUUACUCACUAACUAGACUUGUUACUAGGCUACAGAUUUACUUGAGAAAACCAUCAAAAUCCCAUGGACCAAAUUGAGGAAACCCUCGUAUAGCAAGAAAAGAAGAGACUAGACAUACAUGGAUGGUUCUAUCAACUCAGGGUAUCAGCAUGAAACUGACCACAACCCACAAAUAUUUGCUAAAAGAUCAUUUUCAAAAUUUCACAUUACCAAGAAAAUUAUUUAAAGAGCCACUAAUCCAUGAAUGUGAGAUCAAAUCCAAAGGCUUAACCAACUUAUUGAAACAGGACAUCUAUAAACAAUAAAUAAACUACCUAAAAGGGCAACAUGAAUGGAAUUACCUGGGGCAAUCACAAACUCUGCUAUGUGCCUGUAAAACUAAAGGUGCUAUUGCUUUAUAAAUUUAUUUUAUUUUUAAUUAAGUCUUAAACCUUUUAGAUAAAGCAAGCUCAAUCCAGCAGAAUUAUGGUCGGUUUCACGCAAGGCAUAAAAAAUGUAAACCAACAGUCACCAGGGUUAGUAUGAAACUAACUAUAUCACAUUCAAUCUCAAGGCAUACACAAAUUAGUUUACAUAAAUACACCAAAAAUUUGCAUUUCAAAUAACACACCCUACCAAUGCUACCAAUGCCAAGAAAUUCUAAAGGGCUUUCAGGAGGAAGGGCAUAUAAUUUGGAUAUUUAAAAUAUGAGGAAUAUCAAAAUUCAGUAUUUUUUUUAACAUACCUUAGUCCUCAAGGCCCGAAGUGAUCCAUCAGUAUCCGUCACAUAGUCCAGACAACUGAGAGCAAUCUUCAGAAGGUCAGGCACACAAGCUUGGACAUGGGGAGAUAAAUUCUGAAACACAUCAGGUGUGGUAUCUGGCGCUCGUGGAUCAAGUGGAAGAAAUGGAAGUUUAGCAACCUCCCUCAGGGCAUCUAGAUAAUGGCCCACUCUCGCCAACUUAUGGAUAGACAAUAUUGCCUCAAGCUCUCUUAGUACAGUCUGUUGCUCCAUAACAUGUUCCCUCUCUUGAAGACUGCACAUUGAGUUCAAGUGAUUAUAAGUAUAUAAUAAAGUAGCUCGUGCCCACGAUGGGCGGGCUCCCUUUACUCAUCAAAAAAAAUAAGUUUAUAAUAACGUACUGAGACAAGUUAUGAAAUUUAAACCUUGAUAUCCAUAAAAAAAGAAAGCCGACAUCCAAGUUAGUGCUUAAUCAAAGGAUGAUAUGGUUCAGAAUCCUCUGAAAAAUUCAUAUUUCUAAAAAAUAACCGUGUUAACUAUGUCAUUCUCAAUUCACUUAGAAAUUAUUUCACCACAUGAAAGCAUUGCAAACUCAAACUAGCAGUCAUAAUAUGAUGGAGUAGUCAGGAAGCCAACAAUAACAAUAAAACUAACCAGCAUAAGAACAAUAGUUCUUAUUUUAAAAAAUGAACAUGACAUACACUCAAGAAAUUCAGUCCAAGAAUUUUUUUUCAAAAUUCUCACCAGUGAGAAUGAAUUUGAGCCAAGGGAACAGAUAAACAGAAUCCUGUGGUGUUCAUAAUUCUCUGGAGAACUUCGAAAUGAAUAUGAUAUACACUCAAUAGAUUCAGGACAUUCAUGAAUACAUAAAAGCAUGUGACAAACUGAGUUAUGCAUGUGCUCAAUAGAACACUCGUAUGUAAUCUGCACUUCAACAAGUCGGAGAAUUUUGUCAGUCUACAUAAAAUAUGGGAGUACUAGCAUUUUGCUGGAAUUCACACUUGCUUCACACGAUAGACUUUUAUGGUACACCUCUCAGUUUUUAAGAUCCUCUUUUCACACAACAGUUUAUAUUUUGGGCUGAACCUUUGGAAAGACAUUAGAAAAGGGUGGGAAAAGUUCAUUCUUAGAACUAGUAUCCGUAUUGGAAAUGGUAGACACACAAGUUUUUUGGUGGGAUAAUUGGGUUGGGGAUUCUAAGUUGAAGGAUGUUUUUCCUUCUCUAUUCAGGAUUGCAGCCCACAAAUUUGCUAUAGUGGCAGACCUUUGGGGGAGGCAAGGGGGUGGAGGCGGUUGUUGGGAGGUGGAUUUUAGAAGAUCUUUCCAAGAUUGGAAAUUAGAGGAGGCGACUCGUUUUUUAGAACAUAUUUCUGUGCAAAAAGUUGAAGAAGGGGAGGAUUCUUUGGCUUGGAAGAAUGAUGGAAGGGGAAAGUUUAGUGUCAAAUCAUAUUAUUAGUCGUUACGGGAUGAAAGCAAUAUUUUAUUCCCUGCCAAUGAGAUCUGGGAUUCGUGUGCUCCUCUUAGAAGUUGUUUUUUUGUUUGGAAAGCAGUUUGGGGAAAAAUCUUAACAGUAGACACAUUAAUGAAGAGGGGAUGGUCCAUGGUCAAUAGGUGCAGCAGCCUUUGUAAAGAUAGUGAAUAAUCAGCUAACCACAUUUUGAUUCAUUGCGACAAGACAAGAAUGUUUUGGAUUGUGUUGUUAACUUCUUUCAAACUGGUAUGGGUGUUCCUGGAUUCAGUGAGAAAUCUUCUUCUAAAAUGGAAAGUUAAGGGGCUGAGGAAGAAGAAAAGAGUAGUGUGGAGACUGGCUUCGAUGUGUCUUUUUUGGUAUAUUUGGGGAGAAUGAAAUCGAAGGACUUUUCAGGAGUAAAAGAUGUCUGACCAAAGUCUGACAAAGCUCUUUACCCGUUCACUAUUAGAGUGGUCUCAGUAGGUUCUAGCAUUAGACAAUCCCUCUUUUUUUGAAAUUUUGGGUGUCCUUAAUGGAGACUAGACCUCCUAUUGUAGGUCUUGUUUCUCCUUUCUAGAGCCUGGUUGGGUUUUGUUUGUAUACUGCCUGUAUACAUGGAGUGCACCCCUGUUUUUGGCUGUUUAUUGUUCAAUUUGCCUUUGUCUAUCAGAAAAAAAAAAGGUUUUAAUAUGCAUCAUAAAUUUGGUAGAAGCAAAAUUGGCACCAAAUAAUUUAAUGAAAUGGUGAAGUAUAGAAUUGACCUGACUUCAGGAAAAUAUUUGUAUGUCUCCAGGAUCUCAUUGCCAGACUGAAUUAGCCCAGCAGUUCGGCUCUCACCAUCCAAUCUACCACGAGCCAAAGCACAAACUGCUUCAGAGAGGCACUUAUUAAUUGUAUCCAACGCCAUUGAAAAUGCCCCAAUUCUCUUCUGAAUUUCUAUAGACUGUAAUUUAGUGGUAAAAUUAAGAGGUGAAUUCAUCAGACUAGACACAAAAUAAUGAACAAGAUGACAAAGAAUAGUUGAAGCAAAGAUGAAUGUUUAUAAGAUGCAAACUUGGAAAAUAAAACCAUUUCGUAAAACCCUAAAUCUCUGCCUUGCUCCCGCUCAACCAAAUAAAUAAUGAAGACAAAAAGAAAGAAAUAAUGUUGGGGAUAGGGGAGAAGAAAGAAACAAACCCGCUGAAUGUUUGACUUUCAAGCUAAUAGUGGAAUCCCAAAGAAGAAAUAGCCAAGGUUUUUUGAACGAGAGUCGGAUCAACAAAUGAGGCAUUAUAAAAAGUGAUGAUAAAAUAAGCCAUAAAAUUCAUGUAGCACAAUAUAUCCCUUAAUUAAUAGAUAAUCCAGUAUAAAACAUCUCAAACAUCACAAUCAAGCAAGCUAUGUAGGAUGUGAUUUUACACGGAUCAACAAACUGGGAAUGCCAAAAGUUUAAAAUAGAGUAACCAGCCAAGGAGAAUCUUGAAAUUUUGAAAGAACUUUUUUCCUUUAUGAUUCCCAGGUGUUAUGUAAUUAUAAUUCUAAUUAUAAUACUCAUAAUUGUUUACGAGUAUAAUUAUCUUCAUUACUCUUACCAUUUUUCUAAAUUGGAACAAGACAAUGCAAUCAUUCUACUCAUCCCUAUCGGCAACAUGCCAAAUAGCACAACUUGGGCAUGGUGAAGCUCAUACAAGUUCCCACUGUACUUGUAUAGAACUCUGGAAAAAAGUAAAAAGUUAAAAAAUGGAGGAGCAGAAGAAGUAUUACUUGAUCAUACAGCCCAGCAUCCUGACACUGGCGAGAAGCUUCAAGCAGAAAUUGCUGUCUUGCUUUUACAUCAGUCAGAAAACGAGCCAGUUCACCUUCUUCUCCAGCACCUCUCGGACCAAGUAAAAGAUAAAUCCCACCAUCCCUUAAUAACAGUUCAGUGAGGAGUUGCUUCAGCAUCAGAUUUCUCUGCCAUUGCUGAUCUAUAUUGCCCCUUCCAGUCCAUGACAACUGUCCACCUCCCACUGCAGCAGCAGCUUGUGCAUAAUAUUCUAAUGCUGUUGAAAGAUCACCAGCACGUAAAUACACUGAUCCGUACUGCCGGAUUAUGCUAGAUGCCUCUGCAAAAGCAUCCAUCACCCCCAAUUUCUGUCCUACCCCAGCACCUUCUGAAAGGACCCCAUGGUCUGCUAGAACAAUUGAUAUAUGGGUAGCAUCAACAUUAUACCCUUCAACUCCCAUUUCCUUAGACAAGUAUAGGACUGCUGGUAGCAACUGGAUACUUAGAAGUAAAACAUAUGGAUAUACCAGAGGGUCCUUUCCAUUUUUUGUAUAAUAUGAUGGCUCAAAUUUAUUUAGGUAAUUCUGCAAAUCAUCCAAACUGUAUGGUACCAAGCCCUCAUUCAGGACAACAGAUGAGGAUCCACCUGGACAGUCCCGCACAGCUGACAAUUUGAACCACAAGAAAUCCUCUAUGGUAUUGAAAAGAGUUGGAAGAUCUCUGAGCAAGCGAUCAAUAUGCCUGCGAGAACCAGAUAUGAUAGCAUAAAGCAGCAACCUUUUUUUGUCAUAUGCUGCACGACCCACACGAUCGCCCAUUCUUAACAUUUUAUCGCAUUCCUCUGAAGCAACUGCUGCAAUCUCUGCUGAUACCAUACCUCUUGUAGUAAUCCAUUCUGUGAGCUGUCAAGAAGGGCAAAAAUGACUAAGAUCAAAUAAAGACUCCCAUGUAUAAAGUACAACCAAUAAAUAAUCAAUACCUGAGAAGCAAACUGAUUUGAAACACGAGAUGAUCUGGCAACCUCUAUUGCUUCCUCGUAAUACCCAGUCCUCAAGCAAAAAUAAAUCUGUUGUUUCAAAGUAGAAAUAGGAGUCAGAUGGAAUGGGCACUAUUUCCAAAAACAUAAUUAGAUAUUGAAGGCUACAAGUAGAUUUAAUAUGUGAACAACAUAAUAAAUAAAAGAAAUAAAUUAAGUGAUUUUUCCAUUCUAUAUGAACUUGUGAUUUCAAAUGGCAUUCAUCUUGCUUGCUUACAAUCAUUUGCAUGAAAAGCAACUGAAAGGUAUUCUAAUUCUCUUCCAUACUUCCUCUAGUCAUUAUUACAAAACCCUAAGAAACAAAAGAAAACAAAGAGAGAGAGAGAGUGGACUCGUAAAAAAGUGUACCAGGCCCACACAAAAGCAGAUAAAGAAAAAAGACCAACUUAAUCAACCAUACACAUGCCCUAAAUUAAUAAUCCAGUCCCCCCAUUAAUUCAGGAUAUCCACAAAAAUUUGAAGUUACAGUUUCUAUAAAGAGUAUAGAUUCACCCAGCUCACCCAUUUGACACACAAUGGGUGUAGGAGUGGUGACCUUAUUAGAUACUCCCUACUUUGAUUCAGAUAUGGCUGUUUGAUUUUGAUUGAUUUUUUUUUUCCUACCUGUUUAACUGAUAAUUACCUUAGAAAGGGUAAAAAAUUGCUGGAAAAUAAAUUUCCAAAAAAAUAUUUAAGGAUAAGAAAGAAAAGACGGAUAAAAUAGAAAAGACAGGAGUUCUUAUCAAUUAUAUUUUUGCUUUUGAUUGAUCACUAAUUAAAUUUUUCUUUCUUUUUUUUUCCCCUUCUAUUAUGCCACAUCCAAAUGUUCACCCAUUAUUGAGAUCCUAUAUUCAAGUCGUGGGUGUGAAGAACUAGACAUCUAGACACAUACUUGUACCUGAAACCGGGACUCAAACCCGUACAACAUAACUCAAACAUGGUACAACUUUUAGAGAUUAUGCAAAUUUUCUCAAUUGAAGCUUUCAGAUACCACAUUGAUUUAAACUUGUCAGCUAACAUGGAAUCUGAGGGUACAACAUAAUUUGAGCAAUCAAAGCAAGAGAAUAUAAGAUGAAGUAGCAUGUUAACUAGCUAAAUCACCAAGGACAGGAUUGAUGAAUCAUCAUUUCUUGCAUGUGCACAUCAAAAUCAAAGGCUUCCAGAUACAACAUUGAUUUCAACUUGUGAGCUACCAUGUAAUCUGAGACUAUGACAUAAUUUGAGGAACCACAGAAAAGGAAAAUACGAUGAAUCAGCAUGUUAACUAGCUACAUCACCAAGGACAGGAUUGACCAAUCAUCAUAUCUUGCAUGUGUACAUUAAAAUCAAAGGCUUCCAUGAAGGAAAAUGCUGGGUAAAAGGUACAGAAUCAGGAUAGAAGGGCACAAAACCUGCUGCCAAGUGGUAUCAACAGGAGGUUGUCUACGAGCAUCACCUGCAUCAAAAUCUAGAACCCCAUAGUCUCUCAAACGAAUCUGCCAUGGGAGAAAUAGAAAAAAAAACUAGUAAUUAUGGGUAAAUAGGCAUCCAGACUCCCCAACAUCAAAACCAUUAACAACUGAAUAUAGAAAUAUUAUGACAAACCCGAAGAAAGGCAUGGAUUCUUUGCAGAUUUCCAACAACCCCACCAAGAGCAGCCUACACUUGGAUCAAAAGGAUGAUCAGGGGAAAAAAAAAACCACAUCAGGUAACUAAGAGCUGCUCCACAGAAGCAAAAAUGCUAAGGUUCUUCAAUCAUUAUGAAAAAAAUAAUUCAAAUGAGCAAGGAAGUAUACUAAGAGUUAGCUGAACAAACAGAGAAGCGAUAAUUGAUCAAAACAUUAGUGCUCAUGGAAGUAUAUGACACCAUCAACCAGCACUAAGAUUAUGAUAAACAACUUUAUUACCUGUGCAGGAUGACUUUGUAUCGUAUCUAUCAUAUAUUUCUCAUGUCCCCAUUCGAGGUGGCGCCUAGCACCAAUUACUAAUGACAUUUUUUUUGAAACAUUCCAUUGAGCAGCUGUAUCCUCACCCAUUAAUGUCUGUCAAAUAAUUGAACCAUUAACCACUUGCCAGAAAAUAAUGAAAGAUAACCUGAGCUUAUAAUUGGAAAGCAUACCUGAAUCAGGUGCCAAAUCUUCUGCAUGUUAACAGAUUUGCCACCAGAUGUCUCAAGGCCCAAACUAUCAUAAGCACCCUUGAAAGCUGUAGCAGGCUAAUAAGAAGGAAUACAUUUUAAAAAAGAAGUCAAAAAGUAAAAUAGUAAACCAGAGAAAUAACUUAAUCCAAGUGCACAACCACCAAGAUGAGAUCAUUGCUUGAUAUAUCGUAACAUUCAUAUCCUAACCAGAGGCUUGAUUGUAUAAUUACUAUAGAGAGAAGAAAAGAACUUUAGAAUAACACGUAACGAAGCAUACCUUAAAUGGUAAGCCACGCUCUCUUGCACUGUUGAGAUUCUUCACAACCUCAGCAUAAACAGAAGUUUUUUUCUCGAGGACAGGCUUGUUAGCUAGAGGUACAAGCUCCAUACUAGACAGACCAGAUGAAACCUGAGGACUGGAAAUCAUGGAUGCAAUUUGACCUGGACGAGUAGCCCCAGUGCUUGAAUCACUAAUAUUAGUCUUGGGCAAUGUUGAUAUGCGGCUCAAGCUUUGAAGGAAAUCCCUUUUUUCCUUUUGCCAAUCCUCCUGUCAAAUAUUGAAUUCCACACUGAAGUCAGGGCUAAAAGCAACAAGGGCAAAAAAAAUAUUUCCUUGGACUUCAUUAAACUGUUUGUACUUCUUGUCAACACAACAGAAGAUUGUGUGCAUGAAAGAAAGAAAGAAGGAUUGAAAAACAUCACAUGAACCCAUAAUAGUGCACUGACCUCCAUAACUUUCAUCAUGUAAUCAUUAAAACUUUUAAGGUUAUCUUUCUGUGCUUCCUGGAUAGCGGAAACUAUUGCCAUCUCAUGAACCUGAGGUGCAAAUAUAGCAAAACAAUAUGAUCAAGCUGCAAAUGCCAAUCAUUCUUAAGGCAUGUGUUUGAAAAACCUAAACAUUGUAACUUGUAAGAUAGUUCAAAGACAGUAAUACCAUGCAACCAAAUAUGAAAAUUUUGUACAAAAUACAGCCAUGUCACUCAGACAGCAUAGUUAAACAGACACAUGAUAUAAGAGAUCAUCCAUGAAACUUUAAUUGCCAACAAAAAAAUUACUCAUAAUUGACAGGGGGAAGAAGACAGGAAACACUUUAGUGCUGUCAAGGUCUGAACUCAUGUGCUAAAAAGACAGGUGUGUAGACAUAACUCUUUCUUAGGGAGAGGAAAAAGAGAGAGAUAGAAAGAGAGAAAAGAAGAAACUCAUGCUAUGACUUUGUCAGUGGUGAAUCUGGUCAUGUCUCUCGCCCUUAAUUUUUUCUUCUACCCUUUCAAAAGGAAAGUUAGAAUCCAUAUUCCCCCAUUGUGUUUAUAUGCCUUAUUCAGGGAUUUUGAAGAGAUUCUCCAAGCCUAAAAAUAAUGCAUGUCCUAUCAAAAAAAAAAAUAAUGCAUGCAUGGACAGUGUUUUAAACUCUUAGCUACAAAUUGAGCUUCAGUCACUUUGGAAGCGUCAAUAAUUUUUUUUACAAAACUUUUGAAGAAAUUCUCCAAGCCUAAAAAUAAUGCAUACAUGGACAGGGUUUUAAACUCUUAACUACAAAUUGAACUUCAGCCACUUUGGAAGUGUCGAUAAUUUUUUUAACAUUUAUAUAAGUACUUCAUCUGAAAAGGUAGUAGCCAAGCCACAAAAUCAAGAUUUAGUUUUUCUCUUUUGUAUUAUUACUGCUCGUGAAUAGUAACAGAAAUGUCAGGCAGCAAGAUUGACUACUGACUAAUAUAUGGCCAUUGCUUGUGGCUCAUGACAAAUGUCAUUGGCUCAGGGGAAACAACCAAACUUCAACAUCUCUCCACCCUUCCAAACAAAGAAAAUAAAGACAGAAAAAGAGAUGUCAUAGAAAAUUAUAAUAAACUCUCAAAUUUUUCUUCACUUCAAAACUUGUGUGCUCUAAUAUUAAAAUGAAAAUGAUUUUUUAAUGAGCAUUAAGUUGUUAAGGAUGAUUCUACAAGUGUGGUUCUUUAUUCUAUAGAUUACACGCAUGAAUUUAACCACUGAAAUCACUCCUUUUCUUUGAUGUCAUAAACAAGAAAUAACAUGUUACUAUAAAACUGACAAAGGGUAUCAAUUAUGCCACACCAUUAGAUGCCAAUAAACACAUAUGCCGAUCGAAGCAAUCUAAAAUUAAUAAAAAUAGAAACUAAUGAUAAUAAGAAUCAAGACAUUGAUAUUUGUAAUUUGUAUUGCCACUAAACAAUUAAAGCAGUGAAUUCUACCUGCUGCAGGUAUUCCUCGACACUUGUUGCCUCAGCAGGGAAAACAUCCUCAAAUGUUGUCUUCAAGAAGGAGAAAAAAAUAAAUAAGCAAAAGUAUAUUUGAAAAGAAAUUGGAACAGAGACUAGAAAAAGGUAAAAAUAAAAAAGUAAUAAUAAUAAUAAUAAUCAAGAAAAAGAAAAAUUUAGAGAAAUUUGAUAGCGAAGAGCUACAUGGCUAGCCAAUAAAUUAAAUGAAAAUCAUAAUACAAAUUAGACAAUGAGAAAAAGGACCUAUGGAUAAAAAGAUCACAAGCAUUUAAAUUAAGUUUAUCUAAUAAAAUGUAUGGAUAUUUCCAAAUUAAAUCUUUACAAUAAAAUAUAUGGAGAUUUCCAACUGCAUUUUAUUAUCUUUACCAAUCAGUUUGCUCUUUGAUCGAAAUAUAAUGUCUAAGCAUGACAUAUAUUCCAUGCUUUUUUUCUGAUAGGUCAAAAAUAAAAAAAUGCAGGGACCAUCUGUCAUUCCUUAACAUGGUUAAGGACAUGGUGUUCUCAGCCUUUGAUUAUUAAAGGAAGGAGUAAUCAGGAAUCAAGCUAAUUAGUGGAAAGAGGAUAGCUUCAGUACUCUCUCUCUCUACCACUUCCAUCUUAAGUUCCUACCUCGAGGUAUAGAAGCCUUCUACUCAACUCCUUCCUAAUGAUUAGGAGAUAUUGGAGAGAAGAUAGAUAUCUCAUUUUUCUCUUUAUUUUUUUCUUUUCCUUUUCUUUUUCUUCUUUUAUUUUAUUUUAUUUUUUUUGGAAAUUUGUUAGAAAAGAAAGCAAAAAGGGAGUCAAGCACACAUGUGGUAUAAGGACAGUAAGCCUUAACAAAGUUACAGGAGGCAAAUCAAAGCCAUUGGGAUAGUCCCUAUCUCCAAUAGGGAACUCCACAAAUACAAUGACUACAUGAGAAAUUUUUCAGCUCCAAAGGAAAGAGUUCUCACAAGAAGAAAAUCCUUUUAUUCUGCACUUUUACACGCCAAUCUCCAACAAAACCCAUCUUGACCCAAACAAGGAAAUUAUGGAGAAAAGACUCUAGGCCCCAACUCCAAUAACACCCAUCCAUGAAAACAUUCAAGGAGAAUAUAGAAACUUCUGCUUUUUCCAACCAUCUUAUGCCCUGUUUCCAAAAAAAAAAACAGACUUUAUUCCAGAAACCAUCUUGCCCUACACCAUUUUGUCAGAGCCAGUUGAAUGGGAGAUCCUUGUCAAAAUUAAACAUUCAGUUCGUGAAAACCCCUCCCUCCUACCUAGAAGAGUAGAAUUUCUUUCAUUUCUCUACAUGGUAUAUAAUAUUCUAUCCUGCUUGUAAUUUUCUAUUUUUGAUGAUUCACAUAAAUUGAACUAAUCAAAUUCAAUAUUUUGGUUCUAUCUUGGAGCAUAUAUUUGUUAUAAACACCAAAUUCUAGUUGUGAGAACUAAUAAGGGCUAUGAAUUGACACACUUGAGCAUACACAAAAGGAAAGAGAAGAGCAAUAGCUUGAGGGUUUGUUUAGAAACUGUUCUUAAAAAUAUUGCCAAACAUACCCUGAAAUAUUUUUUUCCAUGUGGGCAAUAGUUAUUAGUCCAAAACAUAACAUCAGGUAGAAAAAAUAUGUAAAACUCCAUAGAGCAUGGAUAUACAUUUUAUAAGAACUUUUGCAUACAAAGCAACUCGUGAACCAUGUGAAACGAUUAAGAAUUCUGCAGUCAAUCAAGCAAGAUCGGGGAUCAAAAUCAAUGCACAAGGAGCAUUCACCUUCAACUCAAAAGACUUGAGAUCCCGAGCAAGCUGUUCUGCAUUUAGUCCCUCACGUGCCAAUAACCUGUAAGCGAAACAAACAAGAACAUUUAUGGGAGAAAAACAAAACUAGGAAAAAUGAAGAACGUGAACUAUUAAAAGUGAUGAUACACUUUCAGACUGAAUGCUUCAACUAUUCCAUUCAGGGUGAUAUGCAUCAUGCCACUAUAAUAGUUCUUCUAUUCCAAGCAAUCAUCCAUUAUUUACUCAUUAAUUAAAAUAUAUUGCCACAUCACACAGAGGGGGUGUUUCACAGUAGAUCAAUUGAAGGAAGUAUCAUUUUCCAAAUAUCAAAUGGAAUAGCUUCAGAAAAAACCUAAACUGCAGUAAUAAUAUUGCUCUGAUUUUGCCCUAGAAUGCUAGAGAGAGAGCUAAGGAGAGAGAGAGGGGAUGUACCUUGUGGCUGCAACGGAUUGUGAUGGAGCUUCAGCUCUUAGGGUUUUUGACUUUAGCUUCUUAGAUAACGCUUCUAAUUGGUCUAAGUUCCUCUGAAAUAGACGCAAAUAGUGAACUCAGUUUCAGGAGAUUUAGGUAUUCAGAUGCUUCGUACAGUGCCAGACAGGUUGAGGAAAAUAAAAGGGAGUAACAUUUUUAAUCUUAGGUGUGGACCAGCAUUUUUCACUUGCAUUCCCAUGUCUACAUUAGGAUUUCCAAUUAGUAGGGGAAACAAACCCACAUGAGACGAACCUAAUGCAACUAUUUCAAUUCGUUCCGACAGACUUUCAUUAUUUGGAAAUGAAAAAUGAAGAUAAAAUAACAAUUUUCCUCCAAACGUUUUUCCAUUGUUUUUGUCCUCGUGAAAAAUGAAAACCGGAUUCAACCAAGCCAAGUAGUUGUACUACUUCCAGCUUAAAUUUUUCCCAUUCCAAGAUUCCUAUUCUGUGAGAAACGUACGAUGAAAGUUCGAAUUCCUCUUCUCUCGCUACGUUUUCUCAUCAAUCAGACGAAUAUUGAGAUAAAUCCAAAAUAAAACAUACCAACUUCUGGUUAUCCCUUUGAAUAUAGUUUUGACUAAUUUAGUUUCCUGCAUUUUCAGGGCAUCCGAAACUAGAAUUAUAAAAAGAAGGCAACGAAAGAAGAACCUGGAGAGGAGGGAACUGAGCCGAAGGAGCGGCUUGUUCGAGAAGCUUCGUGGAGGAGUGGAGGAGAUCGGUCCAGGAACUCAUGUCGGAGUCGGUGGCCAUGGUUGCUGACUUCGGUGUGUGAGAGAGAGGGGGAAGGGUUUUAUUAAGCCCUAAUUUUGAAAGGAGAGAGAGAACGGUAAAGUGGUGUUCUUAACGCGGUAGUCCCGUGGGGAGGGGUGUACUGUAUUUAUAUGCUCCUUCUCCACUGUCGAAUCUUGGCCGUUGAUUUCAGUGGUAAAAGUUCUAUCGGGCGGUCCUUUUGAGUUUUCAGUGAUUCCGUUAAUGUAUGAUUUAAGUAUCCACCGUUGGAUUGCCCUUAUUGGUUGACCUGCGGUAAAAAUUUGUUUUCUAUUCCACGAAAUUAAUUUAGAAGGAAUCCAGGGAGGGGGAAUUACUCGGAGACCCUUCUUAUAAAUAAUUUUCUAUUCUUUAAUUUUUUUUAAAUAUGUUUAACUAAUUUUGGAUAAAAAUUAAUUUUAAAAAUAUAUAUUUAGGAAAUAUAUUAUUUUUAAAAACUUAAAAAAAUAAAUAAUAUUUUAAAAUAAUUGAAAUUUGUAUUUAAGAACGGUUUCAAAGGUUGUUUUUUAGUAACUAUUUUAAAAAAUGCUUUCAAAAAAAUCUUCAAAGUUUUGUUGAAUAACAUUUUUUUAAAAACAAAUCAUUUUAAAAAAUAAUUCUUAAUUAUUGUUAGAAAUAAAUUGUGAAAAUGCAACUGCCAAUUGUAUUAUAUUUAAAUUAUUUAAAAAAACACAAGUAUAGUAUAUGUUAUUAAAAAUUUAUUAUUUAGUAAAGCCUGAUUUAAAUAAAUAAAUAGAGAGAUAGAAUGCCCUCCAUAUUGCCAUAAAAUCAAUUUCGAUUGAUAUUUAUGUUCUAAUCAUUGAGCGAAAGGGCGAGCCAGUGUUGAGGAUGCGGAGGGUAAAUGGUAUUUUGCGGCAGAGCCAGAAAGCCCUGCAAGAUCUGGAUUUGCUCAAGGUACUCCAAUCUGAGAUCAGACACGAACAAUCCCAUGAUCGAUUUCAGGUACCCUUCAACACAAUCUCUAAUCCAGCCUCAUUAACUCGCUCCGUUGCGUUUCUAUAUUUCGUCACCAAAACGAGAAAGAAGGCCGGAAUAAUCGUCCUAUUUCCAUGAAUGCAGAAUUAUCAAGGCGGUAAUCCGGGAGAUUUCGUGGUGGACUGGGACUCACCAGCUUCUCAAGAUGUGGUUUUGCGGAGGAAGUGCGAGUCGGGUGAAGAGGUCGCUGUCUCAGCCCUUCUGAGUCCCAUAACCUUUAGAAACGAGGAGGGUUCAUUUCCAAGGGACCUUCUGAUGAAGGUGUGUGUAAAGAAACCUGGUUUGAGUCCUGUUUUGCAGUUUGAUUGUGGAGUUUUUAGCAAAGACCAUGAAAGGUUGGAGUUCAACAUCCACAGUGCAUAUUAUAUUCCCUCACCGGCUUGUCUGAAUCCCUCAGCCUACAGAGGGCCCUCAUUCAGGUGCAAUUCUCUGUCAAUUGGCUUGAUUAAUGAGCAUUGUUUGCGAGAUUUUUACGUAUUUAGAGAGAAAAAAAAAAAAACCCUUCAAGUAUAUUAUCGUCUUUACUUGGCAAAGAAUGUGAUUUUAUGCCUUAUUGUCUAUAUUUUGAUGAUUUUGAAAUUGAAUAUCUGGGUCUGCGAAUCUUAUCUACAUUUGUAUGCGCAAGCCAUCUUCUUUAGAUUCUUUCGUUUGUUCUUGGAGUUAUUGCUCAAUUCAAGAACAUGAUUUCAAAUCAUGCAGCAUAGGUGGGCAAACAUAAAACACAAAGCCCAUGUCCCAUGACUAAUCGUUACUAGAAGCAAAACAAAUUGUGUCAUGAUCCUGCUAUAUAUAAGUGAUGAUGAUUUUGAAAUCGAAUAUCUAGGUCUAUGAUUCUUAUCUACUUUGUAUGCAUAAGCUAUCUUCGUUAGAUUCUUUCUUUUGUUCAUGGAAUUAUUGCUCAAUUCAAGAACGUGGUUUCAAACCAUGCAGCAUAGGUGAGCAAACAUAAAACACAACCUAUGUCCCGUGAUUAAUCACUACUAGAAGCAAAACAAAUUGUGUCAUGUUCCUGAUAUACAUAUAUAAAGUGAUGGUAAAUCGUCACUUUUGGGGGGCGUUAGCACUCAUAGCCAAUGAGAUGUGUAGCAUUGGUUUUUUUUUUUUUUUUUAAUCAGCAACGAAGAAUAUAUAAAGACACCAAAUAAAAGGAGGGGGAGCACCUAGGUGCAUGGGAGGUAUACAAAGGGAGCCAACAAAACAGAAACACCACAAAAGAGCAAAGAAAACAUCCUCCCACUAACUAACACACAGUUGGCCAAUAAGAACUAACAAGGAACCAGGACCCUUUUGAAUAUAUAGGUGAGUCUAGUGGAAAAGGGUACAAAUAAGAGAGUUCUUUAAAGCUUGAUCCCAGCGUUAAAUUCUAUCAAAGUAUUUUUAAUUCCUCUCUUGCCAAGAAUCCAAAACAAGCAAAGGGGGUUGUCCUUCAAAUAUUUUUUCUAUUUUUGCUAACAAAACUCCCAUUCCACCCUUCAGCUAAUCUUUCACCAAGAAUGGGAAGACCCAAGAACAACCAAAGAGAGAAGAUAACAAAUGCCAAAGACCCCUUACCUUUGCACAAUGGAUUAGCAAGUGAUUAGCCGAUUUUUCUAAAUUCAUGCAUAAACAACAAUUGUUUGCUAACACCCAUCCUCUUCUCUUAAGAUGACCUAAGGUCAAGAACUUUCUCAAACCGCCUCUGAAGCAAAAAGCCCACCUUUAAAGGCUCUCAAGAGCCCCACACUAGCUUAAAGGGGAAAGAAAUACCUUUAGCCGACUCUAAGAAAGAGUAGAAAGAUUUCACUGAGAACUUCCCACACAUGCUAAUCUUCCAAAUCAGUUUGUCGUCAUUCUCACUACACUUCCCAAGCACAUGUAGCAUCCUAAGUAACUCCUCAAUGGUAUGUAGCUCUCAAUCUUGAAACUGCCUUAUGAAUCCUGGGUUCCACACAACCUGUUUGCUAACGACCUCCCUAGCACUCACCACCCAAGCCUCUUUAUUAGAAGAAAAAGAGAAGAGAGACAAAAAAGAAUCCUUUAAAGGAGCCUCCCCACACCAAACAUCAAGCCGAAAUUUUGUUUUUCCAUUGCUAACCAUAAAACUUGUUUUGGCCUUAAAGGCUUCCCAACCUCCUCUUAUUGCCUUCCACAAGCCAACACUAUAACUCUCUCUCCUAGCAAGAGAGAACCAACCUCCAAGUUCCUCCCCAAACUUUCCCACUACAAAUCGUCUCCAAGGGGACUCCCUUUCCAAAGCAAAUCUCCAACACCAUUUUCUAAGCAAGACUAUAUUAAGAGAGGACAAGACCCUAAUACCAAACCUUCCUAGCUUCUUGUAUUUUCAAACAAAAGACCAUUUGACUAAGUGAGGUCUUCUCUCAAGAAGUCCCUUUGAAUUUUUUCUAACGUUAAAGUCACCAUUGUAGGAAUUAUUGGAAGAGACAUAAAAUAGAUGGACAUAUUGCAUAGAGUACUUCUAAGCAAAGUAACUUUACUACCCUUUGAAAAGCACUGUCUUUUCCAAAGGGCUAACCUUUUAUGAAACCUCUCCUCAACCACAUCCUACAUAGAAGGGGACUUAAACGGAGCACCCAAAGGCAAGCCUAAAUAAGUAGAAGGGAGCUUCCCCACUUUGCAACCCAAUAAAGAGGCAAACUCCUCAACAUUAAGGACUUCCCCCACCAAAAUCAACUUGCUUUUAUAUAAAUUAAUUUUCAGCCCUGAAAAAGUUUCAAACCAAAACAGAACCCAACUCAAGUAAAUCAAUUGGUCCGAACAAGGCUCACAAAAGAGUUGGGUAUCAUCCGCGAAUAGGAGGUGAGAAAUCUCCACUUCUUUUUUCCUUUUACCUCCUACCUUGAAACCUAAAAUGAAAUGCCCCUCACCUACCUUUCUUAAUAGAAUACUAAGAGCCUCCAUCACUAACACAAAUAGAUAUGGGGAUGGAGGAUCCCCUUGCCUUAGACCCCUUGAGCUCUGAAAGAAACCAAUUGACGAACCAUUAACUAAGAUCGAAAACCUAGUUGUUGAUAUACAAAAUUGAAUCCAAUCAACCCAUCUUCGAUCAAAACCCAUGCCAAUUUUCUGCAACACUUCCAAAAGGGCAGGUCCAAUUAACAUGGUCAUAGGUUUUCUCAAUGUCCAACUUACAAAUCACUCCUCUUUGACUCCUUAAUCUUGAAUCUAUAACCUUGUUUGCAAUUAGGGUUGCAUCUAGGAUUUACCUACUUUGCACAGAAGCAUUUUGAGAAUUGAACACCACUCUUGCUAUAACUUUCUUUAGCCUGUUUGCCAAAACUUUAGCUAGAAGUUUAUACAAACUUUGCAUUAAAUUAAUUGGUCUAAAGUCUUUAAGUCAUCGACUCUCCUCUUUUUUCAGAAUUAAGUCUAAGAACAUGGCAUUUAGGCUCCUUUCAAAAGAUCCUCAGGUGUGGAAUUCCCUAAACAGACCCAACACUUCAUUCUUAAGAAAGUCCUAACAGGUGCUGCCAUAAAGCUAAAGGAAAACCAUCUUGACCGGGGCCUUUGUCUCCUCCAAUUCUAGCAACGCUGCAUAAACCUCCUCAGUGAAAAGCCUCUUCCAACCCUCCAGAAGCCUCAAUGCUUAGCCUUGAAAAAGGCAACCCAUUAAUACUUGGUCUCCACAGGCCACCUGAAUCCGCCAACAGAAGCUGGCAAUUGUUAACAAUUUUUUCUGAAAUUUGAGGCUCCUCCGUAACCCACUCUCCAUUCACCUUAAUUCUUCCUAUGAGAUUUCUUUUGCAAUGAGCAUUAGCCAUCUUAUGAAAAAACUUUGUAUUUUUGUCACAUUCUUUCAACUGCAAUUCCCUAGAUUUUUGCCUCUAGGAGGUUUCUUGUUUGUUUAAGUCACUAUGAGGUUCUAAGUGUAAGCAUUCAUUACCACAGCAAACAAGUUUACCUUGUAUUUGCAAAUAACACCUACUCACCUGUAGAGCUUUUUAUGUUUUAAAUUGUUGUACUAAAUUUACCUUCUAUAGCAAUUUAUGUUAGAUGGAACAUUGUAUCCUACAUAAUUAAUAUUUUGGCACUCAAACAAAAUAUCAGCAGAGGCUACAUUAGAUUUGGUGUCUAAAAUGUUGGAUAUCAUCUGGGAGCCUUCAUUUUAUUUUUGGGCAUUUUCGAGCAUGGAUGUUGCUCUAAGCACAUAUGAAAGUUGUUUUUCCCACUUUUGCACUAUUGAACUGGAUUACUAGAAAUCAGGUUUCUGUUCCCUUUUUACCCUUUUUCUAUGUACAGCAGAAGCACUUCCUCUUUAUCCCUUCUUGAUGUAUUUUAAAUACUAAUUGGUUUAGGCAGUUGAAGCCUUGAAGGAUGAAUCAAGAUUUUGGUAAAAACAUGAUUAGUUGCCUGGUGGCUUCAAUUUGGUAAUCAGGUUUGGAAUUCUUUGGAAGUUCAUCAUCCUUAAAUGUUGUAGAUGCCAAAAGAAGCAUCCUCUUUCCAGUUUUGGUUUUGGAAAACUGGCCCUAUUCUCAUGUAUUUAGCAUCCAACCUACACACUCAUCUAUUCUCACUCAUUUAUCCUCUUUUCCAUGCUUAGCAAAGCUUUGAAUAUUUGCCAACUAUUUGGUUGCUUGUCUCUGUUAUUGUCUGGCAUUGAUAAAAUGAAAUAUUUAAUUGUUGGUAGGUAUGCUUAAUACAUUUUACUAGUUAACUCUAUUAUUGUCUCUUAAGAAUGGGACAAUAAGAGAAACUUUUGGAUUCUAGUCUCUAUAUGGGUGCUUCAGGGGGGAGGCAGGAGCAGCUUAAUUGUUAAUUGGAGGCAAGGUAGUGGAUUAUAUGAAAGUGGGAGUUUUUGUGAGGAGAAAUUCUUUUUUCAUACAUUCAAAUCUAAAAGCUAUAGUGUGAGAAUAAAAUAAAAGCAUUUUAAGUUCUUAUUUGGUGCAAUGCAUUACAGGAGCAGUUUCCCAUCACAAUCAAAUUAGCUUAAGUAAUGUGUCCCAUCACUGGUAACAGAAAAUCUCUGAGCAUCUUUUAGUGUUCCCAGGCCACUCGGAGACCCCACAUUCCCUUUGUUUUCAGCCUUAAUUGGCUAAUAACUCUUAUGACCCACAGGGUUUAGUUUUUUGUCCUACGUGGCCUACUUCCUAGGCCCAUCUGAGGCUUGUUUGGCUAUCCCAAAUUGAUUUAACAAAACCUUGACUCCAAACUAUUGGAGGGCUGAUUACUGGAACCUUUUUUUUGUUGCUCAAGUCCAUCUAGUACCGUAAUCCUUCUAAAAUGAUUGCAAUUAUGUUGUUUUUUAAACACCCUUAAUCCAUCUUUUUAAUGAACUUCUUCUUAUUGUUGUCUUCUGAGCUUUGGCACAUUCACUUGUCUUCAUCCAACCUGGACACCUUGAUGUCACUUUGUUUUUCCGUAUGCAUAUAGAAAUCAUAAGGCUACAGUUGCUGCCUCCUUAGUGGCCAAUAUAAGAAUAGAUCUAAUGUUUGCCAAUGGCUUAAUAUUGGGUUGGAAGGGGCUUUGACAAAUGAACCUGAGUUUUGAUGCCCAAUUCUGAAACCACAUAAGAUAUGAAAUGUGUAGAAUCUGUAUUGGGAAUGGUGUUUGGCAUGCACCUCUAGUGGCACAUCCAUGAAAAUGACUGAAACUGAAACAGCGUCUAACAGGAUAACAAAUACUUAUAUUUGAAGUGUCCUUAUCAGGCUUGUGGUUCAUACUUUAGAGGGGGGCUUCUUCUCAGGUUCUCAGUUUUCUUGGGGGCACCCAUCUAUUAUUAAACUUCAACCUGUCUUUUUAUCUUUUGUGGUGAGUCUGUUCAAAUACCUAACCACCCAACUAAUUUCCUUUUUUAUAUCCCUAUGCAGUUCGUUGGACCCUAAUUUACAGGACGCACUCAAGGAGUAUCUACUAGCCAGGGGUAUCGGAGACGACCUGACCAACUUCCUUGUCAUUCACCUUCAUAGAAAGGAGCAAACCCAAUAUACGAGCUGGUUGCAUAAACUGGAAGCUAUGAUGGCAAAGGACGAUUGAUCUGAAGAGUGGCCAUCACCAGGUUUAACUCACACAUGCCCCAUUCAUUGUUUAACAUGCGCACUCCAUCUUCUGUUGUCGGUUUCCCUUUACAUCUCAAUCUUUAAUCAGUAAUGGAGUUUAUUUUUAAUUUUUUUCCCAGAGCUAUAUUCACUUAUAACCAUGCCGUAAGCUUGUUAGAAUCUUUUACUAUUGAAAUUGGGAACUUAUGAUGGGUUCCCUUAAAUUUAUUUGAAUUUGCCCUGAUGUUCGAUGGGUAUUUCUUCAUUCUAUCUUUUUCUCUUUCUUUCAGUGAUGCCACAUCCUCACGAAAGCAACUCCUACAAAAUUCGCUGCCAUCAAACCGGUUAGGGGUGAUGCUAGAUAUCACCAAAAUAAAUAAAAAAAUAAAAAAGUAAUCACAUGUGCCUAUGUACUUUUAGAAGAAAAUUGCAAGUGUGAAUCUGUUGGUGAGCUCUGAGAGGUGAGAAUUACUGCCUUGGAAAGUCGCACAUUAAGAAAUUCUUUUCCCUUUUCAUUUUCUUGGAAAAUGUGACGGAGCAGUAAGGCUGCAACUAUUGGCAUGGGCAUAUGAUGAGACCAAGACUCAGUGGCAUGAGGACUAAACUUUUUCAGAAGAAAGAAAUGAUUGGCAUGGGCACACAAUGAAACCAAGACUCAGUGGCAUGAGUUUUUAAGAAAAAGAAAUGAAAGGAAAAAAAUUAUUCCUUUGCUUGUUUAUUAGCAAGGAACAAAAUUAAAUAUAUAUUAUCUUACUAUAAUGUCUUUGUAUAAAAUAAAAUAAAAAAUUACAUUUAUCAUUGUAUAGAUAAGACAUAUUAAAUAAAUGAAUAUAGAAAGAAUUAAAAUUUAUUUCUUAAACUUAUUAUUGUUUGAUUAAAUAAAUUAUUAUACCUACUUUAUUUUAUCUUAGCAACCUUAUCCAUUUUAGAUCAGAUCUCAAGCAAAAAACAAAGAUUCAUGGAAAUGAAAUUUAAAAGAGGAUAAGAGAAUGAGUUGUUCAAAUUAUGGGGUGGUCCGGAGAAGCAUUCCAUGAAUUAAAGAUGGCCUAUAAUGUGAGGUGUUGGAUCAAGUAAAUCAUAUGGUAAAAUUGUUUGGGUUUGGAAAAUAGAUCAAAUCAAACAGACCACUCUUCUCUUGAACCUUGGAGGAAUCUCUCCCAGUCCCACUGAUAUUUCCAAAUUUAUUGUUGUAGGAUUUUAUUUUUAAAAUGUAAAAACAAAACUAACUAACUAUCAUAAAUAUAUUUUAUUAUGUGCUCUUAAAGGUAAUAAAAUUAGUAGUGUACCCAAAUUGUGACCCCACCACGAUUCAGUGGAAAAGUGUAUUUUUCUUAAACUUUAACAGAAAAACACAAGAGGAAUAUUUUAUUUUUUUUGCUUUUAAAUAAGAAUCCGAAGACACAAAAGUGGAGCUAAAGUUGAUCCUUAUCCCUUGAAAGGUAGGGAUAGACUUCGAUGGAAUAAACUGACCGUAGUUAAUUGGAUAUAGUGGAUAGAAGUGUAGAUAAGAGAGAGAGAGAGAGAGAAUAGUAGUACUAAACAAGUAUGGAGUCGUUGGUGUGGUUGGACUUGGAACUUAAGAGGUUGAAGAAGGCAAACUGAUGAAAAUAUCUCUUCUGCAACAAGCUCCACUUCCUAUAUCCUACAUUCCUACCUACCCAAUACCCUCGGCUUUAAUGUAUGUCUCCCAUAUCCACCAAAAUUCUCAACUCAAAAGCCUGUUGAAUAAAUAUCCUUAAGAGGUUGGGUGGGUGGGGUGGGGUGCCCUUGGUCUCAUGUCCAGUUGCGCGAUGAGUUUGCAGAGGCAGCCACUUGGCCCACUUGAUAUAUCGAUAACACUGCACAGUGCACGCUUGCCCACGCCCAGGGGUAAGUGGAUAAACCCCACAAAGGGAUAGAAGGAAGUGGGAUUUCCCAGUUAGCCAGAAAAAAAUGGCAGAGGUGUUUUGGAGAAAUCCAAGCCUCAAAUGCAAUCCUCUCCAGUCUCCACUUGACUUUUGCUUUUUGUACUAGUCUACUAGAAGACUAGAAGCUUUGGUGCUUUGUGAUGGGACUCAGCAAUUAGUAAUUAGUAAUUACUGUUGCAUUCGCUUUCUAACCAAACAUAUCCCAUUAUGAUUUCUAAUUACAAAUUAGCUUGAUUUUAAUCUUCAGUGCCAGAGAUCACCAACUUCUUUAUCAUUUUUUUUCUCUCUCUCCCCUCCAAUAUAACUGGGAGUCUCCUGGCAACUGAAGUUCUUUUUAUCCGCUUACCACCUUGUUUCUUUCUUUUUCUCACUUAUCAUCUAUAAAUAGAAUUGUUUGUUGCAUAGUUUCUUUUUCUCUUUUAAAACAGUUUUAAAAUUAUUUGUUUGCCUUUUUCUCACUUUUAAGGCAUUGCAUAUUUGUGUGUAAUACAAAAAUUCUUAAUAUAUUAUAUAUAUUUUUUCAUUGUUGUUUAUAAAAAAUAACUAAAAGCACUUUAAAUUUAUUCCUCUAAAAUAAAUUAUUUUUCAAAAAAAUCUUAAAAAUACUUUUUAUUAAACCUAUUUUAUAACUCAAAAAACUAUAUUAUUAUUUAGGAUUGCAAUUUUUACGAGUUAAUGUGACCAACUCAAGCCCAAUUCCAAUUAAAAAAUAAUCCACCUAAAUCUAACCCAAAUUCAAUCUAAUCUCAUUUCUUUAAGUUCAAAUAGACUUCAGAUUAGUUAGGUCUGAUCCAAAUUAGUUAAGUUGAUUGGAUUACAUAAUUUAAAAUUUGUAAUUUUUUUAAAAUUAUAUAUUUACAUGAAAAUUUGAAUAAUAGAUAAAAUAAAUUUUCAAGAUAACAAUAAUAAAUAAAUAAAUUUACAUAUCUUUCAAAAUUAAUAAAAAAGUAAAUAAUGUUGUAAAUCAAUGAUAAAUGGAACACAAAUAAAGUAGUAGAGAUAAACUAUAUAUUGUUUUGAUAAUAAUAUAUAAUAGGGAAGAAUAAAUCACGAAAUUGAGAAAACUGAGAUAAUGAAAUAAAGAGAUAAUGAGAGAAUGUAAGAAAUUAGGGGAUGCAUAUUACAAGAGAUAGGAAACCCUUUUAUAGGCUUUUUCAAAUAGCUUUCAUCAAUAUUCCUAUUAAUGAAUAUUAAUGGAACUAUAAAUAACAUUAAUGGUUUUCAUUAAUGAGUAUUAACAGAAGUUAUAAAUAAUAUUUAAUUAACAUUUAUUAUAAUUAAUGUGGUGGUAUUCAUUACUUUAGUCAUAACACUCCCCUUAAAUGUCCACCACAUUGAAGAAUAUGCCUCAUUAAAAACUUGCUAGUAAAAAACCCCAUGAAAAAAACAUACCAAAGGAAAAAUAAUAUAAUAUUCUUAUAAUUCUUUAAGUUACUCUUGGUAUGUUAAGACUGUCUCAUUAAAAACCUUGUUAGUAAAACUCAGUAAGACAAAACUUGGACGAAAGGAAAAAGAGUACAAUACACUAACACCCUUUUACAAACAUACUCCCCCUCAUGUUGAUAUCCUUGAGUUGAUACAUUAUAAUCUUGUGUAUCAACUUCUUGAAUAUUGAGGUUGGUAAUGAUUUUGUGAAUAAAUCUGCUAGAUUAUUACUUGAGCGUAUUUGUUGCUCAUCAAUUUCACCACUCUUAUGAAGUUCGUAUGUAUAAAAGAAUUUUGGUGAAGUGUGCUUAGUUCUAUCUUCUUUAAUAUAACCCUCCGUUAUUUGUGUAAUGCAUGCAACAUUAUCUUCAAAUAAUAUUGUCGGGUCACCUUUGAUAGAGGAGAGUCCACAUGAUUCCCAAAUAUGCUAGAUCAUAAAUCUUAGUCAUAUACAUUCAAGACUUGCUUCAUGAAUUGUCGGUAUUUUUGAAUGAUUUGAUGAUGUGACCAUCAUUAUUUGUUUGACAGAUCUCCAUGAAAUAGCGGUACUAUUGCAAUUAAACACAUACCUUAUUUGUGACCCACCUUUAUGUGGAUUUGAAAGAUAUCAUGCAUUUGCAUAUCCAAACAAUUGUUGUUUUGAUUCUCUUGAGUAAAAUAAACUCAUAUCAAUAGUUCCACAAAGAUAACGUAAUAUAUAUUUGAUACCAUUCCAAUGUCUUCGAGUUGGAGCGAAACUGUAUCUUGCUAAUAAAUUGAUAGAAAAAAACAAUGUCUGGAUGUGUACAAUUGACAAGAUAUAUAAGUACACCAAUAGCACUAAGAUAUGGAACUUCAAGACCAAAUAAUUCUUCAUAUUUUUUCGCAAUAACGAAAUUGGUCAUUUUUCACAUCAAGUGAUCAGAUAACCAUUGGAGAACUUAAAUAAUACACUUUAUCCGUAUAAAAAUGCUUCAACACUUUCUUAAUAUAUGUUGAUUGAUGUACUAAAACUUCAUUUGGAAAAUGUUUGAUAUGCAGAUCAAGACAAAAUUUUGUUUUUCCAAUAUCUUUCAUCUCAAAUUCCUUUUUCAAGUAAUUUGUUGUUCUUGUGAGCUCUUUAGGAGUUCCAACAAGAUUUAAGUCAUCAACAUACACUAUAAUAAUUGCAAUUCCGAUUUCUGAUUUUUUAAUGAAGAUGCAUGAGCAGGAUUAUUCACGUACCCUUUUUUUAGCAAGUAUUCACAAAGGCGAUUGUAUCGCAUGCGUCCAGAUUGCUUUAAUUCAUACAAAGAUUGUUGUAACUUGAUUGAGUACAUACUACGAGGCUUUGUACUAUUUGUUUCAGGUAAUUUAAAUCAUUCAAGGAUUUUCAUGUAUAUAUCAUUAUCCAUGAAUCCAUAUAAAUAUGUUGUAAUAACAUCCAUGAGAAGCAUAUCCAGUUCUUUUGAGACUGUCAAACUAAUUAAGAAAUGAAAUGUGAUUGCAUCCAUGACAGAAGAGUAUGUUUCCUUGUAGUCAAUACCAGGUCUCUGCGAGAAACCUUAUGCUACUAAUCGCUUUUUAUAUCUUAUGAUCUCAUUAUUCUCAUUGCGUUUUCGUACAAAUACCCAUUUGUACCCAACAAACUUUAUAUCUUCAAGUGUUUGGACUAUAGGUUCAAAAACUUCUCGUUCUGUUAAUGAGUUUAAUUUUGUCUGCAUAACUUCUUUCCAUUUUGGCUAAUCAUUUCUAUGUCGGCAUUCUUCCACAUUCCGUGGUUCAGGAUCAUCAUUUCUUAUGAUAUCAGAGGCCACUUGGAAAACAAAAAUAUUGUUAAUAACAAUAUUAUUUCGAUCCCAUUUUUAUUAUGUGUGUACAUAACUUACUGAUAUCUCACAAUUUUCAAGUACAUGUGCCUGUUCAGGGGUUUCCUGUUCAAUAUGUGCCUCUUCAGGGGCUUCUUGUUCAAUAUGUGCCUUUUUAGGAGCUUUAUGCAUUAUUUAUGUCUCUUAUAGGGCUAUAGAUUUAUCAAAUUUAAAUUGAUUAGUCAUUUUGAUGGUCUCUUCCAAAGUGCCAAGUUUUUAUUGUGUUCUCAUCUUCCAGGGAGUUACAUCCUUUGAGUCGACAGGUCUGCCACGCCUCAAGUGUAUCUUAGAUUCAUUUGUUAACUGUUCUAUAGGGACAUCAAUCCGUGCUGAAGUAUUUGCAACUAAGAUAUGUAACUUUGUCAUUUUCUUUGUAUCAAUGAAUGCAUCUGGUAGUUGAUUUGCAAGAUUUUGUAAAUGAAUGAUCCUUUAAACUUCUAGUUCACAUUGACUUGUACGAGGACCAAGAUGGGACAUAGUAGAUGUGUUCCAAGUAAUUUCUUGUCGUUCUUCAAGAAUUGACUUUUCUCCCCCUAAUGACAGAAAAACACCCUCAUUAAAAUAACAAUCUGCAAAGCGGACUGUAAAAACAUCAUCCGUCAAAGGUUUAAGAUAUCUUGUGAUAGAUGAAAAAUCAAAACCUAUAUAAAUCCUAAGUCUUCGUUGGUGACCCAUUUUAGUGCAUUGUGUAGGUGCAAUUAGUACAUAUACUGCACAACAAAAAAUUCGUAAGUGAUAAAUAUUUGGUUGUUUUCCAAGCACAAGUUGUGAAGGGGAGUAUUCAUGGUAAGUUGUAAGUCAAAUACAAACUAAAGCCGCAACAUGCAUAAUAGCAUGUCCCUAGGUAGAAGUAGGUAGUUUGGUUUUCAUUAGUAAUGGUCGAGUUAUUAAUUGGAGACGUUUGAUGAAAGAUUCUGCUAAACCAUUUUGGGUAUGAGUAUGAACAACAUGAUACUCAAUAUUUUUCCCUACUGACAUGCAAUAGUCAAUGAAUGUUUGAGAAGUAAAUUUGUCAACAUUAUCAAAACGUAUUUGCCUUAAUUGGAUGAUCUGAAAAUUGUGCUUGUAAUUUGAUUAUUUGUGCAAAAAGUCUAGCAAAGGCAACGUUACGUGUUGAAAGGAGACAAACAUGUGACCACCUAGUAGAAACAUCUAUUAAGAUCAUAAAAUAAUGGAUUGGUCCACAUGGUAGAUGAAAGACCCAUAUAUGUCCCCAUGUAUUCUUUCUAAAAAAACUGGUGACUCAGAUAUGACUUUAGUAAAAGAUGGUCUAACUAUCAAUUUAAUUUGUGAGCAGGCAACACAUGAGUAUUCAUUAAGCAAAAAAUCUUUUGGUUCUUUAAUGGAUGUCCAUGUGAGUGUUCGAUUAUUCGACGCAUCAUUGAAGACCUUGGGUGACCUAGCCUGUCAUGCCAAAAGACAAAAACUUUUGGGUCGUUGAACUUUUGGUUCACGACAACAUAUGAUUCAAUAGACUUUAUAGUUGUAUGAUACAACCUAGAUGAUAAAGCUGUGAGUUUUUCCAUUAUAAGCUUCUGAACAGAUAUAAUGGAAUAAAUGGAAAUAUAUUCUACAUUAUCUUUAUUCAUAAUUUCAAUAUGAUAUCAAUUUAUGUGGAUAUCUUUAAAACUGAGCAAAUUUAUUUUGGAUUUGCUAGAAUAUAAAGCGUUAUUUAUAUGGAAUCUAAUUUCAUUUGGUAGUGUUAUGUUUGUUCUUCCAAAGCCUUCAACUAAGGUUGUGGUACUAGAUAUGGUACUUACAUUAGCUUUUAUUAAUGUCAAUCGAUGAAAUAUUUUUCAUCUCGAAGAAUUGUGUGCGUGGUUGCACAAUCUGCGAGACAUACAUCAUCCUCGUUCAUCUUGAGACUAAAUAACACAUUGAUUUUAGAUAUAACUAAUAUUAAAAAAAAAACAAGGCAUAAUGUAAAUAACAAAAGGAAAUCAGAUGUAAAUAUGAGACAUAAUACUAUAUUAUUUUAUAUAUAAAGUAACAUUAAUCAAUGUUAAUAUUCUCAUCAUUUAUUAAAUUGUCUGUUUUUUACUAGGAUCUCCAAAUAAAUCAAUAUCAUGGUAGGUUAGGUCUAAUCCAUCAUUAUCGGUAAAGUUCAUCUUUAUUUUUUUUCCUUUUACUUUUAUUGAUGUUUGGUAAAGGUUGACCAAAUGUUUAGGCAUACGAUAGGUAUGCGACCAAUGCCCCUUUAUACCACGUCUAUAACAAUUAUUCUCAUGGUUCUUAGGAGGUUUAUCUUAUUAACACUUCCAAUUUUCUUGUUUUGCUUCAGUAUUAUUCCACUUCUACUGGUGCAAUGAGGCUUUCAUUUUCUGAGAAUUUGAUGAAUUAUUACCAUAAGUGUGAAACCAAGGUUUGGUUAAUCUUGAUUUUGAUGAUAACAAAACAAGGUUUAGAACUAAUGAUCAUAUUUCAAGUGUGAUUAGGCAAGGCGACUUCCAAAGUGGCAAUCCAAAGACAAAUCAAGCCAAGGAGAAAUCAUGAAGAAGAAGACUAUCUCAAAGAAAAGAGUUUUUCAAGACCAAAGCUUCUUAAGAUCUCUUUGUAAGGUUGUUGGUGCACUAAGACUUUCAUGCAUUUCAUUCUUUAUUUAUGCACCAAAAUCAUCCAAGAGUAAUAAUGUUUUAAAUAUCUUUAAAAUUGGAUAAUUUCAUGUUUUCAACUAAAACCUUGUGUUAAAUAAUUUUCAAACUUGUGUUAAAAGGUUUUAAGUUGAAAAACGUUGGGUGUUGAGCCAAAAAAAGGCUCAACCGGUCGAGGAACCGAUCGACCAGUUGUGCUCGUCCGGUCGAGUACCGGUCGAGGUCCGAUUGAGGCUCAACGGUCACCUGCCAAGCAUUUAAUGCUAACAGCUAGUCAACCGGUCGAUCCCUAACUCGACCGGACGAACCCCCAAACGGCUAGUUUGGGUUUUCUCUUUUAUAAAAAGGCUCCAAUCUUCAUUGUUUCAAGAGCUUAACCUUCCCAAAUCAUUCUUGAUUAUAUUUGAGCAUUGGAAGAGUGUUUUUGAGUGUACCAUUAUUUCAUAACUUGCAUAUCUUUAGUGCACCAUUCAAUCCUAGUUUUUCUUGUAUCUUUGAGCCUAAAGUUCUAUUACUAAGAUUUUUGUGAGAUCAUUAUUUGUAUAUCUUUGUGAGGAAUUUUCUCAAGUGAGAGGUAUCACUUGAGAGGUUAUUCAAGAAAGGGAUAUCUCUUGAAGAAGUGUAAAGGGUGCUUGAAGCCAAAAGUCCAAGAGGGUGAAUUGGAACCAUAAUCCAAUUGUAAAGAGAUUGGAAACUUGGUUGAAACUUCAAGAUAGUGGAACCCUCACUCGGUUAGGAGGUUGAGGAGAGUGGACGUAGGUAAGGAAGUGUCGAACCAUUAUAAACUCUCGUGUUUGCUCUCUCUCUUCCCUAACUCUUUUAAAUUAUAUGCAAUUGUGUUUAUUUUGUUUAUUAUAUAUUUGCAUAUAAUUGUCUCUUAUUUUUGCAUAGUUUAAAUUUGUGAAAAAGAGACCAUCACCCUAUUUACCUCUCCCCCUUAUAAGGUGAUUACCAUAGUUUGGAUUAGCCUCAAAUUCCUAACAAUAAGAACCAUGGUAUUAGGGAUUUCUUCCAUGUCCUCAUCUUCGUCCAUGUCUGCGAGUUUUGGACAAUAUUGCAUUAACUCCAAGGAAUGGUUUGGAUAUGGUUGGACGAGACUGGUGAUUUUUCAUCAAAAGCUCAUUAUUUUGUUCAGUAACAAAAAGACGUGAUAUUAAUUCAGAAUAUUUUGUAAAUCUAUGCUCUCGAUAUUGCUACUGCAGGAGCACAUUCAAGGCAUGAAACGUAGUAAAAGUUUUCUCUAACAUGUCUUCUUCUAUGAUUUUUUUUCUCCACAUAACUUUAAUUGAAAGCUGAUUUUGAAAAGUGCAGAGUUAUAUUCACUAACAGUUUUAAAAUUUUGCAAUCUCAAGUGCAUUCAAUCAUAUCAAGCUUUUAGAAGAAUCACAGUUUUCUGGUGGUCAUAUUUUUACUUCAAAUUACUCCAUAGAGUAAAAGGGUACUUCACCGUAAGAUACUCAUUUUUUUAAACCUUCAUGAAGGUGAUGAUGAAGGAAAAUCCGUGUUUUUACGUGAUCCUAUAAGGAUGUUUGAUUGUCUUCUUUGAUUGUAGCUCUAAGAUUCAUUGCAUCAAGAUGUAUUUUAGCAUUAAGGAUCCAAGAUAAAUAAUUCUUUCCCGAAAUGUCAAGUGCCAUAAAUUCGAGUUUUAUGAGAUUCAACAUUGUCAAAUUACUUUAUAUAUAUGACCAAAACAAUAUUAUUAAAACCAGUUAUAAUAAAUUGAUAGCAUUUGUAUAACUUUGAUUAUAAACAAAAGCAAAUAAUUUGUUUAUAACUUUUAACAAUAUAUAACAAAACAAAAUCAACAAUGAUAUAAAUAUGUAAAAUUUUAUUAUAUAUAAACAACUUCAAGUUUAAGAUACGAGAAUUACCUUUAAAGCAAUUUGUACUGGCAACGUGUUGUAAGAUAAGGAUAAAUGUAAUACAAAUAAAGUAGUAGAGAUAAAUUAUAUAUUAUUUUUAUAAUAAUAUAUGUCAGGGAGUAAGAAACCACAAAAGAGAAUUGAGAAAGUUGAGAUAGUGAAAAACAAAAGAGAAUGAGAGAAAGUAAAAAUUUUCUUUCUUAUUUAGGGAAUGCAUAUUACAGGGGAUGUGAAGCCCUUUUUUAGGUUUUGUAAAUGGUUUCCAUUAAUAUUCCUAUUAAUGAAUAUUAAUAGAACUCAUAAAUAAAUGAGUAUUAAUGAAAGUCAUAAAUAAUAUUUAAUUAAUAUUUAUUAUAAUUAAUGUGGUGACAUUCAUUAUUUAGUUAUAAUAGAUAAUAUAAUAUAAAUUGAUUUUUUUCUUUAAAAUUUAAAAAGAAAACAAAUAUUAUUAUAUAGAAUAUUAUAUAUUAUAAAUAUUAUAAAAUCAUUAAAUUGAGUUUGAAUUAAGUUUAAGUUACUUCAACUUUGACCUAAUUCCAACAAAAAAUGAGUUUGGGUUGAAAAAAAUGUAAUUCAAGGCAAAUCCAAAUGUUGAAAAUAAUUAUCAAAUUACACCUCUAUUAUUAUUAUUAUUAUUAUUAUUAUAUUGUUAGCUCUAAGAUUUUUAAACAAAAAGCACAUAUUAAGUUUUGGUGAAAUUAAUGUUUGAGAAAUUCGAGCAUCUUCAUUCACAUCCAAUCAUUUAGGUUUCAAAAGUUUUGAUGGAGUGAAUCAGAAAAAGUUGACAUUGCUUUCCAGAAAGCAAACUUUGAUGUUUUCAUUGUAUUAAUAAAGGGAAAAGAAGGAUUUUACAAGGGAAAAUUCUAGGGUACCUCUUCAGUACCUACCGAAAAGUUUUUAUAAGCCAUCGGAUGUUCAAGAUUACAUCUUGGCCAUUCAUUUUAAAUUUGAAAUAAAAAUUCCACUUAACCAGUUAAGGAAAGAACCGAUUGAGGCCUUCUUUCUUCCUCCCUUCUCAACAAUUUUGGGUUUAAAUAAAAUAAAUAUGAGAUAAAAAUAGAAUUGGAAAAAAAUAAAAAUAAAAAUGAUAUAAAAUUUGAAAACAUAUUUAUUAACAAAAAUCAUCAUAUAUCUUAAUUACAUUAUUUUAUUUUUAACAAACUAUUAAACAUUUAAAUUCAACAUGAAAAUGAAUAUGGUAAUAUUUUAAUAUGAAAUGAGUAUUUUCAUUAAAAUUCAACAUUUUGAUAAUCAUAUGUAAAGCUUAGGUAAUUAGAUUGUCCUAAUUUUUUUCCGUACUCUCCAAAAUUUACAUUUUUUGAAUUUAAGGUUUUUAAAGUUAAAUUACAAUAAAAUAAAUUACUAAUACUCUUUUGAGUUACUAAAAAUCAAUAUGAAAAAUGUGAUGAAAGUACCAAAUAUGUAUUUAUCUCAUUUUUCAUAUUGUUCUCAUAUUUUUCGUACCCUAAAUUAUUUAUAUUUUUAAAAUUUCAUAUUUACUUUUUAACUUGAAAUAAUAAUAACAUAGUUUAAUAUUAUUAUUUUGAGUUAUUAUUGAUAGAAUUGUUAAAAAAAAAUUAAGAAUUAAACAUUUUUUAAAUUGGAAAUAAUGUAAAUUAUCCUAAAAAAAAUUAUAAAAUUAAAACACUAAAAAAUUAUUGAGGAUAUGAAAAAUGUGAGAAAAAGUAUGAAGAUUAUGAGAAAUUCUCACAUUCUUUAUACCUACUUCACAUUCUCCAUAGCCUGAAAUUUAACAAUUUUUCGAUUUUUUUCAAUUUUUUUUCCACUUAAAAAUACAAAUAAUAUUGUUUAUUGAUACUAAUCAAGCUUAGAAAUGAUGAAAAUUAUUUUCAAGAAAAUUAAAAAAUUAAAACACUAAGUAAUUGUAGAAUGUACAAAUAAUAUGAGGAAUGGUACAAAGAAUGUGAGGAAUCCUCAUAUUCUUAGUACUCUUCGUCACAUUCUCUUUACCCUCGAAAAUUUUACAAAUUUUCAAACUUUAAAAUUUUUUUUCCAUAUGGAAAUACAAUAAUAUUAUUUAUUGAUACUAAUUAAGCUUAGAAAUGAUGGAAAUUACUCUUAAAAGAAAUUAAAAAAAUUACUCUUAAAGAAAUUAUGGAAGUUCGUACCCUACAAAGUUCGUACCAUCUCUUACAAAAUUCGUACAAUCUCUUAGAAAGUUUGUACCAUAUCUUAAAAAGUUUGUAUCAUAUCUUACAAAGUUCGUAUCAUCUCUUAAAAAGUUCAUACGCUGUCUUAGAAAGUUCGUAUCAUUUCUUACAAAGUUUCGUACCAUCUCUUACAAAGUUCGUACAUUCUCUUAGAAAGUUCGUACCAUAUCUUACAAAGUUUAUACCCUCUCUUAUAAAGUUUGUACCAUAUCUUAGAAAGUUCGUACCAUGUCUUACAAAGUUCGUACCAUCUCUUAGAAAGUUCGUACCCUAUCUUACAAAGUUCGUACACUCUCUUAGAAAGUUCGUGUCAUUUCUUAGAAAGUUUGUAUCAUGUCUUACAAAGUUCGUACCAUCUCUUACAAAGUUCGUACACUUUAUUAGAAAGUUCGUACACUAUCUUACGAAGUUCGUACCAUCUCUUAGAAAGUUUAUACCAUGUUUUAGAAAAUUCAUACCAUCUCUUAGAAAGUUCGUAUCAUCUCUUAAAAAGUUCGCACAUUCUCUUAGAAAGUUCGUACUCUAUCUUACAAAGUUCAUACCCUUUCUUAGAAAGUCCGUACCUUGUCUUAGAAAGUUUGUACCCUGUCUUAGAAAGUUUGUACCCUGUCUUAGAAAGUUUGUACCCUUUCUUACAAAGUUCGUACCCUUUCUUACAAAGUUCGUACCCUUUCUUACAAAGUUCGUACCAUCUCUUAGAAAGUUCGUGUCAUCUUUUAUAAAGUUCGUACACUCUAUUGGAAAGUUCAUACAUUCUCUUACAAAGUUCGUACCAUCUCUUACAAAGUUCGUACCUUGUCUUAAAAAGUUUGUACCAUGUCUUACAAAGUUUGCACCAUCUCUUAAAAAGGUCGUACACUCUUUUAGAAAGUUCGCACCAUGUCUUACAAAGUUCGUACCAUCUCUUACAAAGUUUGUACCAUCUCUUACAAAGUUCAUAUUAUCUCUUACAAAGUUCAUACCAUCUCUUACAAAGUUCGUACCAUGUCUUACAAAGUUCGUACCAUCUCUUAGAAAGUUCGUAUCAUGUCUUACAAAGUUCGUACCAUCUCUUACAAAGUUCGUACCCCAUCUUACAAAGUUCGUACCAUAUAUUAGAAAGUUCGUACAAUUUCUUAGAAAGCUCGUACAAUCUCUUACAAAAUUUGUAUCAUCUCUUAAAAAGUUUGUACUCUAUUUUACAAAGUUUGUACCAUCUCUUAGAAAGUUCAUACACUUUCUUAAAAAGUCCGUACCCUCUCUUACAAAAUUCGUACUCUCUAUUACAAUGUUCGUACCCUAUUUUAAAAAGUUCGUACUAUCUCUUACAAAAUAUUUAUGACAAUUUCAUAACAAAUGACUAAAUGCUCUCAAUUUGAUUAAUAAUAACUCAUAAAAAAAUUAAAAAAUCUAGAUGUUAUAAAUCAUUACAUAUUUAAAUGUCAUUUAACAUUACAUUUCUACCUACAAUAGUUAUAUGUAAAUGGAAAAAAACUAAAAAUCAAAUGUUACCUUUUAACACUUGUAAUCACUUGACAUCCUUCGUAUAAUGUUUUAUUCAAGACAUAUAAAACUUCAUCUUCAAAUUUAAUAUAUGAAAAAAAAAAUUAUAUAAAAAUAUUAAUAACAAUUUGAUAACAAAAUUUUAUAAUAAACUCAUAAAAAAUUCUAAAAUUGUUAUUUAACAUCACAUUUCUUCCUACAAUAAUUAUAUUUGGAUAAAAAAUAUCAAAUAUUACCUUUGACACUUGUAAUCACUUCAAAUCCUUCAUCUUCUUCGUAUAAUACAAAUUUUAAAAUUUCUCUCUAAAAAAGUUUUAAACUUGAUAUUAAAAUUUGAUUAAUCAAAAUACAUCUUACAUAUUUUGUAAUUUGGUAGUUGCAAUUAUUUAAUUUUCAUAUUAAAUUAUUAUCUUUUUUUUUUUAUAUAUGAAUAAUAAGAGUAUAAGAGUAGUUGGUAGAAUUUUUUUUAGAUAGAGUUAGGUAAUGCAUUAAAUAUAAAUAAUAUUUGAUAUUUAAUAAUAAAUUAUAAAAAAGUUGUAAUAUAUAUAUAUAUGAAAUGUAAGUGACACAAAUAAGUUAUGUUUGAUAAGUUUUUAUAAAUUUUUUAAUGAUAUAUACUUUACACGUGUUAUUUUAUUAUUGAGAUCAAAUGUGGGUGGUUACCGCCCAAAAUGAAGAGUGGUACCAAAGAACAACCCUUUUACAAGACUUGUGUAUUAAUAAUUGACUACAUUUUCACAAUCUUAGCAGAGAAUCAGUGAAAGUCCUCAGCGGGCAUCUAUUCCUGGAAGACCCACUUUCCUCAAAGCCAAAAAGGGAAUGGUUUAUUUGAUUUGUUCACUGGUCAGGUGACAAUCGCGUGCAAACCCAAGCCAUCGUAAUUUUUUAUUUUAUCUAUCCUUUCGGCUGGACCAACCCACGUCCAAUUGUCUAACAAGUAACAACUAAACUCUUAAGGUGGUCCACGCGCUCACAUGCGAUCAAACGUAAUUGUGUUAGUAUAGACGCGCACUGUUUGGUUAGAAUCUCUGUGCGAGACUCACAGUCUGUUAUCCAGAUAUUGCUGUUCCCUGGUCUUCUAUCUACACCUUCGUCUUACCCACUCUCUGUAGGUUUUGGAAAUGGAGAGGUACUUGAAGAAGGACUUUGAUGUACAGUCCAAGCACUCAUCGGAAGCGGCGCUUAGGCGAUGGAGAUCUGCGGUCACAAUCGUCAAGAAUCGCCGGAGACGCUUCCGCGAUGUCGCAAAUCUCCACAUGCGAUCAGAGGCGGAAAAGAAGAAACUCAAAAUCCAGGUUUUAAUUUGUGUGUGUUAUUUUUACUUUUCUAUCUUUUUGGGUCCGUUCGUUUCCUGAGAAACUGAGGAACACAACAACUUGGUGCCUUAUAUCUGAGAUCUAAGGAUUUUAGAGGGGAAAAAUAAACUCAAACCUAAUGUGAAGAGAAGGAAAAAUAUUUGAUUUUGAAUGUUUAAAGAUUUAUCACUGAGGGGGCGACGAUUACAACAUAUAAGUUCGCUGUUUUGUUUUUUUGUUUUUUUUUUAAAAAUUAUUUUUAUUGUAUCGUCUGAAACGAAGAAAACGGAGGAGUAUAGUGCAAAGAUUUGGCGAUUUUUUAACAUCUUAAAUUUAUUUUCUGGCCCUUUUCAUUAGUUUUCUAAACAACCGAACGGGAGUAGGGAAUUCUUAUGAGUCUUAUCUAAAAUAGUAAAAUGCGACGGCUUUGAGAAAAAAUUAUCUGUAAUUUAUUCAAAACUAGGAAACAACGCUCAAGGCUGAGACGAGGCUCCCGUGGGCGCUAUGCUUACGCUGCGGACGUUAGCAAAUAGCAAGGUCCGCUUGGGGCAAUCUUGAAGAUUUUCAAAAAGUGGCUUCCGGAUUCGGACCGGUUGCAAGUUCAGCCAAUCACGUCUCAAGUUUCGCUGCCUAGAGGUCCACCCAUAGGAUGUAAAAAUUCUUAUAAUACAUUUUAAAAAAAAUAAUCUUUUGGAAAAAACAAAAAAAUGUCUAUUUUUAUCUGUCUAAAGACUCUAAACCCUUCUUAAAAGCUUUUUAUUUUUAUUUUUUAUGAAGGCAACAAAGCCUUUAUGGGCAUGAAAAAAUAAUGCGUUCCCAGUAGCAGUAGUAGGAUCCCCACUCACUGUUUCUUGGCCCGCUGCCGACUAUCAACGACAGAACAAGAGUCACGCAGUUUUCUGCUAUCAACGUCUAUAACUCUGGCGAGUUCUCUAGAGGAGCUUGACAGGUAUGAUUAUUAUAUAGUUAGAAUCACCCAGUUUUCUGCUAAAUGUGGGAGAGACUGGAGGGAGAGUUGCGGUAGCCAGGAAGGAUAGGGACAUCGAUUCUUCUUUUGUUUCUGGGGUUCUUUUCUAAAAUUGUAUUGCCUGUCAACGGUGCAGAGAAAAAGAGAGUAAUAAUUAAGAGCGAGAGUAUUUCUCUUUUGACCCGCAGAAGCUGUAAGCUGCCAUCCUCCGGAGUGAUUUAAAAUUUUUGGAUCGAACUUAAAAAGGACGAUUCAGUACACAUGUUUUGACUAAAUCUGAAUAAAACCACAAUCUCUCAUUCAUUUUCCCGAGAUUAAGUCAUCGGAGAAAAUUGAUUCCUAUUUGUCUGCUUCUCUUGCUUUGGCUGUUACCUACGAAUAUACUUGGGGAUUUUUUAAGAGGGUUUGUUUUAUGUUUUAUAUUUUUUUAAAAACUAGAUGCCAAUUUCAAAAGCCGAUUUUUUAUCUUCCAGCCCUGGCAACCAAGGAAACUUCCACGAACCUUCCGAUGGUAUAGUCAAGCAAAGUGAUGAAAAGGUACGUAGGAGGUGGCUUGGCCGGCAAGUUUCCAGGAGUAAACGUUGACAUUUAAUUCCAAACCAAUAAUUCAAUGCAAAAGGCAACUAAGGAAAGUUCCUUGAACCUUCGGCUGUUAUAAUCACAUGAGUUGGACGGACGUAUAAAUAAUAAAUAAGGAAAAUGAGAGCAAUAAAAAACAGGUGUCCGUGGUCCAUAAGCAUUACGAAGCCUUUUCCCUGUCUAUUUGCUGUGAAAAGGUUAUUGUCACUUCGUAUCCUCCCACACACCAAUUUGUAUUUUAUUGAUCAUCUAUUCCUUAGCUUCCAAUCUGCUGCUGUCCUACUCUCAGCAUUUUGAGACACCAAUUGUACAGAUUAGAGACAAGAGAUUGCCCAGUCAAUUAUAUUAUGAUCUUGUUGUUUUAAUUCCCAAAGGUUUCAUGUCGAUAUUUUCAGCAUUAAAGAGGAGGGGAAAAAAGGAGGGAAAAAAAAUAGAGCAUUUUGUGCGACGGAUGAAUUAAAUUUACUAAGAUUAGCUCUAUCUAAUGAAUGUAGCAUGCCAUGUAAUUUAAUUUAAUUAUGGAGCACUGUGAGACAUGGUGUCUUACUCCCUUCUCUUCAUCCAAUCGUCGCAGGAGGACCUAAUUAAAUUUUCAGGUGGAUUUAUUUGAAAAUUAUGCCCUCCUAUAUUCCCUUUGACUGAUGUUACCUGGAAAAAAAGAGGCCAAUGAAGUAUAUGGGCAAGUCUCUAUGCAUUAAAUAAAUUACCUAUAUCCCUCACUCUUUGUAGUGAGAAUAAUGUAAUGGAAACUCGGUCUUUUUGUCCUACAUGCUGAUUUCCUUCAUAGAGGGAGAGUGAAAUUGUGCCAGUUUUGUCCACCCGCGUCUUUUUGGCUUCAACUCUAAUGGUCCUGCCCCAUGCUAGAACAAAUAAUUAUAAAGAUAUGUGUGUGAAUAGGUUUUUUUGGUAAUUUAUGUUUUGCAUAAAUUGUUGUACUAAUGUGACCACUACCAUUAUGUGCAGCAUGUUGCAAAUGCUAUAAUGCCAAAAAGUUUCUUAGAGGUUAAAUUAUGGUGUUUCAAAUUUUAUUCACCCAUUUUAUAUUAUGUCACUUCUCCACACGAAAUUUUUAGCUAUAGUGUGCAUGCACAUUCAUUAGUUUAAAAUGAAAUGUACAUUCUAUUUUGUUUUCUUGCUUAGGUAAUCAUAUGCAGCAAAUGUGUUCACCGUAUACAUAUUUUCAUUUUGCUGAGACUUUGUGCGGAGGUGUUUGUAGUGUUGGGACUUGGGAGGUCUUUCUCAUCCUUUAGUUUGUACUUGCUAUUUUAUUAUGGUGAAAUGGUUGUUUCUUAUAAUGAAAAAAAAAGGCACAUUCAUAAAAUAAAGAUAAAGUUAUAACAAUAAUGCCUAGUACAAAAAUUGACAAGUUUUAGCAAUGAUGCACAUCAUGUGAUUGUCAAUAAGCAAUAAUGUACAAUCACGAAGUAAUGACCGUAUGGUGAAAUUUUCAAAUGGUUAUGCUAUUUCAAAUAACCCCACUCUUAGCUACACUAGAUGGUUCAACUUCUUUAAAAUUGUGUUUGCAUGUGCUAUAAAUUACAUGGUGUGAAGUCAUGCAAUGAUGUUUGUCAUUCCCAAUUUCUUUGCUAGGGACAAGGCAUUUGUGGGCUUUCACAUUGGUGUAUCACAGGUUUUUUUAAAAGCAAAAUUAUUCUUGUAGCUAUUAUUCUCUCUUCUCAUUUCUUAUUCCCAUCCUCCACGACAGAGAGAAUCCCACUGCUUGGGCACAAUUUCUUUGCUAAGAACCAUGCGCUUACAGGCUUUCACAUUGGUGUAUUACAAGCUCAUUUAAAGAGCAAAUUCUUCUCAUUUCUUACCUCCACCCCCCAACAACAGAGAAACACUCUCCCACUGCUUUGACACAACUUCUUUGUUGUCUAGGGGCAUCUUAAAGUUAAUCCUAGCAUACAGAGAAUCGGUUCACAAAUUAAAUCAUUAUGAAUAAUUGUACCUGUGAAAAGAAAGAAAAGGGAGAAUCCCUAAUUUUUGUUAUUGAAAAACUAUUAAUAAUACACAUUGGACUUAGGUAUAUAUAUAUACAUGUUAGUAGGACCCCCAAUACAAUAAGGAAAGAAAAGGAAAAGGAAAAGUUAAUAACCUAAAUAACUGUACACUAUCUAACACUCCCCCUCAAGCUGGAGCAUAUAUGUUAUAUGCACCAAGCUUGUUACAAAUGUAUUUAAUUUUAGGACCUUUGAGAGAUUUAGUAAAAAUAUCUGCUAGUUGAUCAUUUGAAUUGACAAAACUAGUCGCCACACAUCCUGAUGCGAUCUUCUCUCUAAUGAAAUGACAGUCAAUUUCAAUGUGUUUGGUCCUUUCAUGGAAGACUGGAUUUGAUGCAAUAUGCAAAGUGGCUUGGUUGUCACAGAUGAGCUUCAUCUGUUUUUCCUUUCCAAAUCUCAACUCCCGAAGAAGAUGUUUCAGCCAUAUGAGUUCACAUGUUGCUAGAGCCAUAGCUCGAUACUCGGCUUCAGCACUAGAUCUGGCCACUACAUCUUGUUUCUUACUCUUCCAAGAUAUUAGGUUACCUCCAAUAAAAACACAAUACCCGGAAGUGGAACGUCUAUCUGUGAGUGAGCCAGCCCAAUCUGUAUCUGUGUAACCAACAACCUGGGAAUAACCUUUGUUCUCGUACAACACACCUUGGCCUGGUGUGUUUUUGAUAUAUCGAAGAAUACGGAUUACAGCAUCCUAAUGGCUAUCACAUGGUGAUUGUAGGAAUUGACUAACAACACUUACAGGAAAAAAAAUGUCUGGACGAGUAAUGGUGAGGUAGUUUAGUUUACCUACAAAUUACCAAUAUCUCCCAGGAUCUCCUAAAGGCUCCCCCUGUCCUGGUAUAAGUUUGACAUUUGGAUCCAUAGGAGUGUCUACCGGUUUACAGUCUAACAUACCGGUUUCUUCGAAGAUGUCUAAAACAUACUUUCUUUGGGAAAGAACCACACCGGAACUGGAUUAAGCUAUCUCAAUCCCUAAGAAAUACUUGAGUUUCCCCAAGUCUUUAGUCUGAAAGUGGGUGAAAAGGUGUUGCUUUAGUUUCUGAAUAUCAUUCUGAUCACUGCCUGUAAUGACGAGGUCGUCCACAUAAACUACCAGAUAAAUACACUGCCCCGAAAAGUUAUGAUGAUAAAAAACGGAAUGGUCUGUUGUACUGUGAAACAUGCCAAACUCCUGAACAACAGAACUAAAACGGCUAAACCAUUCUCGAGGAGAUUGUUUCAAGCCAUAUAGAGAACGGCGUAACCUGCACACUAAACCAGACUCCCCCUGAGCAACAAAAUCAGGUGGUUGCUCCAUAUAAACUUCCUCAGCAAGAUCCCCAUGAAGGAAAGCAUUUUUAAUAUCUAACUGAUAAAGAGGCUAAGAACGCAUAGCAGCCAUUGAGAGCAAUAGACGAACAAAAGCUAUCUUAGCAACAGGAGAGAAAGUGUCACCAUAAUUAGAACCAUAAACCUGAGUAUAGCCUUUAGCAACUAAGCGGGCCUUAAAGCGAUCAACCUAACCAUCAGGGCAAACCUUAACUAUGUAGACCCAACGACAACCAAUUGUAGAUUUACCAGAGGGUAAAACAAUAAGAUCCCAAGUGCCAUUGGAGUGUAAAUCAACCAUUUCAUCUACCAUUGCCUGUCGCCAGCCUGGAUGGGAAAGAGCCUCAGGGGUGCUCUUGGGAAGAGAAACAGAAGAUAUAGCAGAAACAAAUGCAGAAUAGGGUGAAGAUAAUCGAUGGUAACUCAAAAAAUUGUAAAUGGGAUGAGGAUUACAAGUAGAUCGAUUACCUUUCCGAAGAGCAAUGGGUCAGUAAGCAGAAGGAGGCAGAGCCGGGGCAGGAGAAGCCGAAGGGAUAGGAAGUGAGUUAGCAGGUACCUCGGCCAAAGAAGGAGGAACAGCGACACGAUGACGGCGAUGAUAAACCUAAAGUGGGCGAGAAGGCACUGCAUUAAGUGGGGAGAUAAUGGGAAGGGUAAGACUUCAGAAACAGGAAGAGAUUCAGAGGUGGAGAAGAACAGUGAGUCCUCAAAGAAAGUGACAUCAGCAGAGAGAAAGUAGCGAUGAGUCUCAGAGGAAUAACAACGAUAACCCUUUUGAAGUCUGGGAUAUCCCAAGAAGAUGCAUUUUGUGGCUUUGGCAUAAAGUUUGUCCUGUCCAGGAGUGAGAAUAUGAACAAAGCAAGUACAACCAAAAACACGAGGAGGAAGGAAAUAAAGUGGUUGGUCAGGGAAAAGAAGGGAAUGAGGAAUCUAAUUGUGUAAUACAGAUGAGGGCAUACGAUUAAUCAAAUAACAUGUUGUAAGAACUGUGUCCCCCCAAAAACGAAAAGAAACAUUACUAUGGAGAAGGAGAGCACGAACUGUCUCAACAAGAUGUCGAUUCUUACGUUCAGCUACCCCAUUUUGUUGAGGAGUAUGAACACAAGAAGAUUGAUGAAUGAUCCCAUGUUGGGACAUAAAUGAAGUAAAUGGUGCAAAAAAAUAUUCCCUGGCAUUGUCAUUGCGCAACACACGAAUAGAAAUAUUGAACUAGGUUUGGAUUUCAGCAUAAAAUUUCUGGAAAAUAGAGAAUAACUCAGCUCGAUUUUUCAUUAAAAAUAACCAAGUAUAUCGAGAAUAGUCAUCAAUGAAAGUGAUAAAAUACUGAAAUCCUAAGUUAGAUGCGGUCCGACAAGGACCCCAAACAUCAGUGUGGACAAGUUCAAAAGGAGACUUUGCCCGAUUAUUCAAACGCUUUAGGAACGAGACACGAGUAUGUUUCCCAAGCUGACAGGACUCACACGCAAGCGACGACAAAGAUGAAAAACGAGGGACCAUUUUUUGGAACUUGGAUAGACUAGGGUGGCCUAAGCGAUUGUGGAUGAGGAGGGGAGCAUUAGUGGAAAUGCAAACUGCAGGAGUUGAAGGCGAGGUGAGGUGAUAGAGGCCUUGAGACUCACGUCCUAUGCCAAUCGUCUUCCCCGUACUCCGGUCCUGCAAGGUCACAAAUUUAUCAGAGAAAGUGAUAGAACAGUUAAGAGUGCGAGUUAUUUUGUUGAUGGAAAUAAGAUUAAAAGGACACUCAGGGGCAUAAAGGACAGAAUGGAGAGGUAGGGAAGGGAGAGGAUGAGCGAAACCAAAACCUUUAGCCAUAGUUUGGGAACCAUUAUGUCACAGGAUGCUUCAAAUGACCCUCCCCAUGGGCUUAUAUAGGAGGAGGGAAGCUUCUAGAGACUCCUGGAGCCAUCUACACUAAGCCAUUGGUGGGAAGAGUGUGGAAGGUUCUAGAAAUGCCUAGAGAUGUCCACACAUCUCUACACUAUGGAGGAAGGCAUGAGAGGAGUCCAAGGCUUUCUAGAGACUUCUAAGAAUCUCUUGUAUAUUCUUGUACAUAGGGUUGUACAUAGAAUAGGGUAGGAUGUUUUAGAAUAUUCUUGAUUUGUAAGGAACCCUCCAAGGUUCCAGAGAGUUCCUUUGGUGCCUAUAAAUAGGUGAGGGCCUUAUUUGGCCAAGGCACCACCUAAAUCACUUCCUAACCAAGCAAGUGAGCUUCCAAGCACUUGUAAAAGCUUCUUUGAGUAAUAAAGAGCUUCCAUUCUUUAAGGAGUUGCCUACCAAGCUUCUUAAGCUUUUGAGUCGCGAGUGUUUUAGCCGAGCGAGCUAAGUAUUGGGAGCAAGGCUGACUUAGCAAGAUCGAGCGUCUUGGCUUGUCUAAGUGCCGCAUGAGCUUAGUGAACGACUAAGUCCGUGACAAUUAGCUAAAGUAAUAGUAGGUAAGGCAGAGGUAGUAGUAAUAGAAGAGAAGAGAUCCUUAUUACCAGAUAUGUGAUCAGAAGCGUCAGAAUCUAGAAUCCAAGGUCCAAGAGAAGAUGUGUGGGUAAGAUAGGCAGAAGCAUUACCAGUCUGGGCAACAAAAGCAACAGAAGCUGACUUGGUGGUCUGAUAGCAGAGAUAGUCAUCAUACUCACUGUCAGUGAGGGAAAUACCCUGAGAUGUGGAGGAACUGGGAGGCUAAGGCGACUGAGGAUCAGAUGACUGGGCCACGUGGGCAGUGUGGGAAGGCCGCCCAUGUAACUGAUAACACCGAUCACGAGUAUGGCCAAACUUAUUGCAAUAGGUGCAAUGAGGACGUUGACCUCUACCUCGGUUACCACUGCGUCCUCCUCGAGAGUUAGUUUGAGAAACUAACACAGAAGAAUCUGAAGUGUUAUCAGAUGGCAAAGUCUGAGUGGAGGAGAUACGGAGGAGGCGAGCAAACACAUCAUCCAAGGAUGGAACGGAGGAACUACCAAUAAUCUGAUCGCUGAUGGUCUCGAGAUUUGGACGGAAGCUAAUAAGCAUAAGAACCAUGAAGAACUUGUCAAUCUGUGUUCGUUGAUCCCCAACAUCAGUAGUAAGAGGCAUCACGAUCAAGAAUUCCUCCUUAAAAGAGGCAAUCUGGCCAAUAUAAGUAGAUAAAUCCAUGUCUUGUUGUCUGACAUUGACAAUAGAAGAAGCCACCUUAUAAAGACGUUGGAUAUCAUUCGUGUAUAGCCCUUUCACCUGAUUCCAAAAUUUAAAGCAUGUUUUGUAGGCCCAAAGAUGAAGCAGAAUCUUAGGAUCAACUGAUUGCCAUAACACACUACAUAACUGUGCAUCUAUCUUCCUCCAUUGUACUCUGUCAAUCUCAGGGAUAUCCGCCUCUUGUGUAACAAGAUGAUCCUCAUAACCUUGACCCAUAAACCAAAGCUCCACAGAGGUAGAUCAGGACAAAUAAUUUUCACUGCCAACCAAUUUCUCCGAAGUAAUCAUAGGAGAUCCAGAUAUGACAGAGGAAAAAGUGGAACUUUUAGUAGCCAUAUCUACUUAUCUGGAGAAUGAAAUAUGUUUGGAUCGAAGAGAGCCCUAAUGCGGCUUCAGAUCACGGUUGAAAGAAGAAAAACCGAGGAUCCGCGGCUGUGAGAAACCAAAUAGUAAAGAAAAACAAAUGUGGCACUACUGGAAGGGUAGAAGAACACUUCCUAAGACACGUGCAGGGCUCAGGGUGGAGAGGAAGUCACCGGAGGUCGUCGAAAAGGCUGAUUAGAGGGCCGACGGAAACAAAAACCUCCCAAAAAAUGCACUUUCAGGGCUCAUAUGGCACAAACACAGAUGGAGGGUGGCUAGACGGUGUCAAGCGAGGCUAGAGGUGGAAGAGCGUGGCUGGAAAGUGCUCCACGCGCCCUCACGCGCCGGCGCGUGAGGUUCAGGCCGCCAGAGAAGAAACGCGCGUGGCCGGCGCGUGGCUGAGAAUCUCCCUCUGGUGCUUUGAGAAAACUUGAAGAUCUCCUCCUUGCGCUCCUAAUGGUAUGGUCGGUGUCGGAAAAGGACUUCGCCGGAAAAAGGUCGCCGGAAAAGUCGUCGGCGGUGAGGGUUUUCUGACGGCGAUAUGGUUGAUCGGAAAGCUUUAGGAGAUGGGAAAGGUGACCGGAAUGAAACACGGUCAUUGAAAGAUUUCCCAGUGGAUUCACGGAUAAACCGGAAAUAAUUAGGGUUUUUUUUCUCCCUAGGUUCUGAUACCAUGUGAAAAGAGAGAAAAGGGAGAAUCCCUAAUUUUUGUUAUUGAAAAACUGUUAAUAAUACACAUUGGGCUUGGGUAUAUAUAUAUAUACAUGUUAGUGGGACCCACAAUACAAUAAGAAAGGAAAAGGAAAAGGAAAAGUAAAUAACCUAAAUAACUGUACACUAUCUAACAGUACCCAACUCAGGGCCAAAUGUACUCAUAAUAAAGAUCAUCAGUUGCUUGGUCUGCAAAAUUGAUUCUAGACAAUUUACAAGCUUUGAAACCAUAGUGAACCAUGCAUCAAGUGCUUACUUAAAUUUUUACUUGUGAAUAAAACAUCUGCCGAAAAUAAAUCAAUAAAUAAACUGAAGCGCUUUUAUUGCUGUUUGAAAUAUUGUGCAUGGUUUGAAUCAUAAUAUCAAUGAUGUUUCAGGACAUUAAACCUAUUUUGACAAGCCUAGCUUCUGUGUUUGGAAAUAAUGAUUCAUUUUCUUUGAGGCAUGGAACCAAUCUCUUCCUGCAAUUUUUUGUUCUAUUAUCCUAAUCAUUGGGGACAGAAUGCUUUCUGAAUUCUCAUCAAUAUAUUUUUGAGGAUAGUUUUAGCCUCACACUAUAGAUAUCCCUGGAAAUCAGAAUGCAGUACAGUUUGACAUAGUUCAGAACAAUUUAUUUAAUAGCUUCAUGGAAAUGGAGUGACUGUUUAGUAUUUGUUUAUCUGCUUUGAUUGCAUGAGAUGGUAGAUAUAACAACAUAGGUCAAUGAUUGCAUAUUGUUUGCAAAGUCACCAAUUCCUACUGCAGUGACUAAUCAUUUUUUAACUUUGCGUACCCUAUUAUACUACUUUAUUUUAACAGGAAAAAAUUCGAGUUGCUCUUUAUGUUCAAAAGGCGGCACUGCAGUUUAUUGAUGGUAUGAGCUUCCUGUGAUUUGGUUCACUGAAAUCAUAUUUCUUGUCAAUUUCUUCUGUUUCCUGUCUCAGAUAAGUUUGUGUUUUGCAGCUGGUGGUCGAGUUGACCACGGGCUCUCAGAAGAGGCAAGGGAAGCAGGCUUUGGUAUUGACCCAGAUGAACUUGCCUCCAUAGUUCGUGGCCAUGAUAUCAUGGGCUUGAAAGCCCAUGGUGGACUCGAAGGACUUGCAAGGAAAGUUCAUGUUUCACUUGAUGAAGGUGUGAAAUCAAGUGACAUAGCUAUGAGGCAAAAUAUCUAUGGCCUCAACCGUUACACUGAGAAACCUUCAAGAACUUUUCUAAUGUUUGUGUGGGAUGCACUGCAUGACUUAACACUAAUCAUCCUUAUGAUUUGUGCUGUGAUUUCUAUAGGAGUAGGCCUUCCCACUGAAGGAUGGCCAGAGGGUAUGUAUAGUGGGGUAGGAAUCCUAGUUAGUAUAUUUUUGGUAGUCCUGGUUACUGCAAUCAGUGACUAUAGACAAUCUCUGCAAUUCAGGGAUCUGGAUAAGGAAAAGAAAAAGAUUUUUGUCCAGGUCACUAGAGAUGGAUAUAGACAAAAAAUUUCUAUUUAUGACUUGGUUGUUGGAGAUAUUGUUCAUUUAUCUAUAGGAGACCAAGUUCCUGCUGAUGGGGUUUUUAUAUCAGGAUACAGCUUGUUGAUUGAUGAGUCAGGCAUGUCUGGGGAGAGUGAACCAGUCCACAUAUCCGAAGAAAAACCGUUUUUUCUUUCAGGAACUAAAGUGACAGAUGGUUCAGGGAAGAUGCUGGUGACUACGGUUGGUAUGAGGACUGAAUGGGGAAAGUUAAUGGAAACUCUGACUGAGGGUGGGGAUGAUGAGACCCCGCUUCAGGUGAAGCUGAAUGGUGUUGCUACAAUUAUUGGUAAGAUUGGUUUGGCUUUUGCUGUGCUGACUUUUGUGGUCUUGGUUGUAAGGUUUCUCGUGGAAAAAGCACUUCGCAAAGAGUUCACAGAUUGGUCUUCAAGUGAUGCACUGACACUUCUGAACUAUUUUGCUAUUGCGGUAACUAUAAUUGUUGUUGCUGUUCCAGAAGGAUUACCAUUGGCAGUGACUUUGAGCCUUGCCUUUGCAAUGAAAAAAUUAAUGAAGGAGAAGGCACUUGUGAGACAUCUAUCUGCAUGUGAGACAAUGGGUUCUGCUAGUUGUAUUUGCACAGAUAAGACAGGAACAUUAACUACAAAUCACAUGGUAGUUCAUAAGAUAUGGAUCUGUGGAAAAGCUGAAGAGAUAAAAGGUAGUGAGAGUGCAGAUGUAUUGAAAUCAGAAAUAUCUGGAAGAGUUUCAAGCAUCCUUUUGCAGGCUAUAUUUCAAAAUACCAGUUCUGAGGUGGUCAAGGACAAAGAUGGAAAGAAUACCAUCUUAGGAACACCAACUGAGUCAGCAUUGCUAGAGUUUGGUUUGCUUUUAGGUGGUAAUUUUGAUGCACAACGCAAAGAAAAUAAGAUAGUUGAAGUUGAGCCUUUCAAUUCUGUCAAGAAGAAGAUGUCUGUGCUUGUGGCUCUUCCUGAUGGCAGAAUCCGAGCUUUUUGUAAAGGUGCAUCUGAGAUAAUCUUAUCCAUGUGCAACAAGAUUGUUAAUUAUGAUGGAGAAUCUAUUCCUCUCUCGGAAGUACAGGAAAGGAAUAUUACUGAUAUUAUAAAUGGUUUUGCAUCUGAAGCCUUGAGAACCCUCUGCUUGGCUUUCAAAGAUGUGGAUGAUCCUUCCAAUGAAAACGACAUCCCAACUUAUGGCUAUACGUUGAUAAUGGUUGUUGGGAUUAAGGAUCCAACACGUCCUGGGGUCAAAGAUGCUGUUCAAACUUGUUUAGCAGCUGGAAUUGCUGUCCGGAUGGUCACUGGUGACAAUAUAAACACAGCCAAAGCUAUAGCUAAAGAAUGUGGCAUACUAACAGAGGAUGGUUUGGCCAUAGAAGGACCUGAAUUUCACAGCAUGAGUCUUGAGGAGAUGAGGGAAAUAAUACCAAGAAUUCAGGUUUGCGAUUAAUUAAUUAAAAAAAAUUUAAGCUUCAAACAUGUGUUUGAGAGAUGCAUUAACUGACAAAAAUUGCUCGGUAUGGACACAGGUCAUGGCUCGGUCUUUGCCUUCAGACAAGCACACUUUGGUAACCCAUCUCAGGAAAUUGUAUGGUGAGGUUGUUGCAGUGACAGGUGAUGGGACAAAUGAUGCACCAGCUUUGCAUGAGGCUGACAUUGGGCUUGCCAUGGGCAUAGCUGGAACAGAGGUUUGCUUAUCCGACCAUCUUAUGUACUAGUCAUCUGUUUUUACUGCCCUUAUCUGUUGUCUUUCUUCUUGGUUGCACAGUUAUUUUUUAGUUUUUUGAUAAGUUUCUUGGUCGCACAGUUAUGAAUGUUUCUUCAUUCUAUUCAUCAACUUACAUUUGCUUGACUUUGGAAAUCAUCUUCCAAUACCAUGAAAAUCUUCUUCCUACUCUAUAAUAUUUUAUAUGCAAUAGGGUGAUAUUAAAAUAGAAGUUUCGUAUGGUCAUUAAUAACUCAUUUUUCUAACAGUUAUUUAUUGAUAGGCGAAUCUUUCUCUACUAAUUAAUAAAAGAAAAAUGAAUCUAAUAUGCAACAUGCAUGAAUCUUAUUAACUUCUUAAUAAGGAGUUUUUAGGUUUUGGUUUGAGGUAGUCUUUCUUCAAUUUAUCUCACUUCCCAAGAUCCUCUACCAGUUAGGAUCUGAUUCAUCUAAUUGAUUUUCAUCACACCCCUGUGAGUCAGAAUAAAAUUCAUCCAAAUUAUCUAUACAUUGUUCUUUUUCUUUUUCUUCAUUUUUUCCCUUUUUUUUAUUGAUAAGAAUUUUCAGCUAUGUAAUUUUAUGUGAUUAAUGACUUUAUGCUGUGUAAUGUUCCACUUCUAAGCCUUUUUUUAUGCUAAUACCGUAUGUGGAAAGAAAGGCCAUGAAAAACUGGACCAUGUACCUUUCCAACCUUUGCCCCACUCAGUCAUCUUGCAAGCCCCCACCUCAAUAGGUAGUGUGCCUCUUUUCUCAUUAAAAGCACACUUUGACUAGGCUUCCUAUUUAUUGUAUGUCAUUAUUAGUGACUCCAAGAAGGGUUAGUUUAAAACCUAAGAAAAUCCAUAGAGAUUUCCUAUGGGGUGGUGGAACUUUAGAGAAAAAACUUCAUCUGGUCAGUUGGUCUAGAGUGGAUACUAAAAAAGCGGGUUGGCCAUUGAGAAUCUCUCUGCUCUCACUACUAUGUUGUAGGGCAAGAUGAGUGGGAGAUUUGUCUCAAAAAAUGAGUCAAUGUGGAAGCAAGUGAUAGUUGGGAAGUUUGGGGAGGAAAGGAGGUUGGAGUUUGUGGGUGCUUAGGGAGGGUUAUGGUGUUGGUUUUUGGAAGGAUAUCAAGAAAAAGUGGAAGGUCUUUAAAAGCAAAGUUUUCUUCAUUGUUGGGAAUGGAAGAACCAAGUUUUGGUUGGACAAUUGGUGUCUCGCCAUUUCUAAAAGACUAUUUUCUCACCUUAUUUUCCAUUAGCAACUCAAAGGACUCAUCGGUUGUAGGUAUGUGGGAGCAAGAUGAGGAGGUGGGUCAUUGGAGUCCCUGUUUCUCAUGACACUUCCAUGAUUAGGAGUUAGAGGUGGUGGAGGCCUUCCUUCAAAAAAUUCAAAAGCUUUUAGUAAGGUGGGAUGUAGGAGAUAGAUUGGCCUAGUCAGUUUCAAGGAAUGGAAAGUUCUCAGUUGAAGUUUUCUACUCAUUUCUGGUGCCAAGGGGUUCAAAGGCUUUCCCAUCUGGGGUUAUUAUUUGGAAUUCAUGGAUCUCGAUGAGAGUUGGUUCUUUUUGCAUAGGAAGCAACAUGGGGAAGGAUUUUGACAUUGGACCAUUUGGAAAGAAGAGGGGGGUCUUUAGUAAAUAGAAGCUAUGUGUAAAUGAGAGGAGGAAUCCAUUGAUCACUUGCUUCUCCAUUGUGUUACAGCUGGAAUUUUGUGGCAGUUGGUUUUUUCUCUAUUCGGGUUGCAGUGAGUGAUGCAUUCUUCAAUUUAUCGGAUGUUGUUAAGUUGGAACUUGGAAUGGGUUUUAGAUACGAAAAAGGAGGAAGAGAGCUCAGUUGGCUGCCCUGCUGUGUAUUUUCUGGACCAUUUGGCGGGAAAGAAAUCAGAAUGCAUUUGAAAAUGUGGAAGUAUCAGAACAAUCACUAAAAUCCUCUUUUUUGCAUAACUUUGUGGAACGUGUUAUGCUUCAUACCAAAGGAAAUACUGUCUAUGGUCAAUUUUGUUGAUUGGUUAAGAAACAAGUAGAUGUGGGCUGGUUUUUUGUCCUUUGAUUUGCCUUCUUUCAUUGUCCUGUUCGGGUGGCGCCCUCAGUAUGCUAUUUGUCUACUUUGGCAUGCCCUAGCACUUUCAUUUUGUAUUAUCUUUAUGUUUCUAUUAGUACUAUUUUCUGUGUGCUUAUAAAAAAAUGGUUCUUUUUGUUUUUUUCAAAUUUGUUGCAUGUUCCGUACCCUUCUGUUUGCUCUACCUGAGAAAUUUGUUACCUGCUAUUAAGAGCAAGUUUUUAUGCAAGAAUGGCUAGUAUCAUAUUCAAAUAAUUAAACAAAAACAAAAUGUAUUUACUGAUUAUCAGCAGAAUCUUGCUAAAAGAGUGCCAACUCGUCACUCAUUCAGUGUUGAAAAGCAUGGUCUUGGAAGUAAAAGCUAUAAAUUUUUGUUAGUUGGGGCUAACAGAAGAGCACCGUUCUACUUUUCCGAAAAUUGAAACUUAAUGUAGUCUUUUAGCUUUCCAGCAUAUGAAUGGUAUCAUUUGGGGUGUAGGUCUAUUACACCUUUGGACUUGUAGGAUGCAACCUGUCCUGCUACUUAUUCCAGUGCUAUUCCUGCUUUUGCAUUAUUCUUGAACUUACCCAUAUAUACAUGGUAUGUUAUCUAUAGGUUGCCAAAGAAAAUGCUGAUGUCAUCAUAAUGGACGAUAAUUUUGCCACUAUAGUAAAUGUAGCCAAAUGGGGCCGUGCAGUAUAUAUAAACAUUCAAAAGUUUGUGCAGUUCCAGUUGACCGUUAAUGUGGUUGCGCUUGUAGUAAAUUUUGUUUCUGCGUGCAUCACAGGUGCGUUGGCCCAUGGAGCUAGUCUUUUCAUUUCAUGUAGUGCUCUUAUUUGUACUUUUGCAUAAUAUGCCAAUCAACAACAGCAGCAAUAAUGAUAAUAAUAAUAAUGAUAAGGAUCUUUGAAACAACAUUCAGGAUCUGCCCCCUUUACGGCUGUCCAGUUGCUUUGGGUCAACUUGAUUAUGGACACUCUCGGUGCAUUGGCAUUGGCGACAGAACCUCCAAACGAUGCACUAAUGAAAAGGCCUCCUGUUGGGAGGAGUGUGAGUUUUAUCACCAAGACCAUGUGGAGGAAUAUUAUCGGUCAGAGUAUAUAUCAACUGAUCGUCAUCGGAGUCAUCAGUGUUUAUGGGAAGCGGCUUUUAAGACUUAGUGGUUCAGAUGCGAGUGAUAUCAUUGAUACUUUCAUAUUCAACACCUUUGUGUUCUGCCAGGUAUCAUUUAUUAUGUAUGGUUAUUGUUGAUUUGUCUCAUCCUUGUUUCUGAAUUCUGAUAUACCUUGUCAGCAUUUCAUGUCUUUAAACUCUACCAACAUAAUUGGUGUUUCUUCUUUGAUCCACUCUGCAGCUGUUCAAUGAAAUAAACAGCCGUGAUAUUGAGAAGAUAAACAUUUUUCGUGGUAUGUUUGACAGCUGGAUAUUUAUCAUAGUCAUGGUCUGCACAGUGGCAUUCCAAAUAAUUAUAGUUGAGCUCCUGGGCACCUUUGCAAGCACUGUGCCCCAAAGUUGGCAACUAUGGAUAUUGAGCAUCUUGAUCGGAGCGGUAGGCAUGCCUGUUGCAGUUGUUUUAAAAUGCAUCCCAGUUGAAACAGGCAGUUUUAAGCAGCAUGAUGAUUACGAGGCACUACCUAGUGGACCAGAACAGGCAUGAGGAGAAAGAUUUCUAAUGCCGUGAUUCUGAGCUCUGGUAAGAAAUAGUGAAGGUGAAUUGGGUAGAGUGGUUAGGCGUGCUUCACAUGUAUUUGAGGGAAAGCAAAACAAAGGUGAAUACAUCACGCCAUGCCUUUCUUCUUUGUUUUGUUUUCCCUCAAAAACAUGUAAAAUAAGCACUAUACUUAUUUCACCUCCGCCACCUUCUCUCCAGAGCUCAGAAACAGGAACUAGAAAAAUCAACCCAACCCUACAUCACACAAUAUUGGUCUUUUCUUACUUCCCUUUGUUUUCUCUCAAAUAUAUGUGAAACAGGUCAAUUAAAAUUCUAUCCCAACACCCAUUGAAGUAGUUCUAUCUCUUGAUGUUCAAAAUGCUAUUGUAAGUUCCUAACAAACUAGAGCUUCCGGUUCAUUUGGAUUGCAGUUGUUCCGCUGUUCCUUGUUGCCUGCCACUGCAGGAAGCAAUUUUGUUCAAGCAUUUGAGGAUUUUCAGUAUAAUAAAAUUUUGUUGUGACUUAACAUUUAACAAUAGUAUGUUAUUAUCAAUUUUGAAAUCGCCAUUUGAAGGUUGGAGUAUGAAUGUCAUGCUUUCCGGUCAAAAAUAUGUGAAUGCGAUUCUAAACUGUCAGAUACUUAUCCCAGUGGUUUUUACUUUUUAUUCCAUCUUCUGAUUUGCCUAUAGGCUAUAGGCUGAUAUGUGAUGCACUGACCUGACCAGUUGAUGGAGAAAAAUUACACAUUACAAACGAUUUUAAAUGUCAUUUUCAUUCUCCAUUACUACCUAUCGGGAGUUUAGAACACUAAUAUAAAGUGUAUGUAAUUUGUUGUUAGAAAAAAUCCCAAAACAAAUACAUAAAUCCGAGAGAAAGAAGAUUACAAUUAGGUUUUUCCCUGAAAAUUGAAACAGCCGGGUGAAAGUCCCUAAUUUACAUGGAACACGGAGAGUAUGGACUGAACUAAUGGGACCUUUUAUGAAUCUCCAGGGCGAAUGGUCCUCUCUCUCUCUCUCCCUCGCUAUCUCCCUAUGUGUUUCUUCCACAAGGUUAGACACUGUAUUAUUGUCUAUAAAACGGAAACAGGGUCCGAAUACCCCCUAAGAAAAGCUCGUCAAUUAGCGAUUCGGUGUUGGCAUUAACUCCAGGACCGUUAUCUGUGUUGGCGUGAGAGACAACUUUUACUGCUUACUUACAUGCCAAGAUCUCAAGGGCUUAUAAGACUAUUCGUUUAAGAAAAAGAUCGUCUUUUUAAAAAUAAAUUUGAGGUGCUUUCAUGUAAUAUAUUCUGAACAACAAUUGAAAAUUAAAGAAUGUUUUAGGAAUUUUUGCAUUAAAAAAACUGACUUUGAUAUUUGAGUUUUUUAUUCCGAGGAACAAAUCAAAGGUUGCCAUGGUUCUCAAUAUAGCCAUUCCUUCAAUGGUACCACAAAAGGAAAAGGAAAGGUGAAGAAGAACCAGUGACAACUAGCACUCACUUCCCAACCAGCUAGAAAGGCAACUGAAAAAUAUAAAUUACUCUCAAAUCAAAUAAAUCACUAACAGAAUCUAGUACAGAGUCGAUUAAUAACAAAAAUUACAACACCUACCCUCUUGCGGAUAAAAGGGAAAAAAGAAAAAGUCAAGAAGGAAAAACAACAAAAAAUUCAUUUAAAUCUCCGCUUGGUUUCCCCAUAAGCAACAACCCCAAGAACGGUAAUUGUGUAGCCAGAAAUCCCAACAACGGUCACUGGAUUCUGGAAUAUAAGUAUUGAUAUGACAACAGCCACAGCUCCUUUUGCAUUGCCUAGUACCUGAUCACACCAUAAUUCCAGGGAUUGAGGAUACAUGAAUACGCAGAAUUCAUCUAUUGAAAGCUACAACAAAUAGAACAACAUAAUAGACUAGCCAUAAAUCCCUAUUCUGAAAAUAAGAAAUAAAUAAGAGCAAUGAGAUAAAAAUAAGGAAUCCUAAAUAGAGUUAAGGUUCCAAUUCCAUGGAUAAUGUGGAUAGCAUUGUCUAUAAUCAUAGACAAAUAAAAGAAUCUUAUCCCUCAUUUUGAAAAUGUCUUUGGAUGAAAUGGAAAAUUGAUUUCAUAUCCCAUUAAAGGGAAUUGUUUUACCAAUUCUCGGACCAAAUGUGUCUGUCUUGACAAACAUGCAUACACCUUUGAGAAAUUUGGAAUAGUUCAGGGCCAAAGUAGAUGACAUUUAUGGAGCAAGAGUAUUAAAUCCAGGAUUAGAGAUCCAUUGAGCCAAGUCAAAUAUCAGUCUUUACUUUGAUCCUAAUUGAUAUUAAAGAUUGGCCCGAGCUCAAUCCAAAUCUCCUUUUCAAGCUUUGGUUUGUUCAGCAACAUGACCAGCUCCUACUGAUGCAACCCUUCAUAGAAGUUCCAAAUCACUAUGCACAAAAAUUUUCUUGUAGCAGAGGCUAACCUUCUUGCAUGAACUUAGUCAACUAUUUGUUUUAAACAAUAGUCUAUAUUGACCAAAGAAUCCUGGUGAGUGAGAUCUAAAGAGCAUGAGCUGCUUCUCCCUAUUUGCAGUUUACUCAGGAUCACUUAGGAAAGAAAUGUUCUUAUUGGAGAAAACCUGGUUCUUAGAAUUGUGUGGAACAGUGUAAAAAUUGGUGAGCACAUAUUACUCCACCCUGUACGCUGAGUUCAUGUUAAGAGUAUACAGUUGGGAUUAUAAGCAGUAUUUAGUGUGAAAAACAUUAAAAAACCAAUCCAAUAAACCCACCUGGAAUUUCAUCAAGACAAGGUAAAUGGUAAGAAUGUGUUUGUAAGCCCCAAGGAAAUCAAAUCAUUCAAUGCAAAUUUUCAAAGCAUUUGAAAAUGCUAAAUUCUCUAAACAAGCCAUUACAAAAAAAUGGAGCAGUCAUGACAAAUGGUGGUAUCUAAUAUUCAUGAAAUCGUAAUCAUGGUCAAUUUACAGUUCAGGGAAUGGUUUCAUUUCAACUUUUCACCAUUACUUGUGAUGACAGCCUAUAAUGAUGUCAUUCCAGUUGAUAGACUUGCAGCUUCAUGAAUAUGCAUCAGAAUGCAUACUGUUACUCAAUACUUCAUACUAUCUUACAUAGACUAGAUAAUUAUUACUGUAUUGUUACCUAUACUUCAAAUCAUUUACCCAAGAAAAAGAUUUAUUUAUUUAUUUACUGAGAGAGAGAAUAAAAGCCAAAGAUGCUGAACCUGGAGUGUCAGAGGACUUGUAUGCUUGGUCACCAAGAAGUUGGACAAAUUGGCCGAAUAGGCCAUUGCUGAAUUCACCAAAAGAAGCAUCCACAUGAAUUUAUGCUCCUUCCCAAGUGAAAUGGUGGCAUCUAACACAUUGGGUUCCAUUAUAAGUGCAGCAGGCAAUAAAACUAGAACUGCAAUUGGAGACAUAUACAGCAACAGAUUCAUGGAGUUUAACUUUUCCCUGCAGAGAUGAGAGAAACUUGGAUAAGAUAUGCCAUGUAGGAAGCAGAUUACGCAUCAACAAAAUAUUUUUUGCACUGCAGAGAGUAUGGAAGAGAAGAAAAGAAAUUUGGAAUUUAAAAAAAUCAUCCCAGCUCCAAAUAGUUGUAAAGUUCCAAUUUUUCUUUACAUUUUGUCCACUUAGUUAACCAAAUGGGGCAUAAAGGUAAACAUGCAAACAAAAAGGAUGAAAAGAAUAAAAUAAACACUUGUACUGUACUAUUUAUGAGAAAGGUAUAUCUCUACAAAAAUUACCAACCAUUUCUGAAUAAUGCCUUUUGUUUUCAUAUGUUUGCAACCCCUUGAUAGGACAUUCAUUAGUUGGAUGGUUAAUAAAGAUGGUCCCUUUCCCAGGCCCAGGUGCAUAUCCAAUAAGAAAAAGUAUUCCCAGUUUUAACUCCUCAAUUGCAACUUAUUUGGUUUCAUUUUCCUUCUGUAUAUAUCAAGCAACAGAUUUUGCUUUAAAAAUCCUUGGAGAAAGACCUUAAGGUAUGCAAAAAAAUCUCCAUUCCUCUGCCAGACAAGUGAUCUAAUUUAGACCCUCGUUGUAGAUAUAUUCCUUUUUAGUCAUCACUCCUUCAAACUUCUGAUUACGCAUUCAGAUUUCUGAUUAUGCAGUUCCCAUUUGAAAUCUUGUAAACUCAGGAUCCUUCAGUGAAAAAACUUUAAUUCUGACCUGAUAGAACCUCAAAGUAACUUGAGAAUGUGAAACAUUCAAUAAAGUAGCUACAGAGAAAACAAACAGCACAUUUACAAAGACAAAAAAAAAACAGCAGAAAACUUCUUAUUUAGGUGCCACUCCUGAUUAUGUUCACAUUUGAAACCUUGUAAACUCAAGGUUCUUCAGUGAUAAAACCUAGUUCUGGUCAUACAAAACCUCAAACUAAUAGAAAUAACUACCAUCUCACAACAAUUAUUUUUGAUAGGAAAAUAACUGAAAGAGCAAAGGGUUUACCCUUCAGAGGAAAGUAGGACACCCUGAAGAACAGAUUUGAAUGCCCUUGCAGCAGUUGCACUUAUGCACAUUAUAAAUCCAAACAAGUGGAAACUUGGCUCACCCUAGCACCAACAAAAUAAUCUCAUGCUUAAAAGUCCAUUGAAAACAGGAAGAAGAGUUUUUUAAAAAGAAGAAAAACAUAAAGAGAAACCAUCCUAGUAGCAAUAAGGCACUUAAUCUUCUUUACUCCUCAAUUAACAUUUUCAUUUGUAUAUUUAUUUACUUAUUUUCUGCAGAGGGUAUGACAUAAUAACCCUGCAGCAACCCUGCAGCAGAAACACAGAAAGAUCCAUGAGUUAACAUAUUCCAAAAUUUAAUAUGAUCAAUGGGAAAUUUUCUGUAAGAAUACUCACUAUCAAGUGACUUUCCAGACGCCAAUUGAUAUAAUAAAGCAAACUACAAAUAAAAAUGGUAGCAGCUGCAUGAUUUGUUUAAAUGUGUAUUACAUAGAGUUGGGGGAUACAUGGUGGAUGUCAUUCAUUGAAAAUUAUCCAGCCUAACAAAAAGAACAAUACUGGUGAAACUUCAAGUAAAAUUAUGUGGUAAGAAAUAAUUAAUGACUUGAAGAUGAUCCACUUUGGUUUCUUGCCUCUGCCAUCUGAUAUAGGGACAAAGGUUUCAAACUCAUGGUUGAACGUUAGUCAGCAGAAAACAUGUUUGUUAAGCUAAUCCUCUGAUGCCCUUAUUAAGGGUGUAGCAUUUUGGUCUUUCUUUCCAACUGGAUAUUACAUUUUAUAUCCGGAUGCUCUUUAUUCCACAGCUUGCAUAAAUAUUGAAUCCCGGUAUGUUAUAACCUCCAUCCCAAUAAUAAAUUCCCUAGAAGAUACAGCAAUACAAAACCAUCUUUAGGAUAAAUGCCUCAGUGUUCACUCCAUUAAAGGAUAGAUCUAUUUAUCCUUCCAAUACAAAUGAUUCUACUAAGGGCUUGUUCUAAUCAAAUUUUCCUUCUUGUUUACAGGCAAAGUAAUGUACUAAUAAGCACCUAACAACAAGCGAGGGGUGCAUCCUUAAUACACGAGUUCAUUCUAAUCAAAAUGUUCCAUUAUAUAAGGACAGAGUUUUACCCCAUAAAUUUUUAUCUCAUUAGACAAUUAUAAAUCCUAUCGAACAUACAUACAAAGUAGUUUGUUUUGUUUUGAGACGGUCCCAACAAUGCCCUAUCUACUCUACUGAUGAAAGCAUUUCAAGUUUUCAACCCAAGAUCCACCUAACUAAAAAGAACAUGGCUUGUCCCAUAACUGAGGAUCCUUCACCUCUGCUUCUGAUCCCAUUAACCCUAUAUAAGCUGCCAGAAAAAAACUCCCACAAUUUGUAACAUCCAUGUACCACAUCAAGUCCACGAAUUAUCUGAAAUCAACCCUUGGAAUAGAGUUGCAGAUCAGGAAACUCAUACAUCGACUUGGCAUUGCAUCAAAUAACCUCAAAAUCAAACCAAAACAUAGCAUAACAUGAAAUAGAUAUCGAAUUCCGAAAACAGCCACAAAACCCAACACAUAACAAACACCAACGAAGAUAAUUCACACUUAGAACCAGUCACAGAUCAAAACAAAAUUCACAAUAGAUAAAUAAAUAAAUAAAAUUAACAAAAUUAACUGAUGAUCCCAGAAAUAAAGCAAAUAAAUAAACAUACCCCACUUGCGAUCACGACCCCGGCAACAACUGGUACAAGAGCAACAUAGGUGACCCAAGCCUCCCGCUUAAGGGUCAUCAAAUAAGCAAACACGGCGGUGAAAAACGGCGUGGUUGCACCGACGGCCUGAUUGAAGGAGACAGGGAGAUACCGAAGCGAAAUGUUGCCACCGACAACAGAGGCACAGAAUACAAUGCUGAGAGUGGCAAUCUUGAGGAACUGAGCCCUAGAUUUAAGGGCCUGCAGAGGCGCAAUUUUCAAGAAAACAAUGGAGACGUAACUGAGAAUUGCACAAGCAGACAUGUGGCACAUUGUGAGGAAGAUUGGGAAGCUGAAGCCAUAGUUGGAGAGCAGGAACUUGUUGAGAAGAAUGACCCCAAUGUUGGAUGAGUACCAUAGGAUUAUGAGUGAGCUUAUGAAUAAGGCUUUCCUCCUCGAUGGAGAUGAUGACGAUGAUGAUGCUGACGAAGACAUCUUCUCCUUCCUUUUCCUAGGGUUCUUGAUUCGUCGGUGAAGCUGCAGCUCUUAUCAGAGCUUUAAUGGCAUAUUAUGCUAUUGCUAUUGUUAUGAUUAUUUAUUUAUUUAUUUAAAAUUUUGGUGUACAUCUUAUUUUCUUAUUACAAAUUUAUCAUACAAAAAUAAUUUUUUAACUUUCAGUUAUUUUUUUGUAAAAUUAUAAUUGAAAACAUAGAGAAUAUUUAAAAUUUUUACCAUAUACAUAAAUCAAAAAAAAUUAUUUUUCCUAUUUUAAAUUUCUAAACAAAAUUUCAUUCCUCCAAACAAAUUUUAAUUCUUUUUCAUGGCUUUUUUUUAAAAAAUAUUUUCAAAUAAAUCAUAAAUCACCUCAUUUAUUAAGUUCAAUAAAUUUUAAAAAUAUAUAUUAAAAUAAUUUAUUAACUUUUAAAUCUAUUUGUUAUUAUUUCUUAUAUAUAUUUUCACAAUUUUAAGCCUUAGUUAAGGUUGUUUGAUGCCAAAAAAAAUUAAAUUAUUAUUUAACAUAUUGAGGUUUUUUUUUUCAUAUGAAAGGGCUCCACUUUGUAACCACCCUAUAAAAAGUUUUUAGUGCCCAUUUAGAAAUGUUUUCAAAAUUAUUUUUUUUAUAUUUUAUAAAAUAAAAGUUUAUUUUUUGUUUUUUAAAUAAAUUUAUUUUGAUUGUUUUAUUUUAUUUUUAUUUUUAUUUUAUAUUUAUAUAAUUGUUUUUUUAAAUAAGCCUUAAAAAACAAUCAAAAUAUGUUAUAAAGCUCUAUUCCCAGCCAAAAAAAAAAAUAUCAAACUAAUUUUUUUAUUAAUAUAGUUUUAAAACAGACUCUUUCUUCUACUCAUUGGUAAGAUUAAUUAGAUAUGUAAAUGACUUAAAUUGAAACUUUGAUUCAGUAUCAAAAUGGUGUUUAGUAAAUUAAUUUAAUAAUUCAAUAUAAAUUAAUAACUUAAUUUAAGAAAUUAAAUAUGAUUGAUUAAAUAAUAUAUGGUGUUUGAUAAAAAUUAAUAUUUAAUUAUUUUAACUGACUUUAAUUUAAAUAAUGCUUAAGGUAUCAAUUCAUAUAUAAAUUACACUACUAGGGCAAACACACUCACUAUAUUUAAUAGCUUAAAUGAAGUCAUUAAAAUUUUAAUAUGCUCGGUAAUUAAACAUUCUUUUAAUGUCACGACUUAAAUUUUAAAAAUAACUUCAAUACUUAUCAAACAUAUUCAAUAUUUUCAGUAACUUAAACUAAGCCGUUAAAUCAUGUUAACUUGUGUAUAUAUAUAUAUAUAUAUUAGGAUUAAGGGUGAUGUUUGCGUUUUGUGUUAAAACAAAAUAGACUUUAGUUUAAUUAUAAAUAAUACUCAGUAAGGUUGAGUAUUAGUUUGUUUAUUUUAUUUUAUUUUACUGAUUCAAGUCGUUUUUAAAAUUAUUUAUUUUUUAACUUAACAAUUUUUUAAAAGAUAAUUUUGUAUUAACGAAUAAGGUAAAAAAAAAAAUUACUUUUACUUUAAAUUUUAAAACAACUUUCUCCAAACUUAAAUUAAAAAAAAUAAUAAUAAUAACAACAACAACCCUAAGUCUUAUUUGUUUUUUCUAACCAAACAACCUUGAUUUAUUCUAUUCAACUACCGGCAAGUCAUUAAAUUGAUUUAUCAAAUAUCAUCUAUAAAAUUUGAUAUAAAAUAAUAUUUUAAUAUUCAUAUGUUAAAUGGGAUUGAAGAAGUAAAGUAUAUAGGAAUUUAAAGAUAUGGCAGAAAAUUAUUUUGAAAACAAUUAAAAAUUCUAUCGAUAGUGUAUCAUUUUUCCAAAAAUAAGUUUGAGGUGUUUUUAGAUUAUUUUAAGAAAAAUUAUAAUUAUAAAAGAUAUUUUAAAAGGUCAUAAUUUUAGUCCAAUUUUUUUUAUAUUUUUAUUUUUAAAAUAAAAUGUAAUUUCUAGAAAUAAUUGAAAACAUGUUUUUAAAACACUAUUUUUGAAAAAUAUAAAGUAAUUGGAAAUGUGGAUUAGGGUAAAGUAGUUUUAAAAAAUCACUUGAAAUAUAAAAAAUGACGGUGUCAAGAACCGUUCACAUAGCCUUGUUGUACACGUGUCUUCCAUUAAUCCAAGAAGCUUGGAAAAUCCAUGCUACAAGAUAUCGUUUGUUUUGCCCCUUCUACACCAAGUCACUGACAAGGUGUCACAACCCUGAUAUGAACCUCAAAUUUUUCACCAAGUGUGCGGUGCUAAAAACCCUUUCUUAGCCAACCUUUCCCUUUCUAGCCCUUAUAAAAGCAGUGUAACAAACCAACUCAAUUACAGAAAUGCUUCCCAACUUGUAUUAUUUCAAUCUCUACAUACAUACAAAACUGCUCAACACUUUGUCAGAGUCAAAGAAUAUAAUGCUUAAACCCCUAAACAUUCAAAAUACCAUACAUACUCUGUCUCAGGGAUGUAUGGGGCUUUUAUUAGUUUAUAUGACUCAGUUUGCAGUUUUCUCUUUUAAAUUUCAAAUCAAGGAGUUUGUUGGUGGUUAUGCAACCGCCUAUAACCACAAAGCUAGAGACACCCCUUUGAACUGAGGUGUCCCUUCGCACUGGCUACUAGCUCCUCAGCUAUCUGCCAAUUCCCUGUUGCUAAAUCUUAGUUAUUGCUACCACCUCAUGUGUUGUACUGAUCAACCUGCUACCACUAGCUAACUGUUGUUCCCUCAAACCUUUACUCAUAGAACAGUUGACGAGUCCCCCUAACAAGUUGCCUCCUCCCCGUAAGGUGCCUCUUGUGAACGAGUGCCCAUCAAGAUGUCUUUGACCAAAGCUCUUUGAAUUAGCAACGUGCAUCGACCAAUUGAUCAGGUGUGUCUGGUGCAUCAGUGUGUCUUCCUCACACUGAUAUCUGAGUACCAUGUCAAGGUGCCCAUGGCCUGGGCAUGUGUCAAGUUCCCUCUAGUUAGUCAAGGCUCCAUCAUUGCCUUGUUUUUGUCAUGCACCAUCAAUCUCGAUAACUGCCUCAGAGCUUUUUGUUUAGCCACUGAUUCACAACAUUGAGUCAUGGCAUUGCGCCCAUGGCUUCAUCAACUGGCUCACUGCACAAGUCUUUAGGUGCUCUUGUGCUAGUGCGGGGAGGAAGUAAGCCACGUCAGGCCCCGUGUCGUUACAGCCACGGGGUGCAUGCCACACAUGUCGUGGAGUCCAUGUGUGCGUGCUUGUGUGCCUUUCAUAUGUCUUAGACAUGCCCAAGACCUUGCCAUGGUUCCUCCUUGAUGUGGCCAUGGCUUGGCCUUUGUGCCCUUGAGUCACCUACCCCCCUUAAAAAGCAUUACAAGUCAUUUUCAAAAUGUUUGGAGGAGACAUUAAACCCCCUUGAGGAGACAUAAUGGAAUAUUUAAAUAAAUAAUAAUCAUAUUAUAUAAAAAAACCUUAUCAUUCAUCAACACCAUCUUCAUAGCCCCACAUGUGCAUGAUGUGUGCUAAGUGUGCGCACAGGUGUGGCAUGGUGUGCAUAUGGGCGUGGUCUGCUGCACGCAUGGGCGUGAGACUGCUACGCAUGCGAUACUUGCCUGGUGCAUGGGUGGUGUUUGUCUGGUGCACACGCGGUGCUUGUUGUCAUGCUCAUUUCCUCAUUUUUUGUUUUCUUGGGUUGAACCACCAAACCUCCAGGCCAUCUCUACUCUCUGCCUAGGAUCUGUUAGACAACCACACUGCACACACUGGUUAGUUCAUAAGAAAAUAAAAGAAAACUGGAAAAAAAAAAACAGAGAAUUAAGGAAGAAGAUUAGACCGAGUCUUGUGGAAAACACAAUCUCCUUAAAACAGAUUCGCCUUCUCCAUAGGUGCUUUGAGAAUCGCAAGGUGUCUGUCUCCCAGGAUAAAACGAUCUUCGAAUGGCAGCAACAACACUCUGCAGCCACUCCGGCGAACUGGAAAUUGUUCAACUCUAUCACGGACACGGAAGGAAGGAACUCUUCAACACUCUGACAAUACUCCAAAGUUUUUCAUUUUUUGCUAUUUUUUUGAAAGAAAGUCUACCACUAUUUAUAGACUUCAAGGAGGGAAGAACACAGACAGGUUCAGAAAGCCAAAAUGAAUUUGGCUUCUUGAGACUCUUAUAAUUCUGGAAAAAUGAAUGAAUUUACUUAAUUCAAUGGAUUUACUUAAUUUCAUUCAUCCCCUUUUUCCAACAAUUCCCCACAUGAAAGAAAUUAAGACACGAUGAACUUUGUGAUAGAGUACAACGGUUGAAACCUGCAUAGGAGAGGUAGGUGUUACCCUUUGAACCUUCCCUUGUAGAAAUAUGUUUACUCUACUAGCUAAACAGUAGACACGAUGUCCUUGAACUGUUCUGUCAUUUAUGUAGAUGAUGACAUAUCUCACACAGGAAUCUUCCUAACAUAUUUCAGUUCUCACUUUUAUGUUCAUUUUGGCCAUGAACAUACGCCUGGUUCUAUAAGAGUUUAAUAAGAAUUGUGCCCUAUUCAAUUCCCUUAGAAGCGGCCCCACUUCACUUUUACAUAGGUGAUCUCUUAAUCACGAGUAACCCGCAUUACUCUGUUCGGAUUUCCGAAGCAUAAGGAUCAUUAAAAGCAUAGCUUACCCUUUCCUCUUACGGGCAUCACUAUUUUAUCAUAGGAAUGGACUAGGGAAGAUCCCCACAGUGAUUUAACAAAGUCUUUACAGUUUAGUUGUCCCUUUUGAACCUAGAUCUCGGGAUCUCCAGUCAACUAGGUUGGGUAUCCACUGUAUUAACUUAUUCUUUUAUGGGUUUUAGUCCCAUUCCCCUUGAUGACUUUUCAACUAACUCUUUAUUUAACCUUUUGGUUAGUGGAUCCGCAAUGUUAUCUUUGGAUUUCACAUAGUCCACAGAGAUAACCCCAGUUGAGAGUAGUUGUCUAAUGGUAUUGUGUCUACGACGAAUGUGUCUAGACUUACCAUUAUACAUAUUACUCUGUGCUCUACCAAUUGCAGAUUGACUAUCACAAUGUAUGCAAAUUGGAGGCACAGGCUUUGACCACCUUGGAAUAUCCUCUAGGAAGUGGCGUAACCAUUCAGCCUCUUCCCCACAUUUAUCUAGUGCUAUAAAUUCAGAUUCCAUUGUGGAUCUGGCAAUAACCGUUUGUUUUGAGGAUUUCCACGACACUGCUGCACCUCCUAGUGUAAACACAUAACCACUAUGGGAUUUUGAGUCUUUAACAUUAGAUAUCCAAUUCGCAUCACUAUAUCCUUCAAGUACAGCAGGAUAUCUUGUAUAGUGCAGCCCAUAAUCACGAGUAAACCGUAAGUACUUUAGUACUCUUAUAAUUCCUUGCCAAUGCUUGGCUCCGGGAUUACUCGUAUAUCUACUCAGUUUACUAACCGCAUAGGCUAUGUCUAGUCUUGUACAACUCAUUAAGUACAUUAGACUGCCUAUUACUCUAGAGUAUUCUACUUGAGAAACACUCUCACCUUUAUUCUUGGACAAAUGUAGAGUUACAUCCACCGGUGUUCUAGCAACUCCAGAAUUAUCUUUAUCAAACUUUCCAAGAAUUUUGUCUACAUAAUGUGACUGACUUAAUAUGAGUUCAUUUGAUGUUCUUUUGAUUUUUAUUCCCAAUAUAACAUCAGCAAGUCCCAUGUCUUUCAUGUCAAACCUUGAAUUCAACAUGUUCUUUGUAGAUGUGAUCAUCUUAUCAUCACUACCAACAAUAAGCAUGUCAUCUACAUACAAACAUACAAUGGCAUAUCCAUGUUCUGUAUCCUUGACAUAAACACACUUGUCACAUUCAUUGAUUUUGAAGCCAUGUGACAGCAUAACAUUGUCAAAUUUUUCAUGCCAUUGUUUUGGUGCUUGUUUUAAGCCAUACAAAGAUUUCACCAGUUUACAAACUUUCUUUUCUUGUCUUGGAGCUGAAAAACCCUCAGGUUGCUCCAUAUAGAUUUCUUCAUCUAAAUCUCCAUUUAGAAAGGCUGUUUUUACAUCCAUUUGAUGUAUUUCAAGAUUUCUCAAUGCAGCAAUUGCAAGUACCAUCCUUAUGGAAUUUAUUCUCGUCACAGGAGAAUAUGUGUCAAAAUAAUCUAGGCCUUCAGUUUGUCUGUAGCCUUUGAUUACAAGUCUUGCUUUAUACUUGUCAAUUGAUCCAUCUACUUUCAUCUUUCUCUUGAAAAUCCACUUGGAACUUAAAGGUUUACAACCUGGUGGAAGAUCCACUAGUUCCCAAGUAUGGUUUUGCAAUAUGGAAUCAAUUUCACUCUUAAUGACCUCUUUCCACAUAAGACCUUCUGUAGAGUUCACUGCCUCUUUAAAAGUUUGAGGUUCGCCUUCAAGCAUAAAAGUUAGAAAAUCUGGACCAAAAGACUUUUCUGUCCUUACCCUUUUGCUACGUCUAGGUUCUACCUCAACUUCUUCAUUUUGAUCCUGACUCUCAAGCAUUCUUUUUUAUGAACUUGGCUCUUCUUUGGAUUUACAUGGAAAUACAUCUUCAAAGAAUGAUGCAUUCCUUUAUUCCAUUAUCGCGUUCUUAUGAAUAUCUGGGAUAUUUGAUUCAUAAACAAAAAACCGAUAAGCAUUACUAUUAUGUGCAUAGCCAAUGAAAAUGAAAUCAAUAGUCUUAUGUCCUAUUUUCACCUUUUUAGGUGGAGGAACUGCCACUUUAGCAAGACAUCCCUACAUUCGUAAGUAUGUGUAGGAUGACUUUCUUCCUUUCCAUAACUCAUAUGGAGUCUUUUCUGCUUUCUUUUUGGGUACCUUAUUCAAAAGGUAAUUAGCAGUUAAAAUGACUUCUCCCCACAUGUUUUGUGGCAAACUAGAACUUAUUAACAUUGCAUUCAUCAUUUCCUUUAAGGUACGAUUCUUUCGCUCAGCCACUCCAUUGGAUUAAGGCGAAUAAGGUGUUGUUGUUUCGUGUAUAAUCCCAUGUUGAGCACAAAUGUCAACAAAUGGCGAUUCAUACUCACCACCUCGAUCGCUUCUUAGUACCUUAAUUUUCUUGUUGAGUUGAUUCUCAACUUCGUUUUUAUAGAGAACAAAUUUCUCUAUAGCUUCAUCCUUGCUUUUUAGUAAAUACACAUAACAGUAUUUGGUGCUAUCGUCAACAAAAGUAAUAAAAUAUUUAUUACCACUUAUUGUUUGUACAAAUUUCAAAUCACAGGUAUCACUAUGAAUCAAAUCAAGAGGUUCAGUGUUUCUUUCAACACUUUGAAAAGAUGACCUUGUUAGUUUUGCCUCAACACAAGUUUCACAUUUAUGGUUGGAAUUAAUUUGGAAUGUUGGUAUAUGAUUUAAGUUAAUUAAUCUACGUAAUGUAUCAUAAUUAACAUGUCCUAAUCUACCAUGCCAUAGAUUAGAAGACUCAAGCAUGUAAGUAGAAGUACUAGCUUUAUUCAUAUUUGACUUAAUAAUAGUCAUUACAUUGAGUUUCCACAUUCCAUCACUCAUAUAGCAUUUCCCAACAUACAUUCCACUCUUGGACAAAACAAAUUUGUUUGACUCAAAGACCAACCGAAAUCCAUGAUUAUUCAGCAAUGAACCAGACACCAAGUUCUUGCGAAUUUCCAGCACAUAUAAAACAUUGGUCAGAGUCAACUCUUUCCCAGAAGUCAUCUUCAAGAUUACUUUACCUUGACCCUUGAUCUCAGAGGUGGCAGAGUUCCCCAUGAACACUUUUUCCCCAUUCUCAAUUGGUUCAAAAGUGGAGAACAUUUUCUUAUCAGAGCAUACAUGGCGAGUAGCACCAGUAUCAAUCCACCAUUCCUUUGGGUUAGAACCCACCAAGUUCACCUUAGAGACUACUGCUGUGAGGUCAAUGUCAGGAACAUUUUUAGUGAUGUCGUCAAUCACAUUAGCUUCCUUAGGUUUAUUCUUUUUGGGCAGUCUACAAUCAACAGACUUGUGACCUUGCUUACCACAAUUGAAGCAUUUCCCUUGAAAUUUCGGCUUUUUUGAGAUCCCUCCUUUAGGUCCCAACUUAGAUCCUUUCCCUUUGUUGUUGUUCUUCUUUGCCUUGGAACUUUGACCAUGUUCCACAAAGUUAGCCUUGGCCUCAUUUAGAGUGUGCGCCCCUUUCUUUUCAGAUCUUCUAUUAUCUUCUUCAAUGCGAAGUCUAAUAAUUAGAUCCUCGAUGCUCAUUUCCUUUCUUUUGUGCUUGAGGUAAUUCUUAAAAUCUUUCCAAGCAGGGGGUAGUUUCUCAAUAAUAGCUGCUACUUGGAAAGUUUCACUCAACAUCAUUCCCUCAGCAUGUAUCUCAUGCAAGAUUACUUGAAGUUCUUGGACUUGACUUACCACAGUCUUGGAAUCUACCAUCUUAUAGUCGAGGAAGCGACCCACAACAAAUUUCUUAGUCCCGGCAUCCUCAGUUUUAUAUUUCCGGUCUAGAGAUUCCCAUAGCUCCUUAGCUGUUUUCUUGUCAGAAUAAACAUUGUACAACGAAUCAGCUAAACCAUUCAUGACAUAAUUUCUACACAAGAAGUCAGAAUGUUUCCAAGCAUCUAUAGCACUGAUGACUUGGAUAUCGUGCUCGUCUUCUUUGAGCUUAGGAGCAUCCUCAGUCAAGAAUCUUGCAAGAUUCAACGUGGUCAAAUAGAAUAACAUCUUUUGUUGCCACCUUUUAAAAUUUAGUCCACUGAACUUCUCUGGUUUUUCUCCUGGUGAGACAGAGAUUGGUACAGCAGUAGGCAUCGCUGGCACUUGGGCCACAGUAGGGGUUGCCACUGGGGCUAAUUCAGUUACAACAACGUUAUCGGAUUCAGUUGUCAUUUUUUCUGAAACAUCCAAGAAAAUGUGUCAAUUUCUUUUUUUCUUUUUUCUUUUUUUCUUUUUUUUUCCAAAAAAAAAAAACUGAAAAUCACUUUACAGAGUAUUCCCAGGAAAGACUAGUGGAGUAUAAUGACCUAGACCAGGACUAGCUUCCUUAGACAGAAUAUUCAGUUCCUAGGAAAUUGGAGGGGUCACAAAUGGUCCCGCUUAAAUUCCAAUUACCUUAGACAGAACUUCUUUGUAUCAUAAUUUCCAAAUUUUCAAAAGACUUGGUACAAACUUUAUAAGAAGGUAUUUUUCCCAUAAAAAAAAAAAAACAUGAGUCACAGUCCAAUGGUGUCUUACUGAGUUGAGCAUGAGAAAAAGGGCUCAGGUUAAGAGUUCGAAACUUCUUUUUGUAACAAAUGGUUGUUUUUUUUUUUUUCUUCUAAAAAAAAACACAAAUUUGAAUUUUUUUUUUUUUUUCUUUCUCACUGGUUUUUUCUUUUUCCUUCUUCUUCUUCUUGAUAACUUGUUUCCUUUUCACCAACCACUGGUUUUCCUUUGAAAAAGUCUGUUUUAAGAAUGUUAGACAACCACAUUGCACACACUGGUUAGUUCAUAAGAAAAUAAAAGAAAAUUGGAAAGAAAAAAAAAACAGAGAAUUAAGGAAGAAGAUUAGACCGAGUCUUGUGGAAAACACAAUCUCCUUAAAACAGAUUCGCCUUCUCCACAGGUGCUUUGAGAAUCGCAAGGCAUCUGUCUCCCAGGAUAAAACGAUCUUCGAAUGGCAGCAACAAUACUCUGCAGCCACUCCGGCGAACUGGAAAUUGUUCAACUCUAUCACGGACACGGAAGGAAGGAACUCUUCAACACUCUGACAAUACUCCAAAGUUUUUCAUUUUUUGCUAUUUUUUUGAAAGAAAGUCUACCACUAUUUAUAGACUUCAAGGAGGGAAAAACAUAGACAGAUUCAGAAAGCCAAAAUGAAUUUGGCUUCUUGAGACUCUUAGAAUUCUGGAAAAAUGAAUGAAUUUACUUAAUUCAAUGGAUUUACUUAAUUUCAUUCAUCCCAUUUUUCCAACAGGAUCCCCAUAGGUUCAAGGCCUUCCCAUGAGGCCCUUUCCUCCAUCAUUGGGUCAAGAGGUUAAGGGGUUAAUAAUUAGCUCCUGGGCGGUUGAGGAAGAAUAAUCCAUUCAUUUGAGUAUUUCUCCCGCGGACAAUGAAUUGUAUUUACUAUUUAUUCAUAUUUCCAAAAUAAAAAUAAAAAUAAGAAACAAAAGUCCACCAAACUUAUUAAAUUAUAAUUUUAUAAUUGAAUAAUAAUGAAAUACAAGCAUUCACACUCAUUAUCGGUUAUAAUAAUAACUUUUAUUUUAGUAAAAUUUAAACUCCUAACACUAUUAACAUAAACAAGACUUCUUAAAAGGUAAAUAGUAAAUUACCAUACAAGCCCCAAUUGUUGAUUAUUCCUUUUAAAACUAAAUUAAAUCAUUAUAUAUAGAUAUAUUCUUUCUAAUGGGUAAGGGGUGGGUCGUUUAAUCAUAGAAAGAAAAAAUAAAUAAUUACUAGACCCUCCAAGCUACCUCUUUUUUUUUUUUUUUUUUGUGGGUGUGGGGGGGUGAUUAACUGUUACCAGGGAACAACAUUAUUAAUUGGUUCCAUAUUUAAGGGUGACCAAUUAAUUAAGCAAGUGAGGAGUCCGAGUAGGUGAAAUGAUGCUUUGAUUACAAAUAACACAAAUUUCUCAUUCUUGGUGUGCAUGUUGAUGUACAAAAGCUUCCUUGUCAUAACUCAUAAUUUCCACCAAUUUUGCAGAGGAAAUUUAUAAAUUGGGUAAGACUUAAAUUCAAUUCAUUAGUUCUUGCCCCCAGCUGCAUUUGCCACAAGAGAACAUUUCUUGUUAAGCAAGGUAAACUAGUGCACCAAGAUGCCAACCUAUCUCCAAUAAGAUGAUUUUUUAAUAUAAACUUAAAACGCUAAAACCAAAAUCACUAUUUAUGAGCUUGCACCUCUUACCUCUUAUUACACUCAAACCCAUCUAAAUUUGAAUUUGUAGUUUAUGUUUGGAUUAAUCCAACUACUAUGAAUGCAAAUGCAAAAAAUGGCAGAUAGAAAGGGGCUGUACGCGUAAUAUGAGAUUCAACAACCUGUGACACGAGACAAAGACCAGGGAGCGGGUGACCUUGAAAUAUCUUCUCGCUCUCAAUGUCCACUUGGCACAAAAUGACAAACAUAAUCGAAAACAGUCCCACGCUAUUCUCGUUUCACUGAACAAUCUGAACCAUUCUUUAUCCAUCCCGUCCUAAGCUCUACUGUAAAAAACAAAUAUACAUUUGGAGACAAAGUAUCGUGGUAGGCGAUGCAGCAGAUUAUUGUCCAAGCCCCGGGACCACCCCGGUUGUACUACCACAAAUUCCGAAAAUAGAAUGACCUUACUAAAUGCCCCUAUUUUUCCCAAUUAUUCACCGUUUUGCCAUUCCCUUUCCACAUUAUUAUAUUUGUAAAUGAGGGGGCGUAACUCGAGUGCAAGUACUCACACCUUUGUGGAAGGACACUAGCACCUUUCCCAAUUUCCCACUUCAGCACUGGGCCCAUCAAAUUGUGGGCCAUGAAAAGUGUCAGAAAAGCGAUAGGAAAAAAUGGGAUGUUCUAGUACCUUCUCUCCACCGUACAUCAGUGUCGGGCACACGGAGGUUCGUACCGACGACUGUAGCAGAUCGGAUCUCCAAGCAAGACAAAAAGACGAUCUGGACCCUGCAUGCAAAUCUGCACCAUCAUAAACCUAAUGAUGAGGGAAGGUGUACAGAUCGACGGUUCAGAAUCAAGGCCUCAAGGCUGACACGCUGUCUGAAGAACCUGCGCUGUGGGACCAGGAAUCCUCUCUACCGUCCACGUGUACGGUAGGAAUGCCAUAUGGUUCUCCGGUUACACAGUCAUUCACCGUUUUGCCACUCUCUCUCCUCCUUCAGUCUCACUCCCCCAAAUAGCGAUCAUCACUAUCAGUUGCUGGCUUUUUUUACUCCCUUCCCCUCUCUCAUCAAAACCAGGACGCUCUCUCUCUCUAACUCCGAGGCGGAGGUUUCGAAACCCUAGACACUCAGAUUUUGAAGCCGUUCACUGCUGUUCUCUCUGCGAUUCGAAUAAUAUCAGGUAUUUUCUUCUCUUCCACGGCGUACCGUACUGUCAAGUUCUCCAACGAAGCUACAUUUUCGCAUUUCCAGUCUUCUGAUUCGUUUAUCCAUUUCACAGGAAUUGGAAAAUCGAUCACUUCUUUUGUGAAUGUCUAUGUGUUUGGUUGGAUAGAAAAUGAAGGAAAACGAACGGGCAAUCUUGUAACAUUUUUUCCUCUGCAACCAAACCAAUUCGUUAACUGAAAACUUGUGACCGUCGCUUUUUCUCCUUUUCUUUUUUUCUUUUUUGCUUUUUUGCUUUUUUUCUCCACCAACCAACAGCAGCAUGACGAGGCAGCCAUGAUUAAAAGUCGAUUCAGUUUUCACGAUGACUCUCUACGCUCUAGAUUUGUUUGGAUUAUUGCCUACGUUUUUGGCUGUAUUUCUGUUUGAUUUUUGGUCAAUGCCUUGUUGAGGGUUUCAAUUCUGCCGAACUUGUGAUUGUUUGAGAUUAUUUUUGGAUUUUUGCUUAGAUUUAGGUGAAGUUUUGUCGUAGUGCUUUUUGAGUGAGUCAAUUGUUCUUAACUCGUGAUUAUUUAAGCUUAAUUACAUCAUUAUUUCUCAUAUUAUUUUUUUUCUCUUUUUUCUUUUAUUUUUUUUCUCAAAUUCUGGCUAAUGCUCUCAGUACUUUGUUUACUACAAUAAUUUUGCUUAACCGAUGAUUGAUAUUUUUUUUUUCGGUGUCAGAUUAAUUAUUGCUUAGUUUUUGCUGCUGUUUGCCUAUCUUUUUUUAAUACCUACGAGUGAUAAGUAAAAGGAUUGCUAGGUUAAUUUUGUCAAUCAUUAUUAUUAACUUUAAUAUUACAUAAGUAUUGGCAAUUUUGCCCAGCUUAUGAGUUUUCCAGUGUAAUUUAACUAAACGCUGAACUUUUUGGUGGAAAGUUCUCAUCAAUAUUUUCUUAAUACCUUAUUCAGAGUGUUUAAUUAUGAACAAUGCACUAUUAAUUAUUUUCUUUCCAGAUUAAUUUGGUUUACUUAUUUAUUUAUUUAUUAAUUAUUAUUAUUGUUAUUAUUAUUAUGUUGCCAAUAUUUUAUUAAUUUGAUGAGGGUGUUAAUUUAACUUCACUAAGACUGGUUUGUUAGUUAUGUAUCGUAAUUAAGUUUCUUCAACCUUUUUAUUUUGGUGAAGAAGUUAAGUUUUGAAUCAUAGAGUUCCAUAUAACUUGAACAAUGCAUUCAUGGGUUAGUCAGAGCUAGAACUCCAACCUAAUAAGCUUGACCUAAUAUUUUAAUAUAAAGCAAUCCAACAUUGGAUCUUUUGAAUAUUAGAAUUACUAGUUAUUGGAUAUCUCUUUUUUUUUUUUUUUCCUUUUUGGGAGAAAUUGUCCUAUAAAAUUGCUUAAAUGGUUCAACUGAUUGACAACUUAAGCAAGGAUAAAGAACCUAAAUUCCAUGAACCGAUAGUUUCAUAUGAUUCAUGAAGCAUUGGUGGAACAUACUCUCACUUUGGGAUGUGCUCUUUUUCUGACUGCUUAACAUACUGUUGCAUAUAGCAUAGCUGGUAUUGUUGUCAUCUUUCAAAUUUUGCAUCCCUUCUGCUCUUAUUUAUGGGUGAUAUGCUCCUAAUCUUCCAUUCCUUAUGUAAAAUAGAUAGAAAUGGUCGCUUUUUAGAUGUCUCCUGGCCUUCAAGAUUCACCAUGCUCUCCUGUCUGCUAGUUUUACUAAUACUCCUUUCACCUUUUUUCCAACCACUCCUGCUUAAUUAAAGCUUUUACAAUUCAAAUAUAGCCCCUUACUUUUGACGAGCUCAUACUCAUUGCACUUUUUUUCGAAACACUCCUGCUUAAUUAAAGCCUUUGCAGUUCAAAUAUAGCUCCUUACUUCUGACUUGAAAGUGGUCUGUACUCUGAACUCAUCAACUAAAACUGUAUCAUUAGCAAACAACAUGCACCAUGACACAUCUUUGUGAAUCACCUAGAAAGUUCUUCAUGUCGAAAUAUCAAUUUCAAGCCUUGAUGUAAGGCUUGUGUUGGAAAUCCACUCAUUUUGUGUCCAAUUAUUCUAAUUCUAGUUACAUCUCUAUUGCAUAUGUCUUAAUAAUAACAUCAGGUGCUUGAAAAAGAAAUUUCCAUGAUAUUGUUGAUUGCGAAAAUUUUACAGAGUUGAACUGUUAACCCUUGAACCUCAACUAUAAAAUUUCAGUUUGAGAUAUUGACUUUCAAUAUCAGUUUUUAAUAUAAGUUUCUUGUAGCUCAUGCUUGAGUUUGUGUACUUAAACUUUGUAGUUUGUUCUAUGGGUAUUUGUACAUCUCUAAAACCUCCACUUUACUAAAGCAUUCUUACAUUCUUUUGUAUUUGUGAAGAAUUAUAAUUGUUGCAAUUUUUUGCAUUUCAGGAUAAAGUAUUAGAAUUAUGGAUUGGGAUCUCUGGGGUCCGUCAUGUAGCCAAGGUUAUCCAAUCAUCUCUUGUCUUCUAUUUAGAUGUCAUUGUUUUUUAUUUUCUUUUUUAGAGUAAUCAAUGGUUCAACUGAGAAAUACAUCAUCACUGUUAGCAAUUUUAUCUAAAUAAAUUAUGGCUUCUGGUGUUGAUUGGAAAAAUUGCUUUUCAGUUGCACCUGAAAGCAGUUACCCUAUGCACCCUGGAUGGCAGUGUGACUUUUACUUUGGUUAUGGGCUUGGUAUUUUUAUGCCUUUUAGCACUUGAUUUUUCAAUUUUGAUUUGGACAGGCUCAUAUUAUGAUUACCUGUAACUCCAAUGUUUAAACUAGCUACUUUCCUUUUGUAGAUGUCAUAGAAGAAGAUGCAUUAAAUGAGAAAUCAUGUGUACAAGUCCUGAGGGUAUUGAUAUCAAAGGCAGAUACUGAAAUUGAAGAGCUGGAAAAAGAUCUAGUAAUCCUUCAAAGCGAACUAGCCUGGGCUGAAAACAGAGAAUGGUCUGAAAUAUGCUCUACUUCUUUGAGAGAAAAGAUCAAUUGCCUUGAUAUUUCAAUACAGAGUUUAAAGAAUGAAAAUGAACGUGAUAUUAAUGUUCAUUUACUAAUGCGUAGAGAACCUGCUGAGAGAAUUCAUGAAAUAAUAAAGGUUCUACUCAGAAGAUACUGCCUAGAGAAUGAUGAGCAGGUCUGCCUCUUGGAACAUUCGCAUUAUAACUUUCUCAAAAAUGAAUUAUGAUUCAAAUCAUAUAUUUUCUAUGCUAUGCCCUGCAAGCAAGUUAUUAUAGAAAGAGAGCUUGAAGAGGAAAAGGAACCCUAAAACAAAAGUUUUACCAGACUAGACAGUAUGCAAUGAUUUACAUUUCCUAAGCCGUAUUCACCCUCCAAAUGCUUAGCUAGAAGUGUCACCCUUGAACUCAGAGUUAGGUGAUUGAAUUGAUAUUGCUCUCUAGGUAUUACUGAACCAAGGUACUCCCAUUAAACUAAAGGGCAUAUUUAUUAGACAAAGAAAAAGGAAGAAAUGAAUGCUGGUUGCCUGGUAGUACAUAUGUGUAGGGUGAGUAGAAAAAGUCAAACUAAUUAAAGCUAAGUGAAAUUGUGACUGUACAUGCCACUGACUAUUAAUGUGUGAAUUAUGAACAAUGUAUCCUAUUGUAUUCUCUCCUUUUUGCUUCAGGAUUGCUAGGGUGCUCCAUAUUAUUUUGCAUUAUUACUGAAAGGUGUAUUUUGAUAUUUUAAAAAAAAGCAUGAUCUAAAAACUGAUAUAUUUUAUUUCAUGUUUUUCCUUCUACAAGGAGCAGCGUCCAGUUAUUAUCAUCAAACAGUCAAGCUCAGACAUGCAGGAACAUGCAACUAACCUUUCAGAUGAGAAGAAAAAACUGAGCGACUUUGAUUCAAAUAUCAUUAAUGUGGGGAGGAAAGAGUCAAGUACUACUAUCAUAGAACGAUUUACAAUCUUCAAUUCAUCUUUGAAGCCUCAUGGAACAAAAGAAAAUUGUGCAGAAAUGGUUAAGGUUCUGGUGUCUUAUACCUUCAUCUAUUAAUUUUUACCAGCACAUAAUUAUUCUAUAAGUUUGGAUUGGAAACUUGAAAUUCUAUGUAAAAACAACCUUGGGAUUGAACACGAGAGAAAUGGUUGACAUGCCUCACUGCAACUAUGAAUUGUGUCUUCAAGUCUAGCUUACCACCAAAGGAUGGUUAAAACUUGAUCUUAUCUCAGUACUCUUUAGCACACAUGUUAAAUUUUCUGAAUUCAUUCGGCACCCAAUCAACAGCAUGUCAUGCCACUUUACUUUUGGACAGUUCAUAUUUAUCAACUUUUGGAGUAUAGAACUUUCUCUCUCUCACAUACACACAUGCAGACAUACUUGCUGGCUGCACAAACUAAUAAUGGAAAUUUCAAAGAUGCAAUGUGUGGUUCAUACUAACAAUAACAGCAACAAUGAAUAACAAUGAUGUGGUCUGUCCUCUUCAAUAAGUAGCUCAUAAUUUAUUUCUGGGAAGAUUGUUAAGAAGGAUAACUUAUUUUUAUGAACAACAACAAUUUUUCAUGAUCUGUACUUGUGCAUAUAUAAUAAUACUUGCAUGUAUCAAAUUAGAUUGAGCUUAUUUAUUACACACAUUGUUACAGGUCUCAUGCAUGCAGUAUGCCUGGAAAAAUCUGGCCCUACCUGUAAAGACCAUUCUGCUUUUUGGGUUAAAGUUAAUUCACUUAGCUCAUGGAUACAGGUUAUGCCUUGAAUGAAAGACAAUUCCAAAUCAGCUUUGCCCAUGAACAAGGAAGCUAAAAGUAAUGCAACAGCCUGAUUGCAAUCAGGUUGAGUUAGGUUGCACCUGAAAAUUCUUUUUCAUUGAUUUGGAAAGCCAGUAGACACAUGCUAGAAUGUCUCUUUCAGCAGAGAUGAUGAGUUCUAGUUCAAAACAUUAUGCAUGAAGCACAGGCAUGACACCAUUUGGGCAAGACAUGGGCUCAAUGUUUGAUAUUAGGUUUCCAAAUUUCUAAUAUUUUCUUUUUCUUUAUAUUUCUAUCUUGGUUGAUAAUAGAUAUGGUCCAAUUCUUGUUUCAUAUACACACAUGUGCCUUGCAAAUAAAAGGCUAGGACAUGAAAAUAAAUGGAAUGUAUUUAAGAUGGCUAUGCAAGCAUGCAGUAAGAGAGAUUUGGAUGAUAUGAUCCUUUACCGUAUGAUUUCUCGUCAGACAAUUAUAAGAACAACUUUGAUAUUUCUGCCAUGCAAAAGUGCUUCAUCCUAGUUAAACUAAUUCAAGAAUAAAAAUUCCUAUGAUGUUUCAAUUUGGAUGGUUAAUGGGAAAGGAAAAUUUGAAAUUUUACACAUUUGUUAAUAGACUUGGAUCAUUACUGUUUGUACCAAGUCAUAACUGAUCCAUGAACUCUGUCAAAGCAACCUUGGUUAACUGAUAUUGGUUCUCAUGGUUUUUGUUUCACAAUGUGCAGGCUGCAAAUAUUACCAUAGAAAAUUCCGGCACAGAUACUUCUAAUCAAGAAUCUGGCUGCUCCAGUGAGAACAAGAAGUUUAGCAAUUCUUGUUUCAAAAUUACAAAAGAGGAAGUUCAACAUAGUUCUACUCCCACUCCUGAUAUCGUAAUCUUAGAAUCGUCUUUGAAGCCAGAAGGCAACAGGGGAGAAGUAGAUGAAAAGGCUGAGGUAGAAUCAGCUUUCUCAAGCUUUCCCCACUGCUUUGAUUUUAUUGAGGUCUUUAAUUUGUAUAUGAAAUUGUUAAGAUGCAGUGGAGCGUUCACAACUUUAGGGAAACCGACUUUGUUUUUUAUCUCUAUCUCAAAUGAUAAGAAUAGCAACUUUGUGUUUAUGUGGUCCAAGUCCAACCUAUGUCCAUCUGGAGGGGUCCCUUACUGUAGUUGCUAAUGUAUAUUUUCUGAUCUUCCUUCUCACAAUGUCAGCCUUCAAGCAUAGUUGUGGAAGAUUUUAGUUUGGAUGCUUUGGAGCAUUCAAAUAACAACUCUGAUGAGAAGGGAAAACAGUGCAAGCUUAACACAAAAGACGAUCCUACUGUUACAGAUGAUUAUAAAAUCUUAAUUUCUUCUUUGAAGUCCGGAGGGAAGAGAAAAAAUUAUCAGAAAGUUGUUAAGGUAUAUGAAGCUCUUUUCCCUGAUUUAUUUUAUUGCAGUACUUAUUACUUGAGGUUCAAAAGUCUAGAAAAGCAGUGUUGUGUUUGAGCUUGCAAAUCCUAUGGUACAUACUUGAUGGUAAGACUAAGCUUGGGUUCUACUGCUUCCAAUCCUCGGAUUAGCUAAUAACACAUUUUCCUCUUACAAUGAAACAGCCUACAAAUGUUGUGGAGAAUUCCAAUUCAGAUGCUGUAAGAUGCGAAAUUGGCCUUGAUGGGAAGAAAAAGUCAUACAAAUCUAUUUCCAGAUCAGAUGUUUUGACGCAAACAAAUAGUGGGGGCGCUGAUGUAAAGCCGAAAAUUAGCAACUUUCCUCUGAAAACUGUACAAGAAAAGACUGUCAAUGGAUCAAAGGUUGCUGCAUCCAACAAGAUCGAUUCUGCAAAAUCUUCUCCUAGGCCAGACAAGAAGAGUAUGACAGUCCAAGAAGUAGUUAUUAGUGAUAAUGAACACUCUGCUGUAAAUUCACUUUCAGAACUGCAAGAUCAAAUAAAAAAAGAUACUACCGAGCUGCAUCCGGAGGAGGAAGGAAAACCACAAGCAGAGAAAAUCCAGAAGGCUAAAACUCUUGCUAAUGAUCAAGAAUCCAUUUUGUGCCCAUCCCUGAAGUCACCAAAACCAAAAGCCAAGAGGAAAAUCCAGUCAAAUCAGCUAAGUGUCCAAGAAGCAGGCUUACCUCCCACAGAAGGUGGUUUAAAUUCAUCUUCUGCUUCAAAAGUCAAGAGGAGACGAAAGUUUAGAAUCUCUAAAGAUAAUGUCAGCUUAAAGGAGUUGUUGGAUGUCAAGAUAUUGAAGAAUUUAGUUUUGCAAAACAGUUGUGAAGAUGAUGAACCUGAUUUAACCCCUGACGACAGUGAAAAUUCAGUUUUGUUGUCACAGAAGAGAAGUAUAAAGAGUUUAAAGUUGCCAAUCCUUAAGGAGCUUGAAGAUUCAACUACUUAUAACAAGUUAUCAAAAUUGCAUACAGAUACAACUGAUGGUGCUGGUAAGCAAGAUCUGUUGAUCAUCAACUCGUGCUCCAUUGAUGAUUCCCAUGAUGAGACCAUAAAAUCAUUGCCUUGUCCAACACCAAGACGACUCAGUUUGGAAAAGAUGAAAUUAGUCGAUCUAAGGGCCAUGGCGAAGCAACACAAUAUGACAAAGUAUCAUAAGCUUCGAAAGGAUGCUCUUGUCCAACAAAUAGCUAAACAACUGGGCUGAUGCUAACAAAUUUUACAGGUGGGUGUACAUAAUGACCAUUUUUGUCUGGUUUCUUCCUUCUUUUGCUCUUUUUGGGCACUUUUCAGAUAUGAUACGGAAAUGUAGUGGCUCCAUUGUGUUUCACAUAGAAUUUCUAGGAUGGAUAUCCAUCAUUUAGAUAUGAAAAUCAAAGACCAUGGCAUGGAAGCCCCCAUCGCCACUGUUGUUACAGGGUCAGUGUUCUUUUCUCCAUUCUAAGUUGUUAUAGAGUCAGUUUUUAGGAUUUUGUGAAAUGAUGUUUAAGCUGUUAUUAUAAUGUUGAAAUGGUUGCCAGUUCUUAAAUGGCCCAUUCACAAUGGGGACAUUGUGUACAAAUGAAAUGUAAGAACCAAUGGAAAUUGCCCUUAAGGCUGUCCUAUACAGAACUCGCAAUUUGUUUUAGAUUUUAGCACAUGAUGAGGUGGUUAACGUAUCCCUUCUCUGCACUUGUAAAUUCAUUGUCAUGAGUUGGGAAGUUUGUAUUAUUAACUGAGAAGUCCUUGUUUCUUUUGGGCAUCUUUGUGCUAGUGCGACAAGAACAAAAUGGAUGAAUGAGGCCUGAAGCUGAUCAAAUGUAGGGAAUUUUAUGUGACGGAUCAAACGUCGGACUUUUUUUCUUUUUGAUUACUUGAUUUUGGUGUGGAUGGUGAGAUGAGCUGUUACUUUUUGUGCAGGGACUAGAUUAUCGAUGGAAUUUAAUUUUAUCUUGUAUAGGGUUGACGAUUAGCAAGUAGAAUUUUAUUUUCUAAGCUUCAUUGUCAAUUUUUAUUCUUCUUCUUGAUUACAUUGAUGAUGUUCUAGCUCCAGAAUUGCUCUCUCCAGCACUUGUGCACACAAGUAGAAUUUUCGGAGUAAAAUUUCCAAUUCAUCUGAACUAACCCUUGUUCCUCAUCAGAGCCAGCACCAGUGGGCUCUUUAAUUGAAUUGAGAAUCCAUUAUCAGUGGCUGCUUCAUGUUCUUACAACAAACUAAUAUUUAUUUUUAUCUUUCUUCAGAAAUUCGUUUAAAUCUUUUUUUUUUUUUUACAUAGAAUCCUUAUCGAAAAGGCUGAAUCAAACAGCCACAAUGCUUAGCUCAUCCAAGGCACGAUCUUGGAUCUUUUGGCCACAGGAAUCCUUUUGUAUUGUUAAAUAGGAAAGCUUGUGGUGCCAAACAUCUAUGCCGUUGCUCUAUGAUCCUAUAUUAACGUAGCCCUUAUGUAAAUCGAACAUCAAACUUGAUUAUAACUAUAAAAAUUUAAAACAUGCCUAAAUUCCAGGGUUGCCUAGAAACCCAAUACCAGUUUAUUUACCCUAUGUUUGGUUUUUGAAAAGUUUUAGGAAAAAAAUGAGGAAAAUGGAAAAAGAAUUAAAGUUUAUAAAUUAUUUUUUAUUACUUCUUCAAUCUCAUUCCACUUAUUUUACCUUUAUAAUAUAAAGAUUAAAUAAUUUGAAAAUGAAUAAUUCAAUUACCAAUUCCAAGCGUGUUUAAUGUUGAAUCAUGAACAAAUUUAGUAUUGGAUCAUGAAGCUCACUACCUGGCCACAAGCCAAAAGACUUAUAAAACCGUUGAUAAGGGUGUAAGCAACUAAGCAUAAAUAUUCUUCAACAAUUAGAGUACCACAAGCUGUUCAUCUCAAUUUUCACAACCUAAAAGUCCAACUUAAGAUCUUCUCUAUAGUGGCUUCAGAAUCACGACCUGCAGAGAGAACCAAGGAGUGCAACAGCCAUGGUUAGUUUUAGCCACGUGAGGGAAAAUGAAUGCAUGGUCAGGGUUGGUUUUUUUUCCUCAUUCGGUAUACAAUCAAAUAUGAAACAUCCUCAUCCGCACACCAAACCCUUUGAGGCUGUGGCUCCCCACCAACCCUCAUGACUUGUUAUGGUCUAACCCGUUUUUGGGCUACUCAAAAUUUGGAUAUGAAACUUCCAACAAUUUCUUCCAUAUGAGGAUUACCUAGAGUACUUUGAGAGAUUGAAAGAUUAAAAAAUGAAACAAUAGAGAAAAGCCAGGUUGGUUUUUAUGUCAAAAAGGUCAGCCCCGAAAUCGAUUUCUUGCCCUGGCCAUUGAUGGAAACAUUAUAAAAGAAAGAAAGAACUUUACAAGAAUCAAUGUACUUGAAAAUAAUCUGAAAUUGCUGAUCAGCUUUGCAUCAUGACAACCACUAAGAAUCUCAGUCAAUAAGACCUAGAUUUUUGCCUGGCAUAUUUGACCAUGACACUGAGCUGUUAUUGCAUAGCUCACAAGACCCAGCUUUGUCUUUCCUGGCAGACCUCAUUUCAUGUUAAAAAUUGUCUUCAGAGGUUUAAUUAUUUAAUGUGAUACAUAGAAUGGAAGAAGCCUAAUUUUGGGGUGAUCAUAAUUAUCAAAUUCUACUAACUUUGUCACGUGAGAUUUCAACAAUUGCCCUAUAAAAAGCAGUUGUUAAGUAAACCAUCAUACUUCACUUGGCCUCCAACUUGCAGUCAGCCUCCUUCAAUGCCCGGACAAGAUGGGUUACACGAUACUGGAGUUUAGCAUUUUCCACUGUAAGCUUUUGAAUAUCUUUCUGAGCCUGUAAAUCAGAAACAAACAAAUUGUAACUCUAUUUGAUGAGUUUCCAAUUCCAAAUCAAAUACAAAAUAACAUAAAAAUGGGCACCACCUUUUCCCGUUCUGAAAUUUGUUCAGCUUCUGCAUGUUGUAGCUUUGAUUGAAGGUCACUAAUCAUCUUCAAAAGUUCCUCAUUUCCAGAAUCUGAUUUGAGCGUCCAUGAACAAUUUUUUAGACCUAUAUUUGCCUAUGCAAAUAAUAGUGUGGAUAGAACAGAGUGCUUCUAAGCUUACCUUUCGUACUGGAAAGAGCAGCUUCAAGUUUUGACAAGCGGUCCUUCAAUUCAAACAUACCUCAGAGUCAAUGGGAAAAAAAAAAAAACAUAGAAGUUCUCGCAAAGCCUCUCUUCAUGGGUAUAGUAUGUAUACAAACAUUUAGUGGGCAUUCCCACAUUUAGCAAAAAACUGGCUAAUGCGCUUAUCUUCAAAGAAUAAAACUGACCCUCAUUUUGGGAAAAAAUAAAACCACAUCCCACUUCGCAAAGCUUUGGAGGAGCAUAAUCAUCUAAAGCAUCGUAUAAUCAUAAAGACAUAUAUCAAAAGGAAACGAGCAGUUUGGUUGCUUAGAAAAUUUGCGGAUGAGGAAUCUCAUCGUCUCAAUUUUCUUUUCUUUAUUUUUUCUCAAAAUCCAAAAAAAAACAAACUUGUAACAGAUAGAUUUUCUUCUAACCUCAGCUUCAGAAGCUCUUUGGUGGAAGGGUUUCAACACCUCUUUCAUAUCAGUUUCCGCCAUUCUCGACCAAACCCUAGAGUAGAAUCCGGCUCUCUUAAAAUAUCUACUACAACCGUCCAAAGUGGAGCUUUUUUUUCUAGUGAGGGGUGGAACUCCUAAUUUACGAAAAUGCCCUUGAUGCCCAAAACCAAGCAAAUACAGUUUUCUUUUAUAAAACACAGAGAAAUCAGGUUUUGGAGAAUGGAUUCAGAAAAGAGAUUAUUUUUAAAAAAACAUUUGAGAUGUUUUCAUAUAUUUAUUAUGAAGUUCUGUUUACAAAAAUUUUCAUAUUUAAGUAAGGCGGACUUCAUACAUAAAUUUUUAUUUAGAUAAUAUAGUCAUGGUCCCAAAUAAUUGAGAAUAAAAAAAAUGUCAAUUUAAAGAGAAGAGGCUUUACCUUUCAUACAUGUUACAAUUAUAUAUAUAUAUAUAUAUAUAUAUAUAUAUAUGUAUAUUAUAAAGAAGAACACCCAUGGACGAAAUCAAUAUUUCCAUAAAUAAAGAGCAAUGAUAUUUGAUUAUCUUAAUUUAAGAAACAAUAUUUAUUAUUCAUUUCUUGGUAUAAUUAAUGAUAUAUUCUUGUAUAAAUUUUUAAAAGAAAUAAUUUAGUGUAAUCAUUGAUUCUUUCGUAUCAUGAUGUUUCGAUUUAUUCCUACUAUGGUAUGGUUUGAUUUUUAUUUUUUUUCUAAAUAUAAAUAAUACUACACAAUUGCUUAUUCAUUCUGUUAUUUUCUUCAAAUAAUUAGCAGCUAAAUAUUUUUUUUAUUAUUUUAUAAAUAAAGCCUGUUGAACAUUCAAUGGCAUUGGAAAACAAAACAAAGCCGGCCCCCCCCAAAGAAAAAAACAAAACAAAAAAAAGGUACUUCCCAUGAAACGAAUGGAAACGAUGCUCAAUUCAAAUUACAAAACCCAGUCUAAGGCUGGCCAAGAAGAGAAGGCCUGUAGAAAGCAUGAGUCUGUGCAAUCUCAAUCCUUUCCCUGGGAUCGUUCAAGGUUUCAUCUCUUAAUGCUUGAAGAAUGCCUUGUGAUGCAAGUUCCCUGAACAUCCAAUAUCAACACCAAACACACAUUAUGGCAUCGGAUUUGUCAAAAAUCGAGGCUGCUCAAUUUUAAUAAAAAACCAGGAAAUACCUUGUUAUUAGAAUUCUGUAUAGUGUCUUCAAGAUGGGGCAGAGCUCAACAGGAGCCACAUGCUUGUUUUCUUCAGGAUGCAACACGCUCAAGCUUGACUGACUCAGUAGUUCAUAGAAUGCUCCCACUGCAGAGACUCCCUGGAAAAUAAGGCAAGAGGUUCUGAUGACAAUUCCAAAGAAGAAAAUAUUGUUUUCCCAGUUGAACUGUUGCCAAGUAAAGAAUCAUGACCAAUACCUGAAUCAUUCCCUUGCCACUAAUGCUAUCACCCAUGUCCAGGCUCAGUUCCCCCUUGGCUAACAUUUGGCCAUACCACGCAUUGCGGCCUUUCAACAGGGUCACAUAGGUGUCAGCCAGCAAAGGCCCCGCAAGCUUUUCGGGUUCUUCAGCCAACAAAUGAGUAAUGAAGAUCAUCUCUGAUGUACAAUGUGCAAAGUAUACAGAUUUGCUGGUAGCACUCUCAUUGGUCAGGGCUGCUACCAUUCCUGGAAAAUCAAAGUGAAAAUGUGAGACUCUUGAUUAAAUCCAAUAACAACAUUUUUAAAUUUUGGUUUUCUUCUCCUAGUAGGUCAAAAUGAGAACCAGAUCAUUGCUGAAGUUUAUCUGACAAGGAUGCUCAUAUAUGAAACUUCAAGCACAAUGAUCCCUCUAUUAUAUUACCAUCAUAAAGAAAUAACAACUUACCGGCUCCAAUGGCAUACACAUUCUUUAAGCCACCCAUAACUUCAUGAGUGACAAGGUCACUGUUGUCCCAUACGAUGAAAUGGGGUUGCCUCAGAAACUUGGCAAGAGGUUUCCUCCACUUCUCAGCUCCACAUAUUCGAGCAUUCGCAUACUCCUUGUUGUAAAUCUCUGAGGCAAUGUUUGGUCCUCCAAGGUAAAGAAUGUUUUCCAUAGCUACACCAGCUGCCCAGCAAGGAUAUAUAAAAAAGGCUUAGAUCAUAGAAAUAAAAGCUCUUCUUAAGGCAAAUGUUCCAAGAAAUAUAUGGACUUUUAAUUCACAAGAAACAAAACAUAGAGCCAAGAUUUGAGAAACCAAUAAAUAGUAAAACAAAGGCCCUUACUUGCUCGGUUAAUCAUUUGUGUGGGAGUGAUGAUAUGUGGGAGGGGUUCUAGAGCAGCCUCUAUACCCUUUGACAAAGAAAUAAUGAUGGGAACUGUAAUCCUCUCCUUCCAAUAAUGGUUGAUCUCUUCAAACACUUCCCGGGUUUCAGUUGAAGGCAAGCCAUUGACCACAAUGUCAGCAUCCCAAACAGCCUCCUGCAAGUUAGUCACGACCUUUAAAGGACAGAGGGGUGUGUGAAUCAUGUUUAAGCAAAACCCAUCUUUCAAAAUCUCGUCUGCAAGAAGGGUCCGAUCCCCCAGUCUUGCUUCAACAUACUUUAAGUAUGCGCAGCGCCGGAUCAGCCUCCUCAACACAUCCUCUCUCGAAUUGAUGACUUCAAACAGAUGCUCUGCCGUGGCCUUGUCCACUGUUCUUCCCGGCCUUCUCCAUAUCCUGAUUUGAACCUUUUCUCGGAAUUGACCAUAGUUGUCUUGCAGCAAAGCUGCAAAUACACUGCCCCAAGCACCCGCCCCCACACCCACAAUCUUCAAUAUAUCCCCUUCAGCCUUUCCAAGAAGAUGCCGGAGUUCAUCAAGCUUCUCCUCCAUGCUAGCACAAUUCUGAACAGACCCGUUUGAGUGCAAGUUCUGACUCUUGACCUUAAUACUUCCAACCAUCUUCUUCCAAGAAAUCAGCAGACCGAUUAAAAUAAAGAAGACACAAAAUCUUCGAUUAUAUCUCCUUGAAUUCUGCUUCAAUCUCUGAUCAAUGCUUAAAAUUUCUCAACCAGAAAAGGGUAUUUGAAAAAAGGAAAAAAAAAAAAAAAAAAAACCCACCUUUGAUUUUUGUUUGGGUUUUGCUUUUUCCUCCAGAGAAUGAGAUCUUUAAAGUCAGAUUUUCAGACCCACCGAUCCAGUUCCUUCUUCUACACAAAAUUCAGUAGGAAAAUGGAGAAAUGAACAAAAGGAGUUCAUUCAAUGCAUGCAACCGUUUUUUACUUUCUUGCUUUCAUGAAACAUGCCAACUGGUCCAAAUAAGUAAACAUUGUUUUCUCCGUCCGAGUUUGCUCAUCUACCCCCACCGAAAACUUCCCAUAAAAAGGAAGAAAGAAAUAAACAAAUCAGAAACCAACCUUUCCGUGUCGGAUACUACAAAGCUCUGACGCCAAUCUGCGGUCUGUAUUUCUAAACCACCAUGGCCAUCAACGAGUUCAAUAUUUCAGCUCUUAGAAUGCCAGCUCUAUCGGUGAAAAAAGAAAAAGGCACAAAAAGUUGAUGCAGUGAAAAAGGGAAAUUGAAACAAGAAUGUGAUGAAGCCAAAUACCUAAUGUGUUCACAUUUGUAGUGUUGAUUUGGAGAGAGAGAGAAGCAUUGAUUAGUACAGUUCAAGUGAGUUGGGUGCCACACUGCAUUUAAAGUUUUGGAUGAGCCCAGCUUCCCUAACGGCCAUUUAUUUUGGGUGACUUUGACUCACAUGCUCCUCCGUCCACCACCCUACUCAAAUAUGUCUUAAGCUUCAACUUAACCCCGAUUAGAACCCUAGAAAAAAAAAAACAAAAUUAAUUCCAUGAAAAGAUAAGGGGGUAUGGCGGGGAAUUAUUGUGGCAGGUUUUAAACAUUUUGGCACGCUCAUCAACAUCACUGCCAAGUGCCAACUCA